AAGGUCAGUCCUGAAUUAUGGUCGAUAUUAUCAAGCGUUCUUUGUUUUAUUUAAUCAUUUAUUUAUUUUACUUCUGGUGUCAUUUAUAUGUCUCCGACUCGAAGCAAAUGAGAGCCAAUUUUAAAAACUUUUAGACCUUUAAGGCUUGAGCUUGACUGACUUGAGCUGGAGGGGUUGAUUGGCUUUGUGAAGAGCUUGACUGACUUGAGCUGGGAACGUUAACGUAACUGUUUUGAUGAUAGCAAUUCCUCUUUGUGCAUCAUCAAGACGACAUGAUACUUAUUCUCCUUUGUGCUUCAAAUGCUUGUCAAAAUACAUUUACAUUCCAGUUUAAUGUCAGCUAUGCAUCUUGUAUGUUAUUAAUAGGUCAACUUUCAUUGUGGAAAUCAUCACUGGAGGUUUAGAAUUAUUCAAGAAGAAUUGGUCGAAUAUCAUAUAGGUACCAUAAGCUCUUUUACAUAUAGAGAGAGGAUUUAUUAAGCAUUCAACAUGUCACCAAGAAUAAUUAAACAAAAAUUUUAAUUAUUGUUGUAGGCAGUUUGGUGGAAACUAAGGUUAGAAGUGCCAAAAAAAUAUAUUAGACCAAGAACCAAAAAGGGUUGUCUCGUCCUAUUCAAACCAAACACUUAUGCAAUUUAUAAUUAAAUUGUGGCUUAGAUCAUCAGAAAUGGAUUGGUCUACUCCAAUAAAAGAUUAAACUGAAAUCUAAUCCUGAAAUUUAACAUAAUGCUUUAAGUGGGGGGCUAGGGCACUGUUAGCCUCUUGCCUAGACAUGAUGGGAGUCUCAGCUGGGAUUAAUCAGGUUCAUACUUCGUAAGUGACCCAACUAGACCUUGAACAAAAGUUUUGUGGAAACAAUUGCACUGGAAGGCUUAAAUAAUUGUCACCUGUUAUUGGAGGCCAGAUUAGGAAUACAAGUUCAAGGGAGCAUAAAACACUGCAGGAGACUGUAGUUCAAUAGGUAGGUAGUUCUCUUUUUUGUUUGCAUUUCUUGAGGUUGAACUUAUUAUAUUUUUGGUUUUUUGUUGUUGUGCAAUGCCACCAUGCUAAUACACACACACACACACACACACACGCGCAUGCUCUUCUGGCAACUAUCCAUACUGUAGUUAUUGGAACCAAACUGGUUGUCAACACAGCCAAGCCUCGGGUUGCUGGUCAAACUGGUAGUCAACUGGCCAAACUGCAGAUUUAAUAAAAUAUAGAUUUUUUUUUAUGAAUACGAUACAUUCUUGUUUGUUUGACAAGAAAUAAAACAUUUCUCUUAUUAGCUCUCUAUUUUUUUUAUUUUUCUAAUCAUUUUCUUAUUUCUGUUCUUUUCUUUUUUCUCCUCUUUCCCUCUAUGUCAACAAUAAAUAAUGAAAGCCUCGUGCAUUGGGCCAUACUUAUUAUAUAAAACAUGUGCACUUAUGUACACAAGUUUAUUGAUACAGUAACAUAUGAUAUAUUUGUUUUUACCUAUUUUGGAGAAAUUGAAGUAUUGGCCUUGCUUGUCAAAUCAAUGUGCCUAAAGACGAGGGGUUGUCAGGAUGAGAUGUCCACAUUAUUGACAACAAUAGAAGCUUAUGCAACCCAUGACAACUUGCCAAGAGCCGUUAGCUCACAAAGAGUAGAGAAGAAGGGUUGGUGAUGAGCUUUGCUACGGAGAGCAAUUCUUUUCUCCUUUUAACACCACCCAUAUUAUAAUUCCCAAUCUUGAAAUAAUCAAACAUGUUUUAUUUUUAUUUUGUUUUUACUAUGGUCUCAUGCAUUCUGUUAUACUAGUGCUUUAGUUUAUUGUGCUCUCAUUUUGCAACUCCAUAAUUGCACAUAAUAUCUUGUUACAUUACAAAAUAAUCACCUUGUAUUAUCUAUUUUGUCACAUACAGGAAAGGAAUUUAGCACUAGCCGAAGGUAGAACUUUACCCACGCUAUAUGGAAGUGAGGACGUUCGGCCUUUAAACAUGGAAGAUUUCAAAUAUGCACAUGAGCAGGUAAUUUGACUAUAAAAAACUCACACCCAUCCCACAUACAAACGAUACUAAUGAUAAUUACAGUAGUAAUGGUUCCUCAUUUAGCUAUCUUGAUGUUAAACAUGCCAUCAACAUCCUUUUGGGUAAUCUGCAAUUUUCUUUGUUGGUCUUAUGCUGAGAUCAUUCGCAACUUCUGCUACUUUUACCUGUUUCCCUCCACACAUCUCUUGUUACAUUGAACAAGAAGUGGCAUUUCUUCAUCCUUGAAGUUAUAACUAAUGAUGUCCUUGUAGGUUUGUGCAAGUGUGUCAUCUGAAUCUUCCAAUAUGAGCGAGCUUCUCCAAUGGAAUGAGCUCUACGGUGAAGGAGGGUCUAGGAAGAAGAAAGCAUUAAGCUAUUUCAUGUAGGAGAGAUUGAUUUUGUGUACAGCCCUUUUUCUUGAACCCCUUUGGCAAAGCUAGUUACUUUGCCGAUCAACAUAGCCAGCAUUUCUCGUGGGUCCAUGUAUUUAAUUUUCAUAGCGAGUCAUUUAUCAAACGUAAAUUCAUACCGAGUGCAAGUUACAUGUCUAUUAAGGUGGCCUAAUUAUAUAUCCUUUUUGUUGCCCGUGAUGUGGGACUUCAACCUUGUCGAAGUAGACGUAUCUAUCUGUACAUACUUGUCUGCUAAAUGUAAUAAAAGAUGGAUCCUUGAGUUGAGGUAUAGGCUACCAUACAUUCAUCCGAUCCAUCCACCGUGUGUUUUGCUGCAAUGUAUGUUGUGCUUUGGUGUUGAUGGUUAUUUUGUUUGUGUUGUUAGUUACAAUCAGAUUAGUUGUCUAUUAAUUGAAAAGGAUGAUUAUUUGUCUAAUCUUCCAAAGCCUUUUUUUAUUUGAGAAUUGUUGGGGGCCUAUUUUUCUCUGCUUUGUUGUAUGUCAAUGCUUCGUGUCUUCUGCAGAGUCACCGUAAGGCAAUACUUUGAUGUGAGCUUUGUGAUGAAGUUACUAUUGUGCAUGCUAAUAUCCGUGUAACAGGUAGGUUGGUGUCCGUGAGGAUCUCCGACAAGUUUUGUCGAUUGAUUAGGUUGAGUUGCUGCGGUUGCAACCUUGUAAUUAAUUACUGGUGAUAAGAUAAAUGAAAGGGUGAUACAUGAAAAUUUUAAAUAUUUGAAAUUAUAUAUGUAAGGGUCCUCUUUUUGGGGUUUUCCCGGAAUAUUUUUCUGACAGUGCCGGCUCUUUCGUCGUCAGUGUCUCUGUCGCUCACUGAGAAAGGGAAGGAAGGGCGGGUUGGAGGAAGAGGGGAGGAAAGAUGCGGGUAGAGGGAGAGGAGGUGAUGGGGAAGAGCAUGUUGAGAGGGAGAUGAUCGGGAAGGGUGGGCGACGAGGGUAGAGAUGAAAGGGAGGAGGCUGUGAGGAAAAAGAAAGAAAGACGCCAAGGGAGGAGACAAGGAGACGAUAGGGAAGGGAGGGGAGGGGUGAAGGGAUGAGAGGGAGGAGGGGAUAAACAAUAUAGUUAGUUAUUUUUAGGUUUUUAGUUUUUAUAUUUUAAAAAAUUAUAUUGAUAUUUUUAUAGUUACGAAAGUAAAAUAUUUAUGUUUAUUUCUUCUGACGAUAUCAAUUUUACUAAUGGAAACACGAAAACAAAAGGUAAAAAGAUCAUUUUAAUAUUUCAGUGGUGAUGGGUGAUAUUGUUGGCUGCGGACGACGACGUCGCUUGUGUCGAUAUCGAUGCAUUUGUUGAGUGGUCCUUUCGUUACUUUGCAUAGGUACUUCAUUGUCACUUGAUCAAAGUUUGUUGUCGAAAUCAUCCUAAAAAUAUAUCACCUAUCGAAGCAAGAUCCGAAGAUGCGCACCGCCCUUGUCGAUGCUAAUGUCGUGCCUUUCCUUGUUGCUCGCCUCGUCAACCACCAUCACCACUCGUCUGCAACCUAGGAGAAUGUUAUCGUUGCCCUUCUCAACCUCCCCAUCUUCGCCCACGAGGUGGUCAUGUGCAUCCUGAGCAUCCUCGAUGCCCUCUACCUCCUCUUCCCCACCACUGCCCGGCAUGCCACCAUAACCCUUUACAACAGCACUUCCACCUUGCACUUCUCCCUCGCGCGCACCUUACUGUUGUUGCCAAUUAGAGCCUUCACGGUUGCCUUUGCCCCAUCCACCUUCCUGAUGUCCCCCGCCACCUUGUCUUCGUCACUCUUUACUAGGUUUAGCAAUGAAGCUGCAACAUUUUCUCUUGCCCUCUUGCUUCCCCUAACCACCAGAUCCACAAGGACGCUAAUGUCGUCCACCUUGAGGGCUCUGACAAAUGAUGAUAGCAGGGUGAGCGCGAGGGGGGGUGGGAGAGUAAGGCAGAGGCACUGCUAUAGAGAUAUAAAAGGUUGCAAUGAUGUGUUGGGCGAUGGUAGCGAGGGUGUCAAGGAUACCCGGGAUGCACAUGAGUGCCUCAUGAGGCGAAGAUGGAGAGGUUAAUGAGGGCAACGACGACGUUCUCCUGGGUUGUGAAUGAGUGAUGGUGGUUAAGGAGAUGAGCGGUGAGGAGGGGGCAUGGUGUCUGUGCCGACGAGGGGGACUCGCAUCUUCGAGUCUUACUUCGAUAAGUAACAGAUCUCCGCGAUGGCUUAGGAAGCGAACUUCGAUUUUACGAUGACGAAGCAUCGAUGUAGAGCGACGAAAGGGUUGCUCGAGAAUUGCAUCGGUGUUGGCACCAACGGUAUCACCGUCCACCACUAUCGAAAUUAUAAAAUUGUCUCUCUUUUUUUUAUCUUUUAUUUUCGUGUUUUCAUUAGUAAAACUAAUUUCAUUAAGAUAAAUAGACAUAGAUAUUUAGAAACUUUAAUAAUUCAACCGAGUGAUAAAUCUAAUAAUUAAAGUUGAUGAGGAUUUAAACUAAUUGAACUCUAAUGAUGGUAUUCUCACUCAUAUAAGUAACACAACAUAACUGUAAUAAAAAUAAAAUAAUCGAUUCGAUGAACUAAGACAUUAUUGUUCUACAUAAAAAUAUCCAUCUGAUCCACCACCGGACGAGUUUAUCUAAUUGGAUUUCGGUGAGCAUUCGAAAGAGGUAAGCACUGUUUGCCGACACAACAAACUAAAAGCGUGUGUGUAUAUAUAUNNNNNNNNNNNNNNNNNNNNNNNNNNNNNNNNNNNNNNNNNNNNNNNNNNNNNNNNNNNNNNNNNNNNNNNNNNNNNNNNNNNNNNNNNNNNNNNNNNNNNNNNNNNNNNNNNNNNNNNNNNNNNNNNNNNNNNNNNNNNNNNNNNNNNNNNNNNNNNNNNNNNNNNNNNNNNNNNNNNNNNNNNNNNNNNNNNNNNNNNNNNNNNNNNNNNNNNNNNNNNNNNNNNNNNNNNNNNNNNNNNNNNNNNNNNNNNNNNNNNNNNNNNNNNNNNNNNNNNNNNNNNNNNNNNNNNNNNNNNNNNNNNNNNNNNNNNNNNNNNNNNNNNNNNNNNNNNNNNNNNNNNNNNNNNNNNNNNNNNNNNNNNNNNNNNNNNNNNNNNNNNNNNNNNNNNNNNNNNNNNNNNNNNNNNNNNNNNNNNNNNNNNNNNNNNNNNNNNNNNNNNNNNNNNNNNNNNNNNNNNNNNNNNNNNNNNNNNNNNNNNNNNNNNNNNNNNNNNNNNNNNNNNNNNNNNNNNNNNNNNNNNNNNNNNNNNNNNNNNNNNNNNNNNNNNNNNNNNNNNNNNNNNNNNNNNNNNNNNNNNNNNNNNNNNNNNNNNNNNNNNNNNNNNNNNNNNNNNNNNNNNNNNNNNNNNNNNNNNNNNNNNNNNNNNNNNNNNNNNNNNNNNNNNNNNNNNNNNNNNNNNNNNNNNNNNNNNNNNNNNNNNNNNNNNNNNNNNNNNNNNNNNNNNNNNNNNNNNNNNNNNNNNNNNNNNNNNNNNNNNNNNNNNNNNNNNNNNNNNNNNNNNNNNNNNNNNNNNNNNNNNNNNNNNNNNNNNNNNNNNNNNNNNNNNNNNNNNNNNNNNNNNNNNNNNNNNNNNNNNNNNNNNNNNNNNNNNNNNNNNNNNNNNNNNNNNNNNNNNNNNNNNNNNNNNNNNNNNNNNNNNNNNNNNNNNNNNNNNNNNNNNNNNNNNNNNNNNNNNNNNNNNNNNNNNNNNNNNNNNNNNNNNNNNNNNNNNNNNNNNNNNNNNNNNNNNNNNNNNNNNNNNNNNNNNNNNNNNNNNNNNNNNNNNNNNNNNNNNNNNNNNNNNNNNNNNNNNNNNNNNNNNNNNNNNNNNNNNNNNNNNNNNNNNNNNNNNNNNNNNNNNNNNNNNNNNNNNNNNNNNNNNNNNNNNNNNNNNNNNNNNNNNNNNNNNNNNNNNNNNNNNNNNNNNNNNNNNNNNNNNNNNNNNNNNNNNNNNNNNNNNNNNNNNNNNNNNNNNNNNNNNNNNNNNNNNNNNNNNNNNNNNNNNNNNNNNNNNNNNNNNNNNNNNNNNNNNNNNNNNNNNNNNNNNNNNNNNNNNNNNNNNNNNNNNNNNNNNNNNNNNNNNNNNNNNNNNNNNNNNNNNNNNNNNNNNNNNNNNNNNNNNNNNNNNNNNNNNNNNNNNNNNNNNNNNNNNNNNNNNNNNNNNNNNNNNNNNNNNNNNNNNNNNNNNNNNNNNNNNNNNNNNNNNNNNNNNNNNNNNNNNNNNNNNNNNNNNNNNNNNNNNNNNNNNNNNNNNNNNNNNNNNNNNNNNNNNNNNNNNNNNNNNNNNNNNNNNNNNNNNNNNNNNNNNNNNNNNNNNNNNNNNNNNNNNNNNNNNNNNNNNNNNNNNNNNNNNNNNNNNNNNNNNNNNNNNNNNNNNNNNNNNNNNNNNNNNNNNNNNNNNNNNNNNNNNNNNNNNNNNNNNNNNNNNNNNNNNNNNNNNNNNNNNNNNNNNNNNNNNNNNNNNNNNNNNNNNNNNNNNNNNNNNNNNNNNNNNNNNNNNNNNNNNNNNNNNNNNNNNNNNNNNNNNNNNNNNNNNNNNNNNNNNNNNNNNNNNNNNNNNNNNNNNNNNNNNNNNNNNNNNNNNNNNNNNNNNNNNNNNNNNNNNNNNNNNNNNNNNNNNNNNNNNNNNNNNNNNNNNNNNNNNNNNNNNNNNNNNNNNNNNNNNNNNNNNNNNNNNNNNNNNNNNNNNNNNNNNNNNNNNNNNNNNNNNNNNNNNNNNNNNNNNNNNNNNNNNNNNNNNNNNNNNNNNNNNNNNNNNNNNNNNNNNNNNNNNNNNNNNNNNNNNNNNNNNNNNNNNNNNNNNNNNNNNNNNNNNNNNNNNNNNNNNNNNNNNNNNNNNNNNNNNNNNNNNNNNNNNNNNNNNNNNNNNNNNNNNNNNNNNNNNNNNNNNNNNNNNNNNNNNNNNNNNNNNNNNNNNNNNNNNNNNNNNNNNNNNNNNNNNNNNNNNNNNNNNNNNNNNNNNNNNNNNNNNNNNNNNNNNNNNNNNNNNNNNNNNNNNNNNNNNNNNNNNNNNNNNNNNNNNNNNNNNNNNNNNNNNNNNNNNNNNNNNNNNNNNNNNNNNNNNNNNNNNNNNNNNNNNNNNNNNNNNNNNNNNNNNNNNNNNNNNNNNNNNNNNNNNNNNNNNNNNNNNNNNNNNNNNNNNNNNNNNNNNNNNNNNNNNNNNNNNNNNNNNNNNNNNNNNNNNNNNNNNNNNNNNNNNNNNNNNNNNNNNNNNNNNNNNNNNNNNNNNNNNNNNNNNNNNNNNNNNNNNNNNNNNNNNNNNNNNNNNNNNNNNNNNNNNNNNNNNNNNNNNNNNNNNNNNNNNNNNNNNNNNNNNNNNNNNNNNNNNNNNNNNNNNNNNNNNNNNNNNNNNNNNNNNNNNNNNNNNNNNNNNNNNNNNNNNNNNNNNNNNNNNNNNNNNNNNNNNNNNNNNNNNNNNNNNNNNNNNNNNNNNNNNNNNNNNNNNNNNNNNNNNNNNNNNNNNNNNNNNNNNNNNNNNNNNNNNNNNNNNNNNNNNNNNNNNNNNNNNNNNNNNNNNNNNNNNNNNNNNNNNNNNNNNNNNNNNNNNNNNNNNNNNNNNNNNNNNNNNNNNNNNNNNNNNNNNNNNNNNNNNNNNNNNNNNNNNNNNNNNNNNNNNNNNNNNNNNNNNNNNNNNNNNNNNNNNNNNNNNNNNNNNNNNNNNNNNNNNNNNNNNNNNNNNNNNNNNNNNNNNNNNNNNNNNNNNNNNNNNNNNNNNNNNNNNNNNNNNNNNNNNNNNNNNNNNNNNNNNNNNNNNNNNNNNNNNNNNNNNNNNNNNNNNNNNNNNNNNNNNNNNNNNNNNNNNNNNNNNNNNNNNNNNNNNNNNNNNNNNNNNNNNNNNNNNNNNNNNNNNNNNNNNNNNNNNNNNNNNNNNNNNNNNNNNNNNNNNNNNNNNNNNNNNNNNNNNNNNNNNNNNNNNNNNNNNNNNNNNNNNNNNNNNNNNNNNNNNNNNNNNNNNNNNNNNNNNNNNNNNNNNNNNNNNNNNNNNNNNNNNNNNNNNNNNNNNNNNNNNNNNNNNNNNNNNNNNNNNNNNNNNNNNNNNNNNNNNNNNNNNNNNNNNNNNNNNNNNNNNNNNNNNNNNNNNNNNNNNNNNNNNNNNNNNNNNNNNNNNNNNNNNNNNNNNNNNNNNNNNNNNNNNNNNNNNNNNNNNNNNNNNNNNNNNNNNNNNNNNNNNNNNNNNNNNNNNNNNNNNNNNNNNNNNNNNNNNNNNNNNNNNNNNNNNNNNNNNNNNNNNNNNNNNNNNNNNNNNNNNNNNNNNNNNNNNNNNNNNNNNNNNNNNNNNNNNNNNNNNNNNNNNNNNNNNNNNNNNNNNNNNNNNNNNNNNNNNNNNNNNNNNNNNNNNNNNNNNNNNNNNNNNNNNNNNNNNNNNNNNNNNNNNNNNNNNNNNNNNNNNNNNNNNNNNNNNNNNNNNNNNNNNNNNNNNNNNNNNNNNNNNNNNNNNNNNNNNNNNNNNNNNNNNNNNNNNNNNNNNNNNNNNNNNNNNNNNNNNNNNNNNNNNNNNNNNNNNNNNNNNNNNNNNNNNNNNNNNNNNNNNNNNNNNNNNNNNNNNNNNNNNNNNNNNNNNNNNNNNNNNNNNNNNNNNNNNNNNNNNNNNNNNNNNNNNNNNNNNNNNNNNNNNNNNNNNNNNNNNNNNNNNNNNNNNNNNNNNNNNNNNNNNNNNNNNNNNNNNNNNNNNNNNNNNNNNNNNNNNNNNNNNNNNNNNNNNNNNNNNNNNNNNNNNNNNNNNNNNNNNNNNNNNNNNNNNNNNNNNNNNNNNNNNNNNNNNNNNNNNNNNNNNNNNNNNNNNNNNNNNNNNNNNNNNNNNNNNNNNNNNNNNNNNNNNNNNNNNNNNNNNNNNNNNNNNNNNNNNNNNNNNNNNNNNNNNNNNNNNNNNNNNNNNNNNNNNNNNNNNNNNNNNNNNNNNNNNNNNNNNNNNNNNNNNNNNNNNNNNNNNNNNNNNNNNNNNNNNNNNNNNNNNNNNNNNNNNNNNNNNNNNNNNNNNNNNNNNNNNNNNNNNNNNNNNNNNNNNNNNNNNNNNNNNNNNNNNNNNNNNNNNNNNNNNNNNNNNNNNNNNNNNNNNNNNNNNNNNNNNNNNNNNNNNNNNNNNNNNNNNNNNNNNNNNNNNNNNNNNNNNNNNNNNUAUAUAUAUAUAUAUAUAUAUCUAUAUAUAUAUAUAUAUAUAUAUAUAUAUAUAUAGAGAGAGAGAGAGAGAUAGAGAGAGAGAGAGAGAGAGAGAGAGAGAGAGAGAGAGAGAGAGUUUCCAUUUAGCCUUUCUCUCAACCGCGGGACAUCCUAACAUGUUUAGUUAGGGUUUCUUCGGGUUCGCGUUUAAAUACGCCUUCUCGGAUCGGAGCUUGGUUGCCCCUCCUUUGGUUUGUUAAGACCUUCGUCUUGGAAGCGGCGGCUUUACAGGGGCAGGUGAGAGGAUGAGUCGCGGUGGGGCAGCGGCGGCUGCCGCGAAGGGCGGGAAGAAGAAGGGUUCCACCUUCGUCAUCGAUUGCGCGAAGCCGGUGGAGGACAAGAUCAUGGACAUCGCCUCCCUGGAGAAGUUCCUCCAGGAGAGGAUCAAGGUGGCAGGCGGCAAGGCCGGCGCACUCGGCGACGCCGUAACCGUCACCCGCGACAAGAGCAAGAUCACCGUCACCUCCGAGGGUCCCUUCUCGAAGCGGUAAUACCUUGUCUCGUUUCCGGUGGAUAUUCUUUAUUGGCUCUAAUUCAGUUAUCUGGAUCAUGGAUUCUUGGUAUGGCGUUGUAAUUUAGUGCAAAUGAGGUUUUACAUGAUUAGUUGCUGCGAUAUCUGUUGCUUAUAUUCUCGUGCUCGAUUCAAGAAGUAGGAGAUAGUCUUCGACAGCUUGUAGAGGACUUGAGAUGGCGUUUAUUAUGACAUAUUGUGUUGGAUGUUUGCAUUUGUGCCCACCUGUUUGAAAUCUUGCAGCUAAUAACUUUAGAUGCUAUUUUGUUACCAUAAUGCAUAGGUUAAAGUGUUGUUAGAUAUAGACGUCCUUAUCACAUCCACGUUCAACAGUGUUUCAGCACAUAUUUUAGUUCUUCUUGCGAAUGGAGGAAGAAGAUUUUUUCGAAAGUUGGUGGCGACGUAAAAGGGAUAGUUAAUUGUUUUAGCCAGUUGUUAGAGAUGGACCACUUGAAAGAAGAGAAGUGUGGUCUUAAAAUCUUAAUUGCCUCCCUUGGUAACUUAGUUAACAUGGCUUUGACUUCAUUACAUGUGUAGUAUUUGUUAAAGGAAUUAGAUGUUUUGACUCGCCGAGUAGUCAUUGCUUUAUUGUGCAGAACAUAUGGAUGUUCUUAUGGUCGGUAUCGUGAACUUUAGGUGGGUCAUUAUAGUUGCCUGACAGAAUCAUGGGUUUUAUGAGGUAUUGUUUGCCUUUUGGAGAUGUACAAUGUUUUGAUGUAAGUCCACUCUUGUGUUGAUAUGAUUUGUAAGCUAAGAUAUUAAUUUUGGAUUGAGGUCUAGCAGAACCCCCCCUUUUUUCCACUUUGAUUUGCUUCUUAAGUUUAGCAACAGUUGAACUUUUCUCAGCUUCUAUGAUAGUCUGAUUUUUUAACUUGGCAGCAUUGCUAUCAUGCCCUGUUCAUUCAUUUUGUGAUUUCAAAAUUUGGAGGAUACUGAGUUGCGGACCCUUAAUAUUUCAUUCAACGCUUUCUACUUAGAACCAAUAAUUGUGAAGUUCUUUUUUUGUAAAUUAGUACUGUGAGAUUGAAGGGAUGCCAUAUGCUAUGUUUUUUACUUGGAAUUGAUAUGCACUUAUAGCUCUAUUCUAAUUUAAAAUUCUGUGUCUUACAACUUUUUGUUCUGAUCACUGUAGCUCUUACGCACUUUUCUUUUUUCUUAAGUGUUCUCACGAUUUUUUUGUUAAUUCAUAGAUUUCAUAUCAUCAAUUAUUACAUUGAUGAUGGAGUCUUAUCAAUGGUUUCACCAAUUUGUGGGUAUAUGUCAAGAUGGUUACAUGUGUAUUAAUCUAGUUCUUAUGUUUUAUAUGUUUAUCGUACCUGUUAUUAACAACAGGUUUUGACAAGAUCGUCAAGCUAAUUUAGAAAAUAAUUUAUUGCCUUAUUUUAUAGUUAAGCGUUGCUCAUUGCGCAUGUGAUAUGGCACUGCAAAACCUAUUUUUGUAGAUCCCAUAUUCGUUUUCCAUCAUCAUGAUAUAGUGUGUAUUUUUUCAUAGGUACUUAAAGUACCUGACAAAAAAGUACUUGAAGAAGCACAAUGUGCGGGAUUGGCUGCGAGUGAUUGCUUCUAACAAAGAUCGCAAUGUUUACGAGCUUCGAUACUUCAACAUUGCUGAGAACGAGGGAGAAGAGGAAGAGUGAUGAUGGUGUGCCCUUAUUAUCCCUUUUUGUUGCCUUGUUUGGUUAAUUUAUGAUAAAUUAGAAGGUUUCUCCUGUUGUGGUUUGUUAUGUUCAAACACGUUUUCUACUUUUAUCGUUUCAAUUUCAGAAGGUUUCUCCCUUAUUCGGUGGUCUUAUUUAUUUAGCAGUAAACAAUUUGAUGGUUUCCUUGUGAUGCUUAUUCCUCGUUUAGCUCAAUAAUUAUUCUUCUUUCUGCGAGGUGAGACACUUCAAUAUCCAAAUUGGGGAACAUUCAUUACAUUACUGCAUGAUAGAAAACAUUCUGGUUGAGUAUUACAAUUUGCAUUUAAAAUUCUUUUUCACAAUUCAUCUUGAACGCUGAUGUUCACUAUGAGCACUUGAACUUUUACAUCGAAGCUUGUGUUGGACCGGCUGUUUGGUUCUAGUAGUAGAACAAAUUUGAACGGGUAUUGGCUUGUCAUUUUAGCUUUACUUUAAUUUCUUCAUAUCAUAUUGAUAGAUUGGUUAAUAAGUUGCUAAUUCUUUCACUGGUAAGUUGUUUGCAGCUAAUUCUUUCACUGGUAAGUUUGCUGCAAACAACGAUAGUUUAUUUAAAUGUCAUUUCCCGGUUUUCUGACAUUUUCGAUCCAAUUACGAAUAAUGAAUCUUUGCUCGGUGAACCCUUUUUUUGUUAUUAUUAUCAGCCAGGCUGUCUAGAUGUUAAUAAUCACUUACAUAUAUUUAUAAUUCAAAAGCUGAUUGUUUAUCUAUUUGGCUGUUAAAUUAUUGAUAUUUUUUCUGGCCUAACAUUACCAAAAGAUAUAAAAAGGAAAAUGAAGGUAGGUAAAAUAAAUACACGACAGACAUAUUUUGCAUUUCCAAAACAUUGAUCUGAAACUAAUGUAUUUGGACUCAUCUAAGUUUAAUUUGACAAAUUUUACACGUUAAAUAUUAAUUUACUUAUUAAAGGUUUAAGAAUUUAAAAUCUCAUCGAUGUUAUCUUAAAAUGUUGGUGAUGAAUAGUAUAUCAAAAUCAGGAUUGAGACACCUGAAACAUUGACCCUGAUUCUUACGUGCUUUGAUUUUAUCAUAUCGUAUCGUCACAAAGAUUAUUAUAAGAUCAACAACCUUCCCAUUACAAGGUGAGGUCCGACAAUAUAUUAAGAUGUAAGCAGGUUUUAUAGCAACAAUACCCGGCGGUGGUGGGCACAAAAGAACAACUAAAAAUCAGUAUGAGUUUGACGACUUGGUGACUCAAAUUGCUUUGUAAAGGAUUUCUUUUCUAAAAAAGGCUUGCGAAACCAAAACAUUUCGAGCAAUGAUUGAUUUCUUUCAAACGUCAUAUAGAGACAACUAACGUCUGUCUCUAUAUGAAGUUUGAAAGGCCCGGAAUCUAACAACGGUUACGGUGGCACUCAUUUGGCUCGGCACCGAUAAAUACACACUGGGCCCCCUUUGACUGCAUGGACUUAUGAGCUCAUCAUGCAAAUAAGCAAUAAUGCCACUCUUAAUGAUUGAUCGUACCACCGCAGGCAGGAUAUUAAGUUACGAUAAUAUUUCUAUAAAAAGAUUUUGACUUUCUAGAUCAUUAUAAAAAAAUGGUAAUAUCAAAAACUUGCAUACAUGAUCACCAACUCCUUCAAAACAAAACAUAACAAACAUCCGGAAAUGAUAUAAAAGCGAGCUUCUAGGUCUUGCAACAUCUCUAAAACCCAUAAGAAAGAAAUGAUCCAUUGCGACCCGGGAGUCAUGUUAUCCAUUACUUGUUAGAUUUCUUGCGAACCCUGCAUAAGAAAUUUUACCGUUAUUCUAUGAAUAGAAAAACUUCAAAGAGCUUUUAUAAAAUGUGAAUUGAGGAGAAAUUCCUACUCGGAUUGGGCGGUGGCGGGUACUAGGUCUCCAGGCCCCUGUUUGCAAACAGAACAAAAUACAUAACUCAUUUGUUUUGAAUUCAAUUCCAAACGAUAGCAGAAACCAGUUCCUCCUCAUAAACAAAGAUGAAUGGCUUGGCUUCUCCCACACAAAAUAAAAUAAAAUAUUUACUAUCGACAAAAUCAAGCUUGCAAUGACAUUUAUAUUAUAACCCAGGCCAAACAAACAAACAAAGCAAGUCUUCAUUAUCUUCUUUUUCUCUGGCUAACUGACAGUAAAUCAUUGGUGAAAUCAUUUUCCCUCAAAAUUUAAGAAAUAUUAAAAGAAAAAAAAACCAAGUUUAUCACUGCUAGUUAUUAUUGAAAGAAAAUAUGCUUAUCCUUAUCCAGCUAAAGAUGGUUUCUAAUACAUAUUUCUAUAAAAUAAUCAUCAAAGAUGCUCGGGAAAGAAGAGUAGCAGCAUAGAAUGCGUUGGAUAUAGCAUAAAAUACGUGGAAUAUAUCCAAACAAGAAUCAGGAACUCUCAACAACCAAAACAGUCGAAUGGGAAAAUGAUUGUGCAAAAAACCCUGCUGACUGCACGUCGUAUUCAUUGCAGAAAAACAAUGUUGAAAAAUUAUCGGACCUGAGCCAGGCGUUCCUCCCUCCUGGCAAUCUUCCUUUCUCUGCUAGCCUUGCUCUUGGCACGUUUAGCUUCAAAUUGAUCAGAUAAGGUCUUCUCUCUUGCCUUUUCAGCUUUGGAUUUAUGAAUACUUUCCAUCAGCACCCUCUUGUUCUUAAAAACGUUACCUUUGACUUUCAUGUACAUGUCAUGGUACAUGUGCUUGUCAAUCUUCUUCGACUCACGGUACUUCCUAAGCAACCGUCUAAGAACUCGCAUCCGACGCAUCCAAAGGACCUUAGUCGGAAGCCUAGCUUCUCUUGUACCCCUGCGCUUCCCUGUAAUACAGAUAAGAUUGGUCAAAGAAAGGCUAAAGAAGAACAGAAUUUAUAAAAGAAUUAUUACCAUAUCCAGAAUGUCGCCCUUUUCUCUUAGCUUCAAGUGCCCUCCUUGCACGAGAUCGCGAAUGAAUCUUGGUUGGCUUCCUGAUGAUAAAACCAUCCUUAACAAGCUUUCUUAUAUUUUGGCCUGCAUAACAAAACCAUCAUGCUCCAUCGCAAAUGAACAUGAAAAGCUGUUGCCAAAGCAAAGUUCUUACUAAAACAGUCAAGAUCAAACUACAGUUAUAAAAAGUUCGUCACCAAAAAGCCGUUAGCAAGUAGUGCUCAGAGUCUUUUUCUGCUUUCCAAAAUCAAUGAUGUUUGUGCAGGGAAGAACUGCUACAAUGUUCUUCCCAUAGUGGUCCAUGUUAAUCUCUUGUAUUACAUAUGUUCCCUACUCAUAUAACCACUAACUCGAUCCCCAAACGGUCCUAUGCCCUGCCAUAAUUCACUUUCCCCAACCACUAGCCUAUUCCUGUCUGUCAUGUUCUCAUACUGAUGCAAUCAAUAGCAGCAUCGGUCAGCUAAUAGCUUACAAAUGGAGAUGAAUGGCAAUCGCACCAGCAGUCUGUUCAACUGAUACAGUGCUUUUGAGAAGAAAAGGUAAUUCUCUUUGGCCCAAGGCCUUAGCGAUCUCCUCCUGGUCUUUCUUUUGUUCGAUCGUAUUAUGCAUUCAUAAAACAUGAACGAGGUGAUUCUGGAGUAGGAACCUGUAGCUUAGCCUGUUGGUGCACAAAGAAAUCUUGAAACUUCUGUUCGAGAGUACAGAGUGAGUAUGAUAUGAACACAUCGAAAACACUACACACAAGAACUAACAUAGACACGAGUUUUCAUGUAAUAUAAUUAGGAACAUAUCCAAAAGCCGACCUUUAAAUCAAAAAUACCUUAUCAAGCGUUGAUUUUAGCAUAUUAACAGAUAUCGGCAGCGGUUAUAACGAAGAAAAGAAAAUUUUACCGAUUUCUAUCUACAAACGAAACCAACAAAGAAGGGCUUGGGAUUCAAGUACAAGCGCCGAAUCGAUCGGAAAGACGGUGAGAGGACAACAACAGCGAGGGAUCGAUAAGGAGAAAAGCUUCUCACGAGAGUUCGCCAUGGAGAUCUCGUUGACCUCAUUGGGGUCGAGCCAGACCUUGCCCCUCCCGCAUUUGAGGACGCUUCCGGCGAGCCUCUUCUGGAGCUUCAGCGACACCAUCGCUCGUCUCUUCUGCCCUUGGUCGUUGCGAGACAGAACGAGAGGCGGCCGCAGGUAGCGACAGAUGGAUCAUUUGUAAGCUAUUUGCUCUAGGGUUUCUCGAGAGCAAUGUCUUAGACAGAUGGGCCGACCUACGGCCCACUGUACCGUGAUCGGGCCGAGCUCGAGCUGCAUAGAGCCCUAAAUUAGAUUUGUUUUUUCAGUAAAAGAAUAAAUUGAGGAUUUUUUUCAGUAAGUUCUACCAAAAUCUUUAUUGAUAUUUUUUAUUAAUCACCCAAUCACAUAAGAUCUGUAUCAAAUAUUUGUUUCCACAUUGAACAUUUUAGAUAUUUUAUACACAUUCAAUAUUUACAUUUUAGAUAAGGAUCAAUCAAUACACAUUAAAUGAAAACUUCCAACUGUUUAAUACUAAUUCAAUAAUUUCACUUUGGCUCUCGAGCAUCCUACCUUGCAUUAGUAUACCAACAUGUUGAUUCAACAAGUUGGGUCAUCAAAAUUCAUCUGAUUCUCUAAUAGACGGGCUAAUUAUAUAUUACUUGUGUAGUUAGUUACCAUUAGCAUCUUGAUCCUUACAUUUAAAAAAAUUACAUUAGCAUCUCUCUAAUUAUGAAAGUGAAACAUCUAUAUCUAUGUACCAUAACAUCAUCGGUUUCACUAAUAGAAACACAAAAAUAAAUGAUAAAAAUAUAAUUUUAAUGUUUUAGUUGAUGAUAACGAACGACGUCAGUGGUCGCGGAUGUAAAGCGAUGAUGGGCCACUCUAUGACUCCAUCACGGAGCGAUGUUUGUUGCACAAAGUCAUCGGUACUAAUUUCAUAAUCAUUAAGACCAUAUAGUUGGCUCCUUUGCCUGCUCUCUAAAACCAUUAACAACGUCUUCACUUUGCUCUUCCCCAUCGAGCUCACCCCGUUGUCAUCAUCGACCAGAGCCCUCGUAACGUCCUCCGCCUAGUUUACCUCCUCGACGUCCCCUACAGCCUUAGCUUCAUCACUUUUUAUCAGGUUUAGCAGCGCAGUUGUAGCAUUUUCUCUCACCCUCCCAUUCCCCCCAACCACUAUAUCUACCAGGAUGUUGACAUUGUCCACCCUUCAUAAUGCCUCCAUGCUCUCGUUGUAUCCUGCCAGUUGGGUGAUCACCAUCGUCACAUCCUCUAUCACCUCCCUUCACCUGUCCUUCACCACCAACGCAAAGAGGGGUAGCACAAUGCCUGGCUCGACGAGGGCGAUGCAAAUGAGCAAGUAGAGGGCAUAGAGCAUGUUCUUGAUGGACCUAGUUAGUACGUCAAAUUGUCAAGGAGGUCCAUGAAGGCAAUGAUGAGGGGGCUUCUUUGGCUUGAUGAUGAAAUAAUACACUUUGAUAAAGAGGAGGUUGUAAAGGGUUGUGGUAGCAUGUUGGGGGUGACAAGAGUGUCAAGGAUGCUCGAGAUGCACAUGAGCCCAUUGUGAACAGAGAUGGAGAGGUUAAGGAGGGUAACAACAGUGUUCUCUUAGGCCACGAUCGUAGACAAGUGGUGGUCGAGGAUGAAGUGACAAGAGAGGCACAGUGUCGAUGUCGGUGAGGGGGGUGUGCAUCUCCGAAUCCUACUUCAAUAGGUGACAAAUUUCCAUGAUGGAUUCAACGACAGACUUCAAUUUUACGGUGACAAAGUGUCAACGCAGGUGUAGAGUGAUGAAAAGACUGCUUGGCAAUUGUAUUGACAUUGACGCUAGCGAUACCGUCAUCUACCACUACCGAUGUCAUAUGCUAUCAUCAACUGGAAUGUUAUAAUUAUUAUUUUUAUUUUUUGUUAUCAUUAUUUUUAUUGAUAAAUAGAUCUAUAUAUUUUUUACUUUCAUAAUUAUAAAAAUACUAAUAUAAUUUUUUAAAAUAUAAGAAUCAAAAUACUGAAAAAAAUUGUAAUCUAAUUAACCGCCAUGUGACAUUAGUCGAUUUCCGACUCUUAACAUAAACGAGUCUCGUUUGUCCCACCUCGCACCGGCUUCUCUCGGAGCCCCAGAAACGAGUUCUCGUCGCGACCCGAAAGGCUAGUUGGUCGGACCAAAUCACCCUGGGAAUCUUCCGGGCCAAGGUGGUUUCGCAACGACCUGACUCGUGAGGCCCACAACAUGAUGACGUGGCACCUUAUAACUUGCCGAGUCGGGCUCUAGCGUAGCGUGGGCCCCUUUUCUCUCACUCGAUCCGUGGAACCUAUGAACUCGGGCGACGCGGUCUCGAGUGGCAUGCGGACCCAGCCUCCGUUAGCCAACCAGAUACGAGGACUUUUUUUCGAGGCACCCCAGACGUUGGUGAGGUGGGCUCCAGAGCAGCGUGGCCCCCGCUUCUCUCUCACCCAGCAUGUUGAGCCCAUGCAAAUGGGUGACGCGGUCUCGAAUGGUAUGUGCGCCCAACAUUUCUCGCUCACCAGAUACGUGGAGCCCUCGGACAUAGGUGACGCGGCCCGCAUAAGUGAGUCCCACAAUUGUACUCCACGUGUCUUUGGUAGACCUGGCGUGGGGCCGCACAUGUGGGUCCCACUCGCGACUCCCCUGCCUCGCCGACCUAGUUCGGGAACCAACGGAUCAAAUGACGACACCAGUGGUUCGUCUCCUCUCUCGGACGGUGGAGUGCGACGGCAGUGAGGCGGUGCGGACGAACGGGGGAUGGUAUCGAGAGAAGGAAUAAGGGUUUCGACGAACGCGGAAUAGCCCUUCGCCUCCUCUUUCCCCGCAGCUGGUGGCCGGAGGUCUCUCUACGCCAUGUUCGAGGGCGUGGUGAGCCAAGUGCUCGCCGGCUACCUCGGCCGCUUCGUCAAGGGCAUCCAGAAGGACCAGCUUAAGAUCGGCAUCUGGAACGGUAACCCUAGGCGCCACUUCUCCUACUUUAUUUUUUAUUUUUGGAUCCUUGAUCCCUUCCUAGAACCCUUGAGUCUUUGCUUCCCGGUGAGGAAGAUUGUUUCUUGUUCGAGUAAUUGUUUCUUUAUCUGAAACACGUUUAAUAUCAUCCGCUAUUGCAUGAUGAUGGGGUAAUUGAUCUAGUUGAUCACCUAGUCGGCUUGUAGACCGACUUAUAACGUUAAAACGUAGGGCCCUUGGCAACUAACUCGGUAGAGAAAACUAAUGAUAAGAUUGUGUUAUGUCAAAUUGAUGUCGCUGCAGAAUUUCAGGAAGAUUUGUGAUUCGUGAAGUAUAAACUGACAUCUAACUGAGGGCGAGCCUUGACAUCACAGUACCUAGCUGACCGGGUUUGAGUUGCUGAAACAGCUUCUCUGUUUAUUGCUGUAAGGCUGACCCUCCGAAGACCCCUUAUGUUUUUGCACUGGGUCUUGCUUCUCUAACAGGUAUCCUGCUGUUUGGUGAUUAAAACAUAUAGAAAGAAAAAAUAUUGCCCUCAAAUUAAGAGGGUUGUUCAGUACUUAGACUUUCCAAAAAAAAUCGUGACAGAUAUAGCUUUGAAAGUAACUGGAUCGACUUAAUCUUCAAGGAUGGCAAUGGAAGAUAAAUAUGGCAUUAGGUGAAUGUCCUGUGUCGUGUAACUGAAGAUGCAUUAUCAUGUCCCGGUGUCCAAAACAUCUGCUAAUAUAUUCUCAAUCAAUCAGUAGAUGGAAGAAACAAAGAUUUUAGAAUACAUAUUAACAGUAGUAUUCUCUCACUCUUUGUUCUCAUUGGUAGAAAGUGUUUCACUCAUGAGUCUAUCUUGGGCAGAAAGGUAUCCUUACUGGUCUGAAUUUUUAAACCUUGGUUUCGUCAAAAUUUGAACCUUAACUUGGAUUUUAUGGUUGGUUGACUUGUGCCAGUUCUGAUGGCAUGGUACUUUGUCACAUACUAUGCCAUGGGAUGGUGCAUAAAGGCAUGGCUCUAUAUCUUGCCUUAAAACACAUUGUGGCAUUUGCAUAGAUGCUUUGCAGGAAUAGUAACAUAAUGCAGCAUGAUGUGACUCAAAAUGCAGAAUGUUAGAUGUUAAUCAAAGGCCAGAUUUUGCUUUGCACUUGAUACAAUACUCCUUGCAUCAUCUUGCUGGCUUAUUUUGAUUUUGUGAAGCUUAGCUUGCACAAGGAACUCAGUUGUACAUUGUUGGACAGAAAAUAGCAUGAUGUGCAUUAUGGACUUUGAGACCUGUAGAUUUUAGAUGUGAAUAAUUUUUUUGUUGUUAUCUUUAAACAAAUUGUUAAUCUCUUUUAUUAUAGAUGAGACAUGUAACAGUAAGUCAGUAACUUCUUUCAUAUACUGUUUGUGCCUGAAUUUCUUAAGUCUCUGCUUAAGAUAGCAGAUUGGUUUUAUGUUGCCCUUAUUAAUUCUGACUGUUUAUUAAUUUUUUCAGAAGAAAUAUUAUUGGAGAAUGUGGAGUUAAUACUUGAAGCCUUUGACUAUUUGCAGUUGCCGUUUGCAUUGAAAGAUGGUACUUGCCUCUAGCUCUUUCUUUUUUUCAGUCACUCAGGAUCAGUGCUCUUGUUUUUUCUGUGCCAUGCUUGGCCAUGAUUCUCGUUUUUGAAAACUGGUCUACUCAGAUCCACUCACUUUGAUAUAAAUGGUUCAGAUUCUCAUAUGCUUGUCUUUUUUGUGCAUUAUGUAUUUUCUUUCCAAUGUAAACUUUCUAUUCUCUUAUGCUUGUCUUCUUUAUCCAUUAUGCAUUUUCUUUCCAAUUAUUGUAUAUGCAUGAAGUCACAUCUUUAUUCAAACUUUAAAGCUCAUAGAUUUAUACUGGAUCACCAGAUUGCAUUCUAUAAUUCUAUAUCAGUGUUCCUACUUGCUACUUGAUAUCAAAGGCUUGUUUUAAAUAUUUUCUGUUGGUAUGUCUCUACUAGCCACAAUUUAUCCAGCAAUCAAGUUGCGGAUAUAUCUGUCAUGGUUCUGCUGGCCACACCCAAUCUAGCUGGCAUUUGAUGUUGCCAAAAAAAGUUUGCUAAUUAUUCUGACAACAGUGCCUAACUUGAUUAAUAGGAUUUCUAAAAUUCUUUGUCCCUCUCACUUUGUCAUUGAAGAUUGUUUGAGGAUCAUGUGAUCUAUGAGCUUGUUAGAUGCCAUCAACUUUGGCCUGUCUGAUAUGGGGUCAACAAUUGAAAUGCAGGACAGUUGUUUCACUCCCUGAUGUGACAACAGUUUAACUGAUGAAUAUGGCUUAACAACCUUUAUGCAAUUAUCAUCUAUGUGGCUACUUCUGGGACACAAGUGGCCUGUUUUAUCAAAUUGUUUGCAAUGAGUUCUAUUAUAGGAUGUUUAAAUAUUUUUGUCUUCUACAAUAACCCUAGAAAAUACUGUUAUUAACAAGACUCCAUUGUCAAAUAUUCUUAUAGCUUGUAUUAUUAUUAUUUUUUUGGUUUGUAACUUUUUUCUUGUGCUUUUCUCUCUUUUGGUUGAUAUCGCUGAAAUUCAAAACCCCCAAAACUGGUUCUUGAACAGCUGAGCUUAGACUGAUACUGAAGAGAUGCUGAACCUUGCCUUUUUAUUUGUUACACUUGACUUUGAGUUCUUAUGUUGACUGUGUAGUAUCAAGAUCAAUUUAUUUUGUAUUCAUAGGCACUUUGGCACUUAAAAUUUAUUAUACAGGGAGGGUUGGGAAACUGAGCAUUAAAAUUCCUUGGAAAAAGCUUGGGUGGGACCCUAUCAUAGUUGUCUUGGAGAACAUAUUCAUAUGUGCUUGCCAACGUGAAGAUAAUGAGGUAUGCUUAUAUUUUUUAUAAUAUAAAUAAGUUUUUUUGUUAGCUUUUUCCUCACGUGUGUUUGCCUGGCAUCUGAUGCAUCAUUCAAAAUUUCUAUUAGUUUCGGCCUAAAUAAUGCCUAUUGGUUGUUAUGAUAAACAUGACAAUUUUGUUCUUUUACAGUGGAGUUCUGAUUUGGUGGAGAAAAGGGAAUUGGCUGGGAAAAUGGCAAAACUUAAUGCCAUAGAACUAGCAAAGCUGUCAAGGCGAGUCUCUGGUGAGUUAUUGCGUUGCUAUGGUUCAUAGAUAUGAUAUUAUUGUCUCUUGUUGCUAAAUUGCUGUUCCACUCUUAGUCUGCAUAUAUGUUGUUUAAGCACUUUAGGCUUUGACUCUUGCUGUGAUCUCCAAGUCCAUGCUGUUCUCAUUAUUGCAUAUGCCCUGUCAGUACUGCACCAGAUAGGAAACUUGUAUAUGUGGUUGUUCUAUGUGCAAGAGUAUUUUUACAGUAUAGAAUUUUUUGCAUGAUCAUAUAAAGACCCAAGAAAUGUUUUAGGUAUAUCUAGUGAAUUUUUACCUUUAUGGUCUUAAUAUAUCACUUCUGAAUUUAGAUUACAUUGGUGGACUUUCAGUGUGCUAGAUUUUACUUGUCACAAAGUUGGCAUGAUUUCGAUAAUUGCAUUUCUAUGAAAUUUUUUGGUAAGUUUUGGUCAGUGAUUUAAAAAGCACUAGGCGCCAACGUUCCAAACGCCCGAAGCUCUAGGCGCUUGCCUGACUAAAGAGAGGCGCUUUGAAAUAUUAAAAUAAAUAAAUAUAAUAUAAUUAAUAAAUAUAAUUAUUUCAAUAAAAAUAUGACAUUAAAUUAAAAAUAUAUUGUUAACAAUAGUUAUAAGGGAAGAAAAGAAUUGUUAAUAGUAAUAGAGGGGGAUUAAAGGGCCACCGACAGUGGAAACCGAUAGUACAAAGUGACAACAAUAGUGGUGAGAAGGCAACAGUGAGAAGUUGGCAGUAGCAACGGUGGAGGAUUAGUUUAAGACAAUUGUGACAGCAGUGGCGGCGACGGAAGCUGUGUCCGCUGGUGGCGGAGGAACCCGUGGUCCUCUCCCUCGACAGUGGAAGGAACUGCACAUGGAGCAGCGGUGGAAGGAAGCUAUGGGCUCUUGCUAGGCCAUUAGACCCGUCCGUCCGCAACAAAGGAAGGCUCGGUCCGCUUCGUCUGCAGCGGAGGCAGCGACAAAAAGCGUCGGCAGCGUAGGCGGAAGCAAUGGUAGGGUUGGCUCGGGGCCACGCGGGCGUGAAGGUUGGCUUUUGAGGGUAAGAAAUUGCAUCUACAGUUUAACCGAACCAGACUUAAAAGAGUCUUGUUUGGUUGCCUUAUUUGAAUUGGGCGCUCGCCUGAAGUGCCCGGCGCUUGGGUUCGGGUGAGCGCCCAAGCGGUGCGUCAGUGAAGCACGUCGCCUGGUCUACACAUGAGGCGCUCGGGCCUUGCCUCGCCUCGCUUGAGUGCUUAGGCAAGUGCCCGAGCGCCUAUUUAAAUCAUUGGUUAUGGUAGACAUGGAUUGAUCUGUUUUGUGCUGGUGUCCAAUCAGUUAUACUUUUCAAUCCUUACACAACUUUGUCUACCUUUCUAGUAAUAAAAGAUCAAUCUGACUAUAGUUAUGGCCACUCUAAUAAGAAAUCAUCCCCUUCAUUCUUCUCCCCACGACCAAAGCUCCUUUUCAAUCCGCUGUGGUCACUGUACCUUUUUCCUAUAUGGCUAUUCAAAUCUCUUGUGGUUAUGAGUUUUUCUUCUUGUUAUGUCUAGGAAUAUGCUGACAUGGCUUGAUGAUAAUUUAUGGCAAAAGCUUAUACACAUGAUCCAUGAGGAAAGCUUUUUGGUGCUGAGUGUUUUAUCUAAUUUUGCAGCAACACAGCGGAACCAUCUGGCGUUUAGUUUAUAUCUCAUAAUGACACAGAUAUGCCACAGAUUGUGGUAGUUAGGGGAGGCGAAAUGGUUACAAGUGGUACGAGAAGAGAUAGAGGGAGACUAAAAAUACUUUAGUAGGAACUAUAAAUAAUGAUUUAAAUACUCUAACAUAGAUAUGACUGACUCUUUAUAAAUCUAAAUGACGGUAAAAGAUUCAUAUAGCUAAUCCAAAAAAGUUGGGACUUUAUAGCUAAGUUGUUGUUGUUGAAUGACACUGAUAUGCAUGGUUUUAAGCAUGGUACAAGCAUCAUGUACAAUGCUUGGAUUAUUACAAUCAUUGAUUGUGACAGGGCUGAGCCAGGUUAUACUGUUUUACAUGACCCUUCAUGUGCCAGAAAAAUAGUGACCUUGAUUGGCACUGUUCCAGUGUUUCUUGUACCACCACCUUUCCAAAUGAUUCAUUGUACACAUAUACUGGCACUUGAGUUGGAAUACACAGAGUGAUUUGCAUUUAUUGAAAUUUAGUUGAUUAAAAUAAACUUUUAAUAACAUGAGGUCUUUGAAUUUUGUAUUUGAAUAUGAAUAUGGUGUAUCAUUAUAUUCUUCUACUGAAAUUUAGUUGACACAAUUGUGGAUGUGGUUCCUGUUGUCAACCAUGAAUUCUGUGCUUCAAACUACUUUCUUUUGUGCACAGAUGUACACAGUCUCUAUUGUUAAAGUUGUAUAUUUUCGUAAAUAUAUUAAUGAGUUAGUCCUGGUGGUAUAACAACAAUGGUUAACUUUUACAGUUUUAUUAUGUUAAGUUCUUGCUGGCAAAUUGUCCUUUAAUUGAUUUGCUCUGCUCUUUUGAUUUUUGCAAGUUAAUCUUUCGAUUUGAAUUUUUUUCCUCCAGAUGAUCAGGCUGGUCAAUCAUUUAUUUCAUACAUCUCUGCAAAGGUGAACAUGUUAAACCAGCUGAUUGUUUAUACUUUUCGAUAUACUUCCAUCAUUCUUAUUAAUUAAAUUUGUUAAAAAAAUUCUAGUAAUUGGAUUUUUUGUAACAUGCCUAUGUUAUUACAGAUUCUUGACAACAUCCAAGUUUCAAUCAGGAAUGUCCACAUUGUCUACAUUGAUUCACAUAGAGAUCAGGUGCUAAAUUUUAUGUUUUUUAUGCAUGUUAGGUGCGUGUGACAUUAUUUUAUGUUUUCCAAUUCUCAUGUUGUAGUCAAAAUUAAAUGAACCUUUAUUUUAGUUCUUUGUUCUUUUAGUAUGUCAUCAUAUUGAUUAGCUGUCAGCCUCUACUAACCUGGCAACUCAUUUAUCAGUAACUUUUGUGGAUAGCUAUUUUUUUCUCUAAAAAUGCUAAUUUUGCUUGCCAUAUCAUUUCCUUUUAAUGUUUGAUGUGGCUUUACUGGGUAGCAAAUAAUUUCAAGCUAACUAAUGCAAUUUCACUUGGUUUCGUAUGUACUGGCUGGUAUUUAUUGGUUCGGACGUGAACCAACACUUGGACUGUCCAAUUUUGGAUGGCCCACAUGUGGUACAUGGCUUACUGCAUGUUUCUUUUUUAUUAUUGUUUUAAUCUAAAAAGUAAAAACCCUAAUACAGUACCCCUCCCCCUCUCUUGUGCGAGCCCUUCUCAUUCUGUCCAUUCACAUCUGCCCGUUUUCGUGUCAUCAGUUGCAUCACCCAUUAGUGGUGCUCUCCUCCUCUCCCUCCUCCUUGUUUGUCUCUUCCUUCUCGUCCUUAUUCCCUCCUCUUCUUCCAUGUCGCCUCCUCUCCUCAUCUUCUCUCAUCCUUGUCCUCUUCUUCCUGCCCUUAUGGCUUGAUGUGUUAGUUAAUGAGCAUAAGCUACAAUCUCUUUUGUUUUUUUUUAAUUUCCACAAAUGAUAAGUAGUGAAAGUGGGAUUUGAUACCUAUGUUGUGUAAUAAUCUGACAUUACCAACUAAGAUAGUUAGCACAUUCUAAUAAUUUAUAGGAUGGGGUCUCAAAUUCUCAAUCUAAGGUAAGUCAGGUAGACCACCAUUACACUAACAUUCUUGGUAUAGAAAAUUCCCAUGAUAUAGACCGUCUUUACUCCCAUGAUGAUGGUUGAAUUAUGGAUUUUCAUACAACCAUCAAUCGUGUAAGAAUGGUAAUGAAUUAUAUUGGUUGGUUACCGGUGGGUAAUGGGCAUGCAGCUCAUUGUUACUUGCCCAUUCACAAUUUUAAGUGGCUGUAGUACGUGAAGGCGAUCCUUGACAUUCUGCAUGUUGAUGUGUUGACAAGAUACCACACUUUACACUUAGUCGUGUUAUCUAUCCCCAGAUUGACAUGGCUUUGGUACAUAAAGGUGACCCUUGAGAUGUAUCUCCUUUAAAAUGCUUCACAUACUAUAUUUUGUUGUCUUGAAGGACAUUCCAAGGGAUUCCUUUUUGCGAUAUUUGGAAUUUUAGGUUACAAUAUAGUUAUCAUGCAAGGUAUACAAUACUGCCUGUACCGUGACAUACAGGGCAGCUAUACCGCUCCAACAGGUUCUCACUUCUCACUACAUGGAGCAUGGUACACGAGCUGGUAUACAUGGUGCAAUAUCAGGUGUACUGGCCGAUGACCUUUCCUGAAUGUGUGAUUAACCAACUGGUUGUUAGGUAACUGCUGGAGGGCUUUUGGGAACCUAUAAAAAGGCCUCCAAAUCCCCAAAAUCUGCCCUCUGCUUUUGCUCUCUCACUCCCUCUCCGUUCCACUACAUUCUCUAAACUGGUACAAGCCAUGUGCAUACUUGCUGCAGGAGCUUCCUCCCACAAGGGUUGUCAAUGAUGAUAAGGUGAUAACUGCUAUCAUAUUAUUGCAUCAGUGACUCGUUGUUUAACUGUAUCAGAUGCUGAAGGAGCAAUUUCGUGCAUGGGUCCUGCAGUUGCACCAUAUUAAUAUAUAGUUUUAUCACAACCCGGUCAACUGGCCGUCGACUGACGCCAUUCAUUGCAAUGAAUUCAAUCAGGGGGACUUGACCUGUGCUGGUCCUAGAUGUAUUGGUGUGAGCCUAAGUAGAUAUAUCUUCGUUUUGCAUCUCAUUUAUUGUUUUAUAGUCUAAAUUUAGUGUAAAGCUGUCUAAUUUGAUUGUAUAUAAUUAUAAAAGGUGAGGGAAAAAAAUCCCUUAAAUAGGGUUCUGUUUUGAUUUCCAACCUUUUUAAAGGCAUGUACCAAAAUCCAAUACGUAUCGAUGUACUGACUCGAUACAUGCUGGUAUGGAUCAGCAUGUACCAUUUUGUCAAGUGACUGGUAUGAUGCUGGUACAGAAGACAUCAAACCUUGAUCACCUCUUGUAAGACUGGAGGGGUGACCCUUAGUUUCAUGAUUAGUUUGCUCUUGUACAACCUGGGUGCUUGAGUAUGAGCCAUGUACAAGAGAAGCUUUAGCUAGCUAUUUAGUGGCUUGAUUUGUUCCUGAUACAUAUGACAGUUGAGUGUCCAGAACAGGACAAAAAGCACAAGAAGUUAGUAGUGAUCCAUGGUCAAAUUAAUAACACAAGGUUCUGUAUCUUAGUCCUGAACUGGCUAGUAUGUACACAAUCAAAUGUGCAUUGUCGGUACCCAACCCCACAAAAGGGCAAUAUCUAUUGGCUGACAUACCAUAGGAGCAUAAAAACUUACCAAUGGUAGACUUUGGCACUUUAGUUUCCAUGAGAAGUUCUAAACACGGAGACACCAAUAAUCUCCAUGACGUGGUGCCAUUUUUUUUAUACUGUAGGAAUUUUUCCUCCUAAAAAAAUGAUAGGAGCUCUUAGUAGUGGUCUUGGUAUGAGUAUUUGGUAGCUAAUACAAGAUAUCGCCGGUAUACUCUGGUGGUAUCUGGCAAAAAUUGGUAUUCUGUGGUUCCAAAGCAAUAAUUUAAGAAACAUUUUCAUUCAUUUGAGUUGUUUAAACCUAGAGAAAUUUUGCUGCUUUCAGGUUGAUAGCUUGCAGAGGAACAUCCACACUUUAAAUAAGAUAGUAAGAUACAAUCCAUGGAUAUUCUUUUUUUAGUAUCCUGUUCCAUCCUUUUCUUAAGUUCGAUAAUUUUCUAGCCAUGAUUUUGCAAAUUGCUGAACCUGUUUGGUAUAUUGUUGCUAAAGAAUAUGUUUGUAUACUUACAAGUGUUUUUGGCUUUUGGUAUCUUUGAUAAGUGUCAUUUCUUGCCAUAUCUACCUUUUUUAUCACUAGUUCUUUUGAUCCUUAUUAACAUUGCAAUUGUCUUUGUACUAAUUUCAAUUUUUAUUGAAUUUUUCCAGGAGACAUUUAUAUUUGGUUUAAAACUUUCCAGUUUAACAAUAUUGACAGACACACGGAAGCAGAAUUUGACUGGGUAAUUUUCUAAUUUAGUUGUCAUCAAUUGCUGAAUUUUUUUUUCCAAUAGUCUUGUUACUGAUAAUUUUGUUGGUUCUAGAGAAAUUGUUACCUAAAAGCUGCUUUUUCUAUUAGAUAUCAUUUUCCACUUAACUGUAAGGACCACUUAAUUUCAAGGAUUGCCAAAUGCACAAGAAACAGCUGCUGGCCAUGGUAGGCGUGGUAAAUGCCACAGGCUGUCACCCUUAUCGACUGUUGUUUGACAUAUGUCCAUGCAUAUUCCAGGCUUCAUAUAUGGAGUCUAUUGUUAUACACCCGCAUGCUGCCAGCAUCUGUCUGCCACUCACACAGAUCAGCAGAGCACAAUCGUCAGUCACUAAUUUAUUCUGAUUCUUGGAUUGUUGUUGGUUUUAUCUGUUAUCACACUCUUUACAUGGUUCAUGUAAUCUGAGCACUCAUUCACUGGUGUGGCUUAGAUAGAACUUUGUCAGUUCUUUUCUGACUUCUCUUUUUGUACUGUCAUGGAUGAAGGACAUGCAACAGUAUGUUCUUGUUUGUUUGAGGUUUCAGAGAGUUCUAUUUCUCUAUGUAACUCAGCCUUUCACAUCGAAGAGUUCUAUUUCUCUAUGUACUAUCAAUUUUUUCUUGUUUGCUUUGUGGGCGAGUCUUAGUGCAACAGCAAGGUUGCUCCCUUAUGACAUGAGAGAGGAGUGUUUAUCAUGGAAAUAAUAUCUAAAAUUACUAAAGCUGCAUACAUUGACCCUUACCAAACCCCACUUUGGUGGAAACCUUGUGCAUCGGUUAUACCCCUUUUGUAACUCAACCGUUCACAUCAACCACAAAGUUUUCUGUUGGAUCAAAUCAGCAAAUAUAAUUUACUAAAAAUAAGGGAUAGGCUGACUUGGGCGUAGUCUAAUUCUCUACAAAACUUGGUAACACUUGAGAAAAUUAUUAGAAAGGAACUUUUUUGUUAGUCAUCAUGUUGCUGUUGGCAUUGUAAAUGAAGGGAAUGGAGAGGGAUGUUUUCAUUUGAAGGAAGGGUAGGAGUUCUCUCUCAAUAUUUUUUGACUCCACACUUGUCCCUUUGUGGAUUAGUCCACUGGUCAAUAUGGGGUGUGCGCUUUCCCCUUAUUUGGGUAUCAACUUGUCAUGGCCCUUUUCUUAGUCUUGAGAUGUGAUGGGGAAGAGGAUCCUAGUACAUGGUAGCUGCUUCUAUGUACCAUCACCCUGCUUGACACGUUUGGUCUCUUUGUGUUGCACCUGUGGUACUUGGUUCAGCUCACUGGUCUUGCGGGUCAAAUAGUGAGUAUUGGAGGACACGUUCUGUAGACAAAUACCAUGGUAUGUCUUGGGGGUAUUUUAUUCUAUUAAGUUGUAAGUUGUAUGACAGAUUAGGGUUUGGAGCAUAUAAUAUAUAUCUAAUGAUUGUGAGCCUUGGCCAUUGGAUUGUGACUACAAUUUUUUAUAAGUAGCAAUAUAGUAUCUUUCCUUGUCAUCUCUAUCUUUCUUUGGAAGCCUUUCUUUUUCUCAAAGUGGAGUAACCUUGUUUGGUGCUUACUGUUUGAUGUUUGAUAUUAGAGUUGGUACAACAUCAGCAAUCUGCAAUUAUGUCGGUCCAUUCCUCCAAUGGUUCUUGUGCCAUGAGUGAAUAUCCGAAGUUAGAGAUGUACAUAACAUGAUGACAAAGAUACAAGAUGGAAUGGUGAAGAUGCAUUUUGGCUAUAAAAUGUAACUCUCAAUUUGCAAAACUGGGAGAAAGAGGCAUUUUCUGAUUCUUUGGCUACAAAAUGUAACUCUGAAUUGGCUCCAGCUUUUGUGGAGUCUUACGAAGUAUCAAUAACAUUGUUAUCAAUAUAACCCCUAAAAUUCUAUUGCUAUCUGUUAAGUCAGUUUUUGUUUGUCCGAAGUGCAAGUCGAUUGGGAUCCAACCUGGCCCUUCUCCCAGUCAGUAUCAAGUCAAACUUCCUCAGUUGAGUCUGAAUCUUGUAAAACUGUGUUGAGACACUCAUGUCAAUGCCCCUUCAAUGUUUAAGUCAGUAGGCAAGUUAGACAAGUCAGAUUGAUUAUUGACACUCUUGCGUAACAUACCUGUCGAGCCCCUUUUAUAGUGUGCGCUCCAGGCCAUUACCUAUAGAUGAUGCACCGUUCUUGCAGGAGUGGAAUGCCGAUCACGAGCAUAACUGUCUCUGAUCCCCACUGAGUCCGGAAUCGAGUCACUUCUGGACAUGUGUGGCUCGGAAGGGUGCUGAUCUCGGGUGUAACUGCCUCUAAUCUGUACUGUACGGAAUUGAUUAACUUCCGUACACGUGGUGUGGAUUGGGCAGUGAGGAUGGCCAACUGUCCCAAGGCAUGGAAGUGCGGUUGUAGGUGGGCACGCCAUGUGGAAGCCAUUCGUCAUUGGUUUGUUGCCUCCUACGAAGCAUGGGUCUGGCCACGUGGCUUCGUCGUGUCGCCCACGUGAAGCUGAGGUGUCGACCUCGAGAGGUUGGUGUGUCGGCACGUUGUUCCACUGCAUUGUCCACAUGGAGUUGAGGUGUCGGCCCCGAGGGUUUGGCGUGUUGGACUCGUGGCUUCGUCGUGUCACCCACGUGGAGCUGAGAUGUCAACCUUGAGAGGUUGGUGUGUCGGCACGUUGCUCCAUUGCAUCGUCCAUGUGGAGUUGAGGUGUCAGCCUCAAGAGUUUGGCAUGUCGGCCAUGUGGCUCCACUAUGUCGUCCACGUGGAGUUGAGGUGUUGGCCUCGAGGGGUCGGCGUGUCAGCCACAUGGUUUCGUUGUGUCGCCCACGUGGAGCUGAGGUGUCAGCAUCGAGGUGUCAACGUGUCGGCCAUAUGGCUCCACCGCAUCGCCCACAUGGAGCUUAGGUGUCAAUCAUGUCAUUUUACCCAUAACACUCUCUUACCUAUAAGGAGAAUUUGAUGAUAGUCUUUUUUCAACCCAAAAUGUAAGAUGCUAUGGACAUGUUAGAGGGAGAACUAUAAGUGCUACAUGAGGUGAGACAAUUAGUAUUGGUGGUUCAAGCAGAGUUAGAGGAAGACUUAAGAUGACUUUAUUAGAAAUUUCAAAUAAAAAAUACUUGUUAGUAACUUGAUUUAACUAACUCUUGCUUUAAGAAUUUAGUGCAACAGAAUAGAGGAGAGUGCAAAAGAAUAGAAUGUGAGUGCAAAGCUAAUGCUUCUCCGAGUGUUGGGUUUGGCUGCAUCAAUUCUAUAAUGUGAGCACGUCUAUAUUGCUUUGCAGUUUGUACGGUAUUCAAUGACGGAAAAAGAUCAAUGUAGCAAACUUUAAAUAGUUAGGACAUUACAACUUCUUGUUUGGGUGUUGCAUUUUCUUGGUAUAUAUCAUGAUCUAUAGCUGGAUAUAUACUUCCAACUCAAGGAAUCAGUAUGGUAGGACCAGUGUUUGCUGGUUUAAUCGCUGACUGGAACACUGACUGGCUAAAUUUCGGGUGGUUCAUGUGCAAUUUGCAGUAAGCCUUGUACCUUUUUAUUUUUUAAUUUUAAAAAUAAUAAAUUAAAACUCUCAGCUUUUAAUUGCUAGUGCGCUUUCCAUUGCGCGUGCAUCCGUGUCUGCCAUCACCCACAUCCUUCACUGCUUGUGUACAUGGCUGCCCGUGUCCAUCACUGCAAGACCUAGCGAUCAUACUUUCUUUUCCUUCUCCUCAUCCUCCUCCAUCGCCUCCUUUCCUCCAUCUCCGUUGUUGCCAUAUCACUUCCUCCUUUGCAUCUCCGCUGCCUUCUUUCCUUCUCUCCUGCAUUGCAGCCUCUCCUCCUCCUCUCCUCCCCUCCUUACCUCCUCCACCGCCUUCUCUUCUAGAUUUCCAAUAACCUUUAUUUUUUUCAGUCUAAUUUAGGCUGAAUUUUCAUUUUUUUCAGAAACAGAUAGAUACAUAUCAGUGUACCAAAUGUUGUGGAAUAGCACAAUAUCAAGAAAAUUCCUUUCUUAUUGCUGUGUCCAAGCCAUAGCAUAUCCUUUUUUAGUUUUUUUAAGAUUUGACAGAUUUAUCAGCUGGUCUAAAACUGUGCAUGAUGGCAGUUUGAGUAACAUAUCAGAUUGGGUACAGUUAUAAGAUUCUGAGCAGUACUCUGCCUAGUUAUGCUUUGUAUAAUUUAAUAAAAAAAACAUGGUAUACCAAGUGGUACUAACAUGUAUAUUCUCCUAAAUUGGUGAUUGGUCAGAUCAUUAAUAUAUGCUCUGGUCUGACUAGUAUUGAAAACCAUGUAUCUAUAUCUUGUUUUAUUUCAUCCAUUCCUUUUUAUCUUGUACGACUCCAAAAGCCCAGUUGCAAACACUACUCUUAUUUUGUAAUUGUGCUUAAUGAACUUUGAUAUGUGUUUCAAUGGUGUUCGUCUCGUGUUUCUUGAUGUUUCAGGUUGAACUUCUCAGUAAAUACUAGAAUUUCUUUUUCUUUUAUGAAAUCAGUUUUGUCAUUGACUUUCUUUUAUUGCUCACCUUCACUUCAUUGUGAUUUUGAUUCAGAUCCUCGAUGGGGAAAUAUAGAGGUGGUCAAGUGAGGAAGAUUGUUGAAAUAUCAACAGUUGGUCUUUAUUGUAACUUGGUUGAAGAAAAUCAAAGUUUGUUUUGUCUUGAUGAUAGUACCAAUGUACAGUUGCUUUCUAAUUCAAAGUUAGAGGACGAGAAAUAUGAUUAUAUAGUAGACCCAUUUGACUUCAUGGUUUGUCUGCUGGUAUGUGAUCCUGAUUUAUCCUUUUAUCUGCCUUAAUAUUUAUAUGCAUGUAAAGUUACAUGCAUAACCGUUAUGUUUCUUAUAAACUUCAUCCUGUAUCUUAUCCAUCUGCAAUACAUAAUUGUCAUAUGUCUUUUUUUGCUGUUAUUUUAGGGUACUUUAUGUUGACUGCAAUGUUCAUAUCUGUGUAGGUAAACAAAUCUGGAAAGCUUGAUGGUGCACCUCAAUAUGACAUCAAUGUGGAGAUAGCUACCUUGGUUUGUUCCUAUGCAAUACAAAGGCAAACUAACAUGAUUAGUUUUUAUUUUGAAUAGUUAUGUUGGCUCCAUGUGGAUUGACAUAGUAACUUUAAUUUUCUUAUUGUUUCUACAAUAGGAUCUCUCUUUUAAUGAGAUUCAGUUGCAACAAGUCAUGAGUCUCUGGGAUUAUUUUUCCAUCUGCACUCUCAGACGGAAGUAAGUCCAAUUUGCAUGGACACUUACUAGACUUCUCAUAAUAUUUGUUGAUAAUGAGACAUUCAUAGUCCCGCAAAACUCAUGUAGUUUGUGAACUUUUUAACUUACUGCAUUAAAUGUAUAUUAUGUAAAAAUGACAGCUUUGACUUGUCAAUCGUCAAUUACUUGCAACUAACAAUUAUAAUGUUUAUGGGUCAACCCCUUUUCGCCACUUAUUAGAUUUUCUUGAAUGAGCUUGCUAUACACUAAAGGAAACAGAUGCUAAAACUUGAUAUACAUCUUUUAUACCUAAGUACCAAUCUUUUCUUUUAUUUGCAUUUUGCUUCAUCUGAUCCUAUCUGGUUAGUGUUAUUUUUUUUCUCUAUCCCAUCAAUAACCAUUGUACUUUCGAACAUGAUAACUACCUUGUUAUUUUUAGAAACUUCUAGUUGGUAGCAUUUGGGAGGUUCUUCUCUUCCUCUUAGGUGAAAUGUGCAGUAGAGGUGAUACACUAUAUCAGUUUGGUUGGAUCACUUUAUAUUAAUAAUGCUUUUGCUGCUGAACCUGAGAAAUUCUGUUCAUUUUGCUUACAUAUUCCUGGUUAUAGAGAAGCAUCUCAUACUGUUAUAUGUUUUUGUUUGUACCCUGUCCAUGUUUGUGUCUGCGAAUCUGUAACUUCACAGUCUUCUUAGUUUGUUGUGGAAGAUCACUAGUUAUUUUUUUAAGGCCAUGUCAGUGGAUGUGUCAUCAUGUUUUGUAUGAACCUUGGACUUACGUGUCCUUCAUCUUGUGUGCUUAUUCAGAUUUCUUUUGUCAUAGUAGUAUAGUACUAAAGUUGCACAUUUAGUGGCUGAAAAUUGGAAAUUCAGCUUAGCUAAUCAACCAUGCCCUACUGUUUGACAUCUGCAUAUUUCCAUCUAAAUAUAUCUGUAUUAUGGCCCUGAUAUCCUAUUCUCUUAAUUUGUAGCUAAAUAACCUGUUACACCACCCUAUUUAUUGGCACCUAGUUAACAUUGACUAUACUUAACCUUCUCUCCAUGUUACUAAUACAUCAACAUCUGUGCUCUUUUGUUUUCUGACUUCCUCUGUAGCACCAGUUUGAAGAUUUCUAGCCCUUGCUCUCUGACAUUCGGUUUGUCAAACUAGUUAAUGUUGCAUUAAAUACAUUUAUUAAGACUUAAGAGUCUGCAAAAUCUCUUCUUCACAUAAAUUUUGUAGUGAGAAGAAACUUGUGCUAUUUUAGGAAUUAGGAUAUCACUUUUCCAGUAUAAUGACACCUUUUUUUCUAACAUUAUGAUUGGCGACCUACAGAAUCAUGCUUUUCCUGGUUAUUUCAUCACUGUUUAUGGUCUUUGAUAACUCUGCAAAUAAUUGUUUGCCAAAGUUCUGGCACGCAAUCAUGCAUGUGAAAAUAUUUAAAUUUGUUAAAAUGAUGUAACAAAAAAUAAUUGUAUCAAGGCUUUUAUUUCCAUUGAAUGCUCUGUGUCGCUAAUGUGCUGUCGAGGGUCUGGACAGCAUUUCGUGUCAGUGCAAUACUAUCUCUAUGUCCUGUUUAGUGUGGUUGGCAUCGGCUAUUCAUGAAAUGUUUUGUUUUGUUUCAUCUUAUACUUGUGUCAGCUUUUAAAUGUUUUUUCCAGAUAUGGGCGGUAUCGUCCCCCUCAAAGCUUUUUAUCUAGGAAAGUUGAAGGAUGGCAAAGAAUGCUAUGGCAUUAUGCACAGAAAUCUGUUCUAGCAGAUGUGCGUCAAAAGUUAAGAAAGACUUCUUUGAGCAAUCUUGGAAAACGAAUGUGAGUUUUCCCUCUUUAUUUUUUACAUGUUAUUACAACAAAAAAACCUUGUUUUCCUUUGACAUCUGUAAUUUAACUCCUCUGCAUUGAGCUAUUUUUUCUAAACAGCCAGCUUUUGCCAGCAUAUGGGAUUUAAGAGAUGUAUUUACAUAGCUAAAUUUUAUGAUCUUCACCUCUUUAGCUAAUUCCAAAAUGUCUGUUACAAUUGCUUUCAAAUGCCAUGGAACCUUAGAAGGUCCAUCAAAAAAUUGGAUGAUUUCCAGCCCAUCAAACAAUUAGAUGAUUUCCAGCCCAUCUAAUUUGAGCCAGAUGAAUUUUAUCCCAUCCAGCUUACCCUUUUCAAGUCUCAAAUAUAACUCUGCAUUUGACAUGUUUGGCAUUGUGCAGAUUCCUAUGCGAGCAUCUUGCUGCCACUACACGGCCUUGAGAUUAUAAGUUAGUUUAAAAGGAUACACCACACUAUAGAAAAAUUGAGUGUAGAACUUUCUUCAAGAUUGCUAAAUGCCUUCUUAUUCCCUCAAAUUUUUAGGACCGGUGGAGUGAUCAUUAGCAGUAGCUACUGCUUUACUUAACAAGGAAAAUGGUUUGUGCUGGUGGUUGUGAACUUGUGAUAGUGACUGUCGUUUCUAUUGGUCCACAGGAACCACAUAGAAUUACCUAUGAUACUUCUUAUUGACCAGGCUUUCUGUUUCUUUAAGUCUUGGUCUUCUUGAAGCCAAGUCCUUUGAAACCAAUCAUUAAAGAGCAUUGAAAGAAAAUUUCAACCUGCUUUUGACAAGUUCUCCUAACUCAAAUGCAAAAUAAGUAUUGAAAAAGGAAGUGUCCGGGCGAAUGAGAAUAUAACUUGCGGACUGGACAGGGAUCUAAUUGAGUCUGAAAAGUUCUAGCCCUUAGAUCCAAAGUUGGAAGUAUGUUUCGCGGCAACUUCCACAAAAGAAAUUGACUUUUGGAGGGGUACUUUGACUACAUAUCAUCCUCCAACCAGGCCAACCAUUUCCUUGUUAUGCUCACUUUUCAUCACAAAAUGGUAUCCGGAUCUAGCAGAGGUAGAACCUUUAGGAGUAAGGCCCCAAAUUCAAUUACUCUCAUAGAGGAUGUUAGAUAGACGGAUUCUAGUUAUAUUCUGAACAAUUAGUGGGUGAAAACAAUUAUACAACUGUAGCUUAUGUACAUAUCUCAUAGAUUUAUAACGAGUAGCAACACAUCAACUUGAAAUGUUUUCAUUAUGAAUAUAAUAGUACACUUCAUUGAUGAGUUCAUUCAUAUAUUUAUAGUGUGAGAAGAGUUUGAACGAGAUAAAUAAGAGAAGCUUGUGUAGAGUUUGUAGACAACAAUCUAGUGCUCCUUACAUUAUGUAGAAGAAUACUAUCUCAGAAGUUGAAAAUCCACCUUUUUUAUUACUAGCAAUUUAUUAUUCACUAAAAAAGCCUUUCAGAAAACAUUCAUGAAGAACAGCAACAUUAUAAACAAUCUGUCUUGUUGAUUUUGACUUCUUUUUGCUUCUUGCUUUAAUUUGCUAUAUAUCUUUUGGAUUUCAGAGAAAUGCUUUUUAGUUGGAGUCUUUGACUCUUGACUCUUAAGUGCCAAGUGCAGUGCUGCUUUGACUUUUGUGAUCCAUAAUUUUAUUUAGAUAAUCCAGUAUAAUAAAUUAAUUACUUGGAAUUCUAUUAUGGUGUGUGAAAAUUAGCUAAAUGACUAAUAUUGAUAGAUUCAAGAUCUUCUGAUGCUCUAAUUUAAAUUUAUACUGUAGAAGGCUGUGCUGCUGAGUAUUUUUAAUCUAAGAUUAAUAUGCUAAUAGGUUGUGUAUUGGCAUUUGGACUUGAGAUAAUAUUUUGAGUGAACCAACUGUUUAAAUUUAUUUGCUGAAGAUGCUACCAUGCAAUUAUGCCUCUUCUUCUUCUCUAAUAUUUCUUAAGUGAUCACCCUCCACUAUCUUGUCUUCUUUAGAAUCACAUUUUGAUCUUUAGGUAUAAACUGUGUCUAAAAGUUCGUGGAAUUAUGCGGUAGAGGACCAAUCACCAGCCUUACAAACCUGGUUAAAUUCAUUGAUGUUUAACUAAUGCUUUCUUUUGGUUGAUAGGUUCUUUUCUUUGUUGAUGAUUAAAUAUAUGAUUUUGGUUGAAUAAAUGAACCUUUAUAUGCAUUUAUCUUAUUGCAGAAUCUGCUGCCAGAAGUAUGUCAAGUUGUACAAAAGGAAGUUGGAAUUACUACAGCAAGAUCAGGUAUAGUUGUAACUUCUUAUUGCUCAUGUUUCUUACUUUCUUAAAUGUUGGUCCAUCCAGGACUCUUGUAAUUGGUACUGGAUUACUUUUUCAUGUAUGAUGCAGUUCUAAUAGGUAGUAUCUGACAAAAUUUACUGUGGCUUUAUCCUUGAUGUCUUCACAGAUAGAGGAUUUAUAACUAGAUAGAUGGUCUUUAGCAAAUGCCUGCAUUUCUUCCUUCAAAGUUUGUUUUGCUUAUGAAUACCAAUUCUAGUGGCUGAUUUCUUGCCCAAGGGAGCCUUAUGUAAAGCAAUGAGACCAUUCUUCUUGGCACUCUUUCUUUGCGCCUUUGUUCCAAUGAUAAGGGAGGUUACACUAAUUUGCUUGAAUACAUGGAUCAUACUAUUCUAUUUUCAUUUUUCAAUGAAGAGGACAUCACUUACCCAAAUUUUAUCCUUAUAUGAUUUAAGUCUCUACUGGUUACUUUAUUAACAUUCAUUAAAGAGAAUAUCCAGGGUAUUUCAAUACUUGAACAUGCUAUUCUCUUUUAUGCUGCUAAAUUGCUAAUGAAGGUAAUAGACACUAAACCUAAUCUCAGCCUUAUCUGAUUUGGUGUGCUUUGUAUAAUUUCUCUAUAGAUAAGCAAAUAUCCAUGGGUCACAAUAUUUGUUCCAUUUGGCCAACUCAUCGAUUGACAUGCCCCACUUUGACAUAUUAUUGAAAUGACUGAUUCUUUGCCUUUUAACUCCAUUGAAAAAUUGGAUUAAUUACCACUUAUUAAGAAGUUUGAUUGCAGACUCCUAGUUGAAAUGCUCUUUCUUCUCCUCUAGGGGAAUACUAGUAAACCUCUGGUGUUCUUUUUGUGUUGGUGGAUUACCAACAGUAUUGGUGUUUUUCAUAAUAUUUUGUUUUGGAGAGGUAAUAGAAAAUCUUUCAGGGUUGUUUAUGUCAAUUGGAGCUUGGUUUGGGUAAACUAAGGAUCAGGAAAGCUUAGAUGUAUCAUGUUGAUGUAUCUUAAUCUUGCUUUAUUGGAACGUGGUGUCAAAAAUCUUCCAUUUGACAAUAGACUUUUGAAUACUUUUUUCCAUGUGGAUCAUUCCUCUACGGGGCUCUGCACAGUGUGCAAUGAAGUGAACAACUAAUCUCACUUGGAGAAGUCCUUGGAUUAGAUCAAUGCUUAACUUUCCCAAUCUUCUUCUAUGCUUGGCUACAGUGAUCUCAUAUGCUUUCAUCAGGACCAAGCCCUGAGGAGAGGCUCCUCUGAUGGUCCAUGUUGGAACAUUAUGAGAAGUAAUACUGAUUCAUCCAAACUCAUGGAAUUUGCUAAUCUCUUGCUUCUUUUAGUUUCAUCCAUGGUUGUGAUUCUAGAGAUGGUUUUCUCUGAAAGUUGAAAUCUAAUGAGUUCUAGUCUACAGAUCUCUUAAACAUGGUAGCAUAAGGUGCUUAUUUUUUCCUUUAGUAAACUCCUGCUCUUUCCCAUAUUUUGAGCUUGAUAUGGUUUGUCCUCAGAGUAGAUUCUGUAAGAAGGAAGUUGUUGUUGCUAGUGAAUUGCUUUAAAACUGUCUUUUGCUUCAUCAAUUUCAAGACCAUUGACCAUUUUAUUAAGUGCCGUUUUGCUGUGUGUUGGAAUCACUUCUUGUCAGACUAAACAACUGAAACCUUCCAAACCAUGUUAAUGAGGCUUGUUUCUGACAUUCCUACAAAUUUUAGAUGUGGAUAAUCCUUUUCUGUCCCACAUGUUGUAAUAUUUUUGGUAACAAACACUACAAUAUUCAGUUAUGAUGGUCCUCCUUUUUGUCUCUGCUGUCUUCCAUAAAUUUCUCUUUUCCAAGAUUAUGGACAUAUUAUUGGGUUUCAAUCAAGUCUGAGUUCUUCAGUCGUCAUUCAUCUCAUAAUGAGUCUCUUUCCUGAUUGAAGCCUUGUAAUUGGCUAUAGCUUUUUUUCCCAUCUGUAGCAUUUAUUUAUUCACUUUAUUUUUUUAUAUCUCCAAGAAUAUAUAUAUAUAUAUAUAUAUGUCUUGUUUUUAUAGUUUAAUGAAGUGUAUAUUCUUUUCACUGAAGAAAAGGAAUGAAAAAUGAUGCUGAAAAUAAGAAUUAAGUCUAGUUUUCUGAUGCAAUUGUCUUAAUAGAGGAAUUGACUUCUACUUUUGUCAGUUUUGAGUUCUGGCUACUUUAUGUCAUUAGCUACUUUCUAGGAAUUCAUGUCAUUAUGUUUGUUUUUGGAGGGGAAGUGUUUUUUCCUUUGUUUUAUGCCUUAUUACUCUAGUUACUGGGAAGUCUUAAUGUAACAAGUUAAAAUUGAACAACUUGAGCCCAUAUCUAUCUUCUCCUGCAUCAUUUAUAUUCUAUUCUUUAUUUCAUUUUUAGAAAACCAUUAUGUUAUAGUGUAUAGCACCAUAGAUCUUGAACUCCCAAGUUCAUUUCAAAUUAACAUGUCUUUUUAACUAUGUGUUGCACUUGUGAUCUUACUACCCUUAAUCUUAAGGGUUAGAGUAUUAUGCUUAAAUUAUUUGCUGAAAUUUAGUGUUAUUGGAAAUUGAAUACUCAUAUUUUCAUCCAUUAUAUCUUUGAAUUUCUAUCUGUCAUCCAACAAUUUGGCAAUUUUAGCCAUUAUAUUUUUCUGAUAUAUGCAAUUGCUUAUGUCCAAGUGGCCUCUUGUCAGCUUGUCAGCAAAGAUAUUCUGCAAGAGCUGGAGGAGAUGGACAAAGAAUGUGAUAUUGAUGAUAUUUUGAGCUACAGGUCUUUGGCUGAGCAACAAUUGCAGGUGUUGUUUCUGACUACAUUUGUGUUCACUAACGGUGGAAGAACAUCUUAUUUACUGUUAUAUUCUCCAUCAUUUUUAUCUGACGUCAGUUCUUGAUUUCUGUUUACAGUAGGAUUAACAGAUUACCAAAAAAUGAUUUUCUAUAGGUGCCUUGUUGUUGUCUGUCAAUGAUGACUCUAAUUUGUUUCUUUAAGAUAAAUGUAUAACUCUGAUUUCUUGCCUUAGGAAAAGAAUAGAAAUAUAUUUUGACCUGAACCUCCCUUUUAUUUGCCAUUUGGCGAACAGUAUCUACUGCUAUUGCUGAACUUAUGGUUUAUCAUUGUUAAAUAGCACCAUAUAUUUUUAAUGUAUAGUGAUCGACAUUCCUAAUCUUGUCUAUUGAGAACAGAAAGAAACUCUAACAUCAAAUUUGCCACUCUGCCAUCAUCUGAUGUGUUUACACUGUAGGCAUAAUUAAACAUCUUGCUCAGUUACCUGAUUUAUCUGAUAUAGGUUCAUAUUGGCCAGUAUAAUUUAUAUCACUCAUGAUUUUGUUUCUUGACUUUGUUCUUCAGGCUGUAAUAUUGAUGAUAAUAUUUUAUGUUCACAUUCAUAAUGCAGAAUUGCUGUUCAUUUCUGUUUCAUCUAUUCCCUGUUUUCCUUAGAUAUCCUGGGUUAACUUUUUUUCCUCUUAUCUAUUAACACUUGUCAUCUUUACUUCUGCCAUAGCAGCAACUAUGUACAUUGAUCUAUUCAAAUUUCAUUCCUCUCCCCUUUUAGUAAGUGCUGGAUGAUCCAGUGCAUCUGUUGAUAUCAGAACAGCCUGAUCAUUUGUGUUUUCUCCAAUUUCAAGAUGGUUAACAAUAAGAAGAUAAAUAAAAAAAUUUCUCUGACAUGAAGAAAUUGUGGGAAGAUCUAAGAUAUUGUUGCAGGCUUGAAGACUAGAUCAUUGAUUUGAUGGUUUUAAGGCUUCAGAUAAACUAAAUUAUUGUUAACAAUAAUGGAAGCAGUGGUGGGACUUGUCAGGGAGGAAAAAGGGAAAACAAAAAAGAAUGACAAAGAGGGACCAGAUUAAAAAAAAAGAAAAAAGAAAAAAGAAAAAAAGAAAAACACUUACCUGGGUUGUGGGUGGUGCAAACGAUGCUGUAUUUUCAAUGAAGGUGAAUCCAAUAUUAUAGGGUUAGAUUAUGAUGUAAAGGACCUCAUAAGUUCUGCAUUAUUGUUUUGCGUUCGCUUGGAAGUUCUAUUUUUUAUUUGUGGAUGAAGUGGAAAGAAUGAAUACAAGCGGUGUUUGUAUUUAUAGAAGGAUAAGGAAAUAUUAGUCUUGACAAUUAAUCCAUUGUGAGAUAUUUUGCUGCCAAAAUAAUUGUGUCACAAAAGUCAUCAUCUAUGAUGACUGAAGGUUCUGUAAUUUAAAUCUAUUGACUUACCAUGAUAACUUCCCCUGAAUCACAAAUUCAGGGCAGUCAUCUUCGUUGACUUGGAAGUUCCAAAUACUUUUAACUGUUGAAUCACAAAUUAUUUUGAUAUUGAAGAUGUCUUGUAUUUUUAUGAAGAAAUGGUGACAAUAAUCUUUUCACCACAAAAAUUUCAUCACAUUGCUCAUGGCGUUAAGUUCUGAAUUGAUUUUCUAUUUAUGUUCUAUCAUAAUAAUUAUAUUUGUAGAUUUCUUUGAUAACUGUCUAGGGCUAAUUUUUUAAUAUAAGAUUCUGUUUCAGGAGUUGUUGAUAAAUUCAGAGGUUCCCGUUAGUGUUAAGUCUGCUCAAGAAGAGAACCAAAAUGGAGAGCAGACUUCAACCAGAGCACCUAGUUGGUUAAAUUGGUUAUCUCUUGGCAUGCUUGGAGCUGGUGGAACGUCAGACACUGGUUCAUUUGCGGGCGUUGUUUCUGAUGACAUUAUUAAGGUUGUAUUGAUUUUGUCACCAGUGUGAUCCCUUUCUUUCAGUUUUCAUCUAUUUCUUUUGUGCAGGAUAUCUAUGAAGCAACUGAGUUUCACCCAACAUCUUCUUUGUCUGGCGAUUCUUCAAUUAGGAGCGGAUCUUGCUCAUCUUCAGUUAGAUUCAAUAUUAGUCAAAUUAUCACCUCAAUCAGAACCAAGUAAUAGGUCCUUCUAUCUUAUUUUGCAUGUUCUAUCAAUUUUCUAGCACAUUUUCUAAUUUGUGAUAAGCAAAGUGAGUCUUUUAACAUUUGAUUUCAUAUAGAAAAUUGGAAUAUGAUGUACAGUCAAGGUUUGCGAUUUUGAAUCGUACCACCUGUACCGGGUGGUAUGUGCCGGUCCGCCCGUGAACCGGUACGUGGACUGCUUGCUAUUGGGUGGUCCGCUCUUUAUAGCCUCGUAUCGGACGAUACGAGGUUGUUUCAGUCAGUAAUAAUCAAAAUUUCGAUAGUUUCCGCCUGCUACUGGGCGGUACCAGCUUGGCUACGACGAGACUAAGGGAGAAGCGUCGAAGAAGGAGAGGGCGUUCGAAGAAGAGGUAGAAUCGGGAGAACCUCGGUGAGAACUUGUUUCUAUGCCCUUCUUCGAUCCCUAUCCGGUGUCGCCCUCCUUCGACGAUCCCGAUCCAGGAGGUAACGGCGAGGAAAGUCGUAAAGAGGAGGAUCUGGAGGUGCGGGGAUUAGGGAGGCUGCGGCUAGAGCAGCGAAAGAGGCUGUCUCCUUCAUCGCCUCGUCUGCGACUCUGUGGCCUUCUUCUUCGCCGCGUUCUUCGCUGAAGGCUAGAGAUGUUUGUGGCCUUCGACGUCUUCAUCGUCUUCUUUGCCAAAUGUAGCAGACGAGGCGUUGAGGAGAAGAGGAGGAGGCGAUGUCGCUGAGGCUGCGUACUCCUUUUUUAAAAUAUUUAUUAUAUAUUGAUUUUUAUAAUUUUUUAUAUAAAAUAUAUAUUUUAUAUUUUUAUAUAUUAAUUAUAUAUAUAUUUUUAGGCAUACUGUUCGGUAUGUCUUGGUGUACCGCUCGAUACACCAUACCGUACUGUAUCGUGCAAAGCUCGAUAUAUUGGUACGGUACGAAAUUUUAAACCUUGUGUUACACUAUCUUUUACUUCCACAUGUGACAUGGUGCUUGUUGGGUGUGGUCUUGGUUCUAAAUAAGAAAACAUGUUCUUGUUGCCAGUACAGUAUUUGGCAAUAACAAUAGAAAGCAGUGACUGUUGUACCACCAGAAAAGGUACAGUAUGGGUGUGGACCGAUACACGGACCACCCCCAUUUCAAGUGGUCCGAUUAAAAUAGUAAAAAAUUCAAAAAUUGGUUCACAAUAGGGGUUCACAAGCCCUCUUCUCGUGUACAAUGCCACAGCUCUUGCUGUUGCCUCUCGCUGCUGUGAUGCUACAGUGGCACUGCCUCUUCGCAGCUGCGAUGUUGUCGCUGCUUUUGCUUCCCAGGUACGCUGCUGUUGUACUUCUUCUUUUCUUUCAUUUUCUUCCUUGUUCCUUUCUCCUUCCUCCUCUAUUCCUCCACCACCCCUUCCUCAUCACACUCUUUUUCUUCCUUGUCGAAAUACCGGUAUGCACCGGCAUACUAUGUGUUGGUACACUGGUACAUACCAUUCCAGCAGAUUGCCGAAACGGGUCUGGUACUUGAAAAGGCAAACCUUGAUAGAAAGAACUUAUGACAUCUCAUUUACCGAUACUUGAAGAGGACUUUAUGAAGUUAGCAUAAAUUUGGAAAUAAACAAUUUGAAGACAAUUAAUUGUAACAGUUGAGAAUGGGGAAGGACAUGGUUGCUUUAGCUUGGUCGGUUGAUGUGCUUGUUCUUUUUAUCAUCUUACCUCCAAUCAGACAUUUCAUUAAAAAAAGAGAGGCUUUUCAUAGGCAUCUUGUAUGAAUGAACUUAGCAGGUGAACUUAUUGAUGGCUGAUUUUGUACCCUUAGAUACAUGCUCUUGGCCAUCCUCUAGGGCACUGAUUAGGCCAUAGGAAACAUGAUUAGAGAAGGAUUUAUGAUCUAGAUUGUUUCUAAUCAUGCUUGUGAACUUCAUAUGUUAAUUUUGAACUUUUCACAAUUCAUAGAUAACUUAUUUAGUUCAUGGAUGUGAAAGCUGGUAUAUGAUUUGGUCAAGAACUGGUGGAGCUGAAAAUUUUAAAAUGUUGCAUAAUGAUUCGGAGUAAAUAAAUAUUCAUCAAGCUUUAUUUAAGACAUUGUAUUUUAUAUAUUGUACAUGCUUUUAACACCCUUGAGAUUAAGAAGUAUAAAUAUGCAAGCAGAAUUCUCACUUGUGAAAUAAAUUAUCUCAAAAUAUAUUUCCAUAUUGUUGUUAUGUUCGUGAUCGUAACAAGAAGCCAUCAAUCCCAACUCUUUGGGUUUGGCAAUAUGGAUGGAUCUGUUUCUGCCAUUAAGCGCUGUUGCAGGCAAUAUCAAUGGUCAAACUAGGAUCAACUAAUCACUCUUUGACAAUAUGAGACAAUGCCUUAAAUCAUACUCGAUGUUUCCUCCCAUUUAUACCGACUUACCUGGCUUACCAGCAGUGUUGAAUGGAUGUGAAAACUAUUAUUUGAUGUGGUCGCUUAUGCAAGGAUAUCCGUGGAACUGUUUCAGUGUAGAAACAUGAUGGAGAUAUGGGGGAUAGGAGAAGAAUAAUUUCCAAAUGAAUGUUUUGAAGAGUCUGUACAACACUACAUGUAUAUUGUACAUCACCUUUCAACUCGUUGUUCACCUGAAAUAGGCUCAUUUUCCUCGUUUUAUCUUUUGACGAAAAUGCUCCUAUAUGUUUUGGCGUGUAAAAUGUACACUAUUUGAUUGUUUAAAAAUUUAUCACAACAUUCACAUAUUUAAUCGAGGAACUGUAUUCGUCUAUCUCAAAUUUCUGAUCUCGAUGGUGUCAAACUUUUUGGGUAUUUAAUUCCUAACUGCUCAACACUCUCAUGGAGACAGGCCUUGUAUUUAUCUUAUGCAACCUUUUCUUUUAUGGAGCAUAUAAUGUUCAUAUAGUGUUUUAGAUGCCUCUCAUUAUUUGAUCUUUCUACUGCUAUAUGAUCUUGCUCCUUUCCUAUCAAGUAAUCAAUGCAAGAGAGCUGACUAGAUAACUUUUUCGUACAUUUAUAAUUUAUUUUAACUGUAUAUUCUAUGCUUCCCUAUGAGUUCAUGUAGUAACUUGUAGUCCUAUUAUCCUCAACUGCUUGAUUUCUAGAGUUUAUCUCUGUAGAGCAAAGUUUAAAGUUUGUACCUAUUUAAAUCUCAUUAGUGAAAAAAAAUGUCGUGUUGCCUAAAAUAACAAGAUGGGCCUAUUAGCAGACAACUUAUUUAAUGAUUAUUUGUGUUGAGUAUACAACCUUGUGGGUUUGUCCAUGAUGACUGCACAAAGGUAAGGAUUUAUCCUUAUGCAAUCUUUUUAUUGUUGAGAGUUCCAUAAUCUGAAUGGGUGAUGACACAUUAAUGUAACUGCUAAAAGCUCCUUUCUCAAAGUUGCUACAUUAUAUCUUUAGGUACUGGUUCUGGCACAGCCCUUAAUCCCACCGUACUUUGUCAACAUGAAACAACAUUGGUGCUAAUAUGGGCUGAUACUAACAUGGUGGGGGUUAAUGAAAAAUGACUAGGAAUUAUUUAGAUUCUUGUCAAUUAUGGUAGGACAUCUUGGAAAAGAAGAAUCAAAGCGACAUCGUAAGUGGAGGUGAGGAGGAGGAGGUGAGAAUCCUUGUUAUUGCUUCUGCCCAUGCUGAUGUUCCAUUGCUAUUGGUACAUAAGACCAAUCUAGUGUUUAUACUUAUUUCUAAGAGAGAUGAGGCAAGCAAUAAUUGGGACAUUUUCACUUGUUUCUGUUGUUAUAGAUUGGCCAAACAUCAUGGGACCCUUGGGAUCUAACCAGAGUCGUGGAAUUUGGAAUUUUGGAUAUCAAGGGAUCCUGUUCAAACUAUAUUCUAAAAGGAAUUUAAGAUGAAGACAUGAGAAUGGAAGAAGAGCGGAGAAGAAGGAAGAAUGGGAGUGAAAGAGAAAAAGUAGAUAAUAUAAAUUAAAAGUACAAUACUUUGAAAAUAACUGGACUUAUUUUGACAUGAUCUCAAAUUACUUAAAUAUGUUUGUAUCAAGAAUUUAAAUAUCAGUCCAAUUUCGGUAACACCUAUACAUUUGAUUUCAGUAACCUAUCCUAUAUCGGUACUUGAUUGAACCUGAAAAUACUAGUCGGAGAUACUUGUCGAUCAAUAUUUUAAACUUCAGUUAAAAUGUAUAAAAGAUCUAUAAUAUAUUAUUUAUUGUGUCUGAAUUUUUUUAAUAUAUAUCCUUAAAAUAAUCUUAUCCCAUAUUGAAUUAUUAAUUUAACUAAAGGCAUUGCCUUAGCCAUAUACAGAGCUCAACUAAAGGUAUAGAUUUAGCUUUUUAUAGAGCUCAACUAGCAAAAGAUCCAUAUAGCUGAUCCCAUUAUGGCUUGUUGUAGUAUCCUAUACAAGAGAUCCUUUGUCAUGUUUGAUAUUCCAUUUUGACGGUAGAGCAACAUAGUCAUCAGGAAGUAGGAACUCUUUCAUAAAUUUUAAUUAAAAAAACCAUGUGUUAAUUUUUUUAAUCCAUUUAUUUUUGUUAAUUGUCUAUAAUGAUUCUUUGGUUGAUUUUUUUGUAUAAAAUCAAAUUGAUUUUUUUAACAUAUACCAAUCUUGUGUCUUUAUCUGCACAACUCAUAUAGUUUCGAUGUUUUGGCUUGUCAAUUUGAUUCUGUUUUAAGUAAUUGUGGACACAUUCUUUAUUCUUAUUGAUUGAGGAAAAAAAUCUUCCUCAUCAAUUGUCAUGUAGGGUGGUAAGUCUGAUUUGAAAUUAUUAUUAAUUUUUCAUGUAGGGUUUCAGUGUUCUAGUUAAUACCAGUGAUUUAAAAAGCGCUAGGCGCCAAGGUCCAAAAACGCCCGAGGCGCUAGGCUCUCGCCUGAGCAUAGCGGGAGCGGGAGUGUAAGAAGGCAGCGACAGCGGGAGCGGGAGUGUAAGGAGGCAGCAGCAGCGGGAGUGUAAGGAGGCAGCGGUAACGAGAGCGACGAGUAGCGACAGCGACAGUAGGAGCGGGAGCGGGGAGCGGCGACAGUGGCAGCGGCGAGUAGCGGGCGUGGGAGCGGCAACGACAACGAGCAGGGUUAGCCGAUUAGGGUUGGACAGCGGCAUCUGAUAUCGAUUUUAGUUGGUUCGAUUGAACGAACUAACCACCGGAGACCGAACCAGACCUAAAAUCCUGGUUCGGUCGCCUGGUUUAACCCAAGCGCUCGCCCGAAGCGCCCAACGCCUAGGCUUGGGCGAGCGCCUAGGCGGCGCCUCUUUGAAGCGCGCCGCCUGGAAGUUUAGCGAGGCGCUCGGGCCUCGCCUCGCCCGAGCGCCUAGGCGAGCGACCGAGCGCCUUUUUAAAUCACUGGUUAAUACCGUCUCUCUUUUGAUAAAAAAGGGGUUUCAUCUUGUGCUACCUGCUUGCCCGUCUGUCCAAUGCUUCUUCUCCUCUCCCUCCUCUUCUUUACUCCUCCUCUGCCUCCUCUUCCAUGUCCUCCUGGUCUGCUCUUUUUCUCCUCCUCUCCUCUUCUUUCUCUUCUUUUCCUCCUCGGCUGGUGUAUCAUAUGUUGGUACACCGGUAUAUACCAGAUUAAUACUAGUCCAGCCAAGGACCGGUACAGGUCCAGUAGUCGAAGUUUUGAACCACGGUUGUGAUGGUAGAAACUAGAAAGUAAAUUUGCCUUAGCUGCUUUCUUUUUUAGAGAAGGAAAAUUUUGAUGGGUCAAUGACUAAAGUUCAUGAUCACUUUUUAGUCUUGUCAGGGUUUUAUUUGUUCUAGUGAAUGAAGUUUUAAAGAUUGAAGCAUAUAUGGUUUUCUUCAUUAUAUUAUGGAGAACUUAAUUGUUUGAAUUUGAAUCAUUUGUCAAAUCUAUAUGUGGUUGAUAAUAGUUGAUUUUUUUCGUUGUUCUAUGAUAGUAUGAUAUGUAUUACUCAGUGUUAUUUUUACAUUGAUCUUUGUUCACUUUGUUUUAGAGCAUCUGACAGGAGGAUUGGUAAAGCAAUAUGCAGUGAAUUUGUCUUUGAAUGUGAAUUCUGGGAUGAUUCUGCAGCCAUUCUUGCCUCGAUAGGUUCUAUUAAGAUUGUCAACCCAAGCAAUGAGAACGUUAUUUUGAUGGAUAAGAAGGUCAAAUUUCCAUUUUUUUCUGUUUAGUUCUGGUUGCUAAUGCUAAAAGUUGUGACAUUUUAUGCCCUAGCAUGUUUUAUGCUUUGUUUUUCACAGGUAAUCAAUGAGGAAAAUCUGACCACGUCUCUGUUGCCAUGUCUUAGUUUACAUGUAAAUAUGCCUCAUUUGGACCAAAAGUAUGAUGUUUCAAUCAAGGUAUUUUAUUUUUUUUCUGAAGAAGAAAAGGACAAAUAUGCUUUCAUGUUAUUCCCAUUUGGGUUCCAGAGCUGCAGACUUGUAUUUUGGACAUGGCGUAUAAUCUUAACUUGAUUUGUAAUUUAGCUUUUUUAUGUGAUUAGAUUGUGCUCCAGCCAUUUGAAGCUGGUUUUGAAAAGGAAUUCUUUUUCUAUAUUCAGCAUUUUUACCGUGCUGUCACUUCCUUCCAGUUCCAGCAAGAUAGGGUAAGAAUAACUUGAAUAUUCAUCAAUUAUUUGAGUCAUCUUUUGGGUUGAUUUUUAGUUCUGCUAAUUUAUAUUUAUGCUUUUUAAAAACUUGAUAAUUUUGUUUUCUUUGAACUGAAAUGAUUUAUCUGUCUCCAGCAGUUAGGCAUUUGUAUGUUGCAUUUUCUUAGUGGUGUUAAAGUGAAGCUUGCAACUUUCACCUCUGGGCAUUGCUUUUCUUAUCAGUGUUAUUGUGGCCGUUAUUCAUUUUUUGUAUUGUAUAGACAAAGGCUUUUCAUUAAGUCACACUGUCUGAUUUAUCAUGAAUCAGCAUACAUGCAUUGUAGGUCAACCUGAUAUUUUGAGGUUCUAAUAUUUGACAGGUUCUAUGUUGCAGUUUUGCACAUCCUUCCUUCUCCAUCUUUGUUGCGUUUAAGCACUUAUCAAACAGAGUCCAAUAUUUUUAAGAACUUUUGAACAAGAUGCUUAAAUCUUUGUAUGGAAGUACUUGAGCCAGUUAACAGUCUCCUUUACUACAUGAUGUUACAUCUUAUGGAAUAUUCUGGAUACCAACUCUGCUGGUUUUAGUCUCCAAGCCUAAAGAAAUUUUGUUGAUAGCUUUUGCAGCAAGAAAUUAAGUAAUCAAGAUCAAGUUUCUUCACCAGAAUCCAUUUGAUAGAUGCUGGGAACAUGCAGAAUAAAAAAUAGAGCAACCCAUUGGUCAAAACAUCCUUCUCAUGGAUUUAGGUGAAAAACAUUUUUUUUAAUGAUGGUGAUGUGACAGAAUUUAUUGAAAUAACCAAUUAAUGUUUUCUAGGAUGGUUUGAAGUUGUUGUUCAAAUCUUAGGUGCUAGAGUGAGUUCAAAUCUCCUUUCUGCAUUUUCUUUGUCUCAUCUUUCAUCAUAUUGGUUGAUUGUUGCCAAAAUCCUCCUCACACCCUGGCCUACAUCAUAUUACUUUCAUUAACAUUUAUUUUGGCUUUAGAGGAACAUUGGAACUCGGAAGCAUCUCGCUGUAAUCUGUGUGAGAUAGAUCAAGAAUCAAUUUAACCAACAACAAUAAUCACCAUAAAAACAUGCUAUUAUUACUCAAAAUAUCUAAACUUUUGCUUCUGAAAACCUGUAUAUUUUGUUUUAGCCUGGUAUUGUUCGAUACCAGGAGUGUCCUACGAGGAUAACAUUGCCCAGUAAGAUGUUUACUGAUUGAUGCUAUUUUUAUAAUAUUUUAUUCCUUUUUGAACAUGGGCUUGGGGAGGCUUGUUCUGUGCCACCAGCUUUGCCUUCGUUGUGGCCUUCUCUUUGCCAUGCUGAGGCCUUUGUAUCCACCACCUUGUGUCCUUGCCAUUUUUGACUCCUAACUUUGUGGUUGCUGCUGUCUCCUUCAUGCAUCAUUGCCACCUCUUUCACACAUGGUGCUGUGUUGUCACAAACUUAGCUGGAAUUGCCUAAGUCGUGAAGCACCUUUGCAGCAAAGACGCGAACUUAGCUUGCGUUGCCUAAGUCGCGCUUCGCCCUUGCGAUUUGCGUUCGCAAAAAUCAGCCCACUUGAACCUCUCGUAGGUCUCGAAGGACCUGUAAAAGAGAAAGUUGAUUAGUUCGAAGAACGAGCGACGGACAAGUCCCGACGUCUCGUGAAAAGGGGAAGCUUUACAAGCAAUUCAGCGAGCACCUUGCGUGCAUAAGAGAAAAGAGGGAGAGGAGGAAAACAAGGACUUUAGAGGGUUGAACGAACAACUACAAGUCCACAAACAGUUGCUCACCGAGUGCCGGGCGCGACAACAAGUUCCCGUCAAGGUAACGUGCAAACUUGCGAAAGGUUGUUCAACGCCCGACACUAUACCGAAGCCCCAUCCCCCAUGGUGCCACCCGGGUGGUUCCAGGGUGCUGAGAUGGCUGACGUUUCGCGUGCAGCAGCGGGCUGUAGAAAACAGCUAGUGGCACGCGAAAACAGAGCUGUUUUGGGUUGUUUUGGGGCUAUUUUGCUCGGUUCGGUGAGCGGUCGCAUUGUAGCGCUGCAACUUGUUCAAACUUAUAUUUUUAUAAGCAAAAGGACUUGAAACCAAGUCAAAACAUGCUGCCAAGCAGUUAUACAUGUAGAUGAGAGCGAUGAAUGGUUCGUUGAACGGAGUUGUUGUGGGUGCGCGACGACCGUUCGUGACAUUCUCCCCCACUUAAACUGUCGACGCCCUCGUCGACGCUUGUUGGUAGUUGUUGAUAAUUGUUUCUUCAUGUCGUAGGGCAUCUUCGGGCUCCCAACUGGCUUCAGUUCGGGGAAGCUUUCGUCACUUCACCAAGUACUCGGUCUGCUCAGCUUCAUUGGGUAGCUUUAUCUUGCGAUCCGCUAAAAUAGUUUCAACUCGCUUCUCGUAGGAGACUCUGGUAGAGUGUAGCCGAGUUGGAAUACUUCGGGAAGCAUCUUGCGGAUCCGAGUGAUAGGCUUUUAGGUUACUGGCGUGAAGAACAUUGUGAAUUUUGAACCACGCUGGCAGCUGCAACUUGUAGGAGACGUUGCCCACCCUACUGAUAAUUGGGAAGGGCCCUUCAUACUUGCGCAUCAAUCCUUUGUGUACUUUGUUCCUAAAGAAUUGGAGUGAUGCUAGUUGGAGCUUUACCAACACCAAAUCGCCGACCUUGAACUCUUGCGGUCGCCUUCCCAAGUCUGCCCACCUCUUCAUCCUUUUUGCCGCCUUCUCUAAGUAAGCCCGCGCAAUAUCUGCAUUUCGGUGCCACUCCUUUGCGAAGUGGUAGGCUGACGGACUACUCCCAGUAUACCCGAUUGCCAUGGUGUGAGGAGUUGAUGGUUGUUGUCCUGUAAUGAUCUCGAUGGGGCUCUUGUUGGAUGCAGAGCUCCGCUGCAAGUUGUAGGAGAAUUGGGCAAUGUCCAACAACUUCACCCAAUCUCGUUGGUUGGCACUCACGUAGUGCCGAAGAUAUUGCUCUAGGAGCAAGUUUAUCCUUUCGGUUUGGCCAUCCGUUUGGGGAUGGAGCGAUGUGGAGAAGUAUAACUUGGACCCUAACAAUUUGAAUAGCUCGGUCCAGAAUCGUUCCAGGAACCGAGCAUCUCGAUCAUUGAUGAUAUUGUGUGGGACUCCCCAAUACUUUACCACAUCCUUCAUCAUCAGCUUGGCCGCCUCCUCUACUGAACAUUGUAGGGGAGCAGCAAUGAAAGUUGCAUACUUUGAAAAUCGAUCGACCACCACGAGUAUCGAUCCGAGUCUCCCUACUAUGGGCAAGCUUGAUAUAAAGUUCAAGGAAAUGCUCUCCCACGGCUUUUCUGGUACGGGCAACGGCUCCAAAAGUCCCACCGGCUUCCGUUGUUCCACCUUGUCUUGUUGGCAAGUGAGGCACGUUCGAACAUAUUCCUCCACAUCAGUCCUCAUCUUCGGCCAAUAAAAGACCCUCUCCACGAGAGCCAAGGUUCUGUGAAUGCCUGGGUGUCCAAUCCAAAGGGAAUCGUGACUCUCUUAAGAGUUCAUGUCUCAGAUUGUCCACUCGAGGAACAUAAACCCUAUUCCCUUUGGUGUAAACGAGUCUCUCCUGGACCCAAAACCGUCGUGCCUUGCCUUCUUUAAUGAGUUGUAUCAGGGCUUCUGCCUGGGGAUCACUGUACAGUCCAUCCCUGAUCCUGGAAAGGAAGUUGGAGUGCAACUGACUUGCUUGGCCUCUGCCCUCCAAUUGUACGGCAUUCACACGCUCCACUUUCCGACUCAAUGCAUCGGCCACGACAUUCGUCUUUCCAGGCUUGUACUCUAUUGUCAUAUCAAACUCAGCUAGGAAGUCCUGCCAUCGUGCUUGCUUUGGGGAGAGUUUCUUCUGAGUUUGGAAAUAGCUCAAAGCGAUGUUGUCUGUCCUUAGUACAAAUCGCGAUCCAAGAAGGUAGUGUCGCUAAACUCGUAGACAGUGGAUCACCGGUGUUAUCUCCUUCUUGUGCACUGGAUACCGCCGCUCGGUCUCAUUGAGUUUGCGGCUCUCGUAGGCCACCGGAUGACCCUCCUGCAUGAGUACUUCCCCAAUAGCGAAGUCUGAAGCAUCUGUAUUGACUUCGAAGGGCUCCCCAUGGUCAGGCAAUUUGAGCACCGGUUCUUCCAAUACAGCAGCCUUUAGAUCUUGGAAUGCAAUCUCACAUUUAUCAGACCACCUCCAAGGCUGCUCCUUCUUCAGCAACUCCGUUAGUGGAGUUGCACGCUUCGAAUACCCCGCUAUGAAGAGUCGACAGUAGUUGACGAAGCCAAGGAAGGAUCUUAACUCUGGCACCUUCUUUGGAGUUCGCCAUUCCGCAACCGCUUGCACCUUCGAUUUGUCCAUUCGAAUGGAGCUAUCAUCGAUUCGAUGCCCCAAGAAUAAGAUCUCCGUUUGAGCAAAGUAGCAUUUCUCCCUUUUCAUGAACAAAGUGUUCUCCCUGAGAACCUUGAAAAGUGUCCGAUAGUGCUUGACAUGCUCCUCGAGCGUUUGACUGUAGACGACGAUAUCGUCCAAGUAGACGACCACUAACUUAUCCAAAUACUCCUUGAAUAGCUGGUUUAUGAGGGUGCAAAACGUGGCCGUAGCGUUGGUUAAGCCAAAAGGCAUCACCAAGAACUCAAACGCUCCAUACCUAGUCACACAGGUAGUCUUCGCUUCGUCCCCUUCAGCAAUGCGCACCUGCCAAUACCCCAAUCGAAAGUCGAGUUUUGAGAAAUACUUGGCUUUGCCCAACUGGUCGAAUAAGUCCGCGAUGAACGGGAUGGGAUACUUGUUCUUCACCGUCACUUUGUUGAGGGCUCGGUAAUCGACACAUAGUCGGAGGCUCCCAUCUUGUUUCUUCUGGAAGAGAACGGGAGCUCCGAAUGGUGCUUUAGAAUUACGGAUGAGACCACCGCUUAGCAGUUUGCCUAAUUGCUUUCUGAGCUCAGCCAACUCGGGAGGGGGCAUGCGGUAGGGUGGUCUCGCUGGAGGCUUCACUCCUGGCUCCAGCUCGAUGUGAUGAUCCACGCCUCUGCGUGGCGGCAGAGUCUUCGGUAACUCAGGUGGCAUAACAUCCGUGAACUCCUUCAGGAUGUUCGCCACCACAGCAGGUUCAUGAGUGGCCUUCUCGUCGAGUGGCUCUAGCUUCAUAGCAGCCACGAAUGUUAGUUCGCCUUUUCGUACCCCUUUCUUCAGUUGUAAUGCCGAUAUAUGUUGGGGUUCCCUGGUUCCUCUCCGAGAGACGGGCGGGAACCACACAGGGGUCGUCACCUCCCAUCACACAUAGGGAGUUAAGGAACGACAUUCGCACCAACUUCGCCACGUGCAUAAAUUCCAUUCCAAGAAUCACUUGGAAGUCAUCCAAUGGCACCACCAUAAUGUUUGUGCUCCCGCUCCAUGUUCCAAUCUUGAUGGGAACUCCCUUUGCCAUCCCGGAGAUUUGCCUGGCCUCCGAGUUCACCACCUUCAUUCGACUUGGGCUCUUUUCCAAGAUCAGCGUAAGUCACUUUGCUUCUCGAUCGGCAAUAAAAUUGUGGGUAGCGCCCGUGUCCACCAUUGCACGGGUCGUUUGGCCAUUGAGCUUAAUGUCUACGUACAUCAGCUCGCCACUUCCUGCUUUUUGUAGCCUUGUCUUCGUGUUCUCCCCCACUCGACCCCGCAUGGCGUUCAACAAACGCAUUGCUCCCAUCCGGGAUCCUUGCGACUCCUCAACGUCGCUGCUGGAUUCAGAACUACUCGAACUAAGAGCGACAGCCUUGCCCUUGUCCGAUCGGUAGGAACUAAGUUCUCAACUCCCGCUUCAGGUCCUCCCAUGUGUCAACUCGACACCGACUUUGUUGGAUCUCCUCUCAACGAGUUCGUCACCAAAGUUUUGCAUCUUCGUUCAGAUACAUUGUUGCUAUAGAAACUUUGGUUUCUUCAGAAUCAGGCCUCGUAGCUCGAAAGUAUUGUUCCAUGUCAAACAGGAAAUUCUCGAGCUCUUUGGCAUCUCUGGCCCCUCCAUAACCAUGAAGCUCGGGUGCCCUCAAGUUUUGUGGCGGCGCAACGCAGGUGUUGCUUCCUCCCGCAUUUAGUGCUUUUGUGAGCAUGGUCACCCUUGAAGUGAGUUCCGCCACAACUUCCUGCAGGUGUUGCACGGAGUCUUUGGUGUCAUAUGACAAUCGGUCGACUAGGGCCUCAACCUUGUCGAUCCUGGACUCCGCUUCUUCUUGCGAGCUUUCUACCCCAACAAGCCUUCGUUGGUCAUGGUAGAGUUCCUCCAAGCUCGCUUCAAGAACAUCCAAGCGGGUUUCCGUCGUUGUGAGUGUCUCCUUAUAACUCUUUUUCCAAGUUGGCGCUCCAGAUUACGCUUCCUUUGCUCGCGGAGAGCAACCAACUUCUCGCUCAUCAUGUUCGCUGCCGCGCUCCUCUUGAGCGGCUCCAACAGCAUGAGAGCGAGUGUGCACUUGCAGCCCACCUGCGACUGCUUGGGGCAAGGGUCCGACUUGCCCCGUCUUGCUUGAUUCGCCACGAUGCUUUGCCAUGGCGAAGUUGCGAAGUUCCUUCGCUGCUCGCUCGAAGUGCUUGCCCGCUUUGAUACCACAAUGUCACGGACUUUAGCUGGAAUUGCCUAAGUCGUGAGGCACGCUUGCGGCAAAGGCGCAAACUUAGCUUGCGUUGCCUAAGUCGCUAGGCACCUUUGCGGCAAAGACACGAACUUAGCUUGCGUUGCCUAAGUCGCACUUCGCCCUUGCGAUAUGCGUCCGCAAGGAUUAUUCCACUUGCAACCUCUCGCAGGUCCCGAAGGACUUGUAAAAGAGAAAGUUGAUUAGUUCGAAUAACGAGCGACGGACAAGUCCCGACGUCUCGCGAAAAGGGGAAGCUUUACAAGCAAUUCAGCGAGCACCUUGCGUGCACAAGAGAAAAGAGGGAGAGGAGGAAAACAAGGACUUUAGAGGGUUGAACGAACGGUUGAAAUACACAAACAGCUGCUCACCGGGUGCUGGGCGCGACAACAAGUUCCUGUCAAGGUAACGUACGAACUUGUGAAAGGUUGUUCAAUGCCCGACACUAUACCGAAGCCCCAUCCCCCAUGGUGCCACCCGGGUGGUUCCAGGGUGCUGAGAUGGCUGAUGUUUCGCGUGCAGUAGCGGGCUGCAGAAAACAGACCGUGGCACGUGAAAACGGAGCUGUUUUGGGACUGUUUUGCUCGGUUCGUUGAGCGGUCGCAUUGUAGCACUGCAACUUGUUCGAACUUACAUUUUUACAAGCAAAAGGACUUAAAACCAAGCUAAAACAUGCUGCCAAGCAGUUGUACAUGUAGAUGAGAGUGCCGAACGGUUCGUUGAACGGAGUUGUUGCGGGUGCGCGACGAUCGUUCGUGACAGUGUUCUCCUCUUCUUCUUCUCUUCCUUUCCUAUUUUUUCUCUCUCUUUGGUCAUUCAGUACUGACUGUUACCAAGUAUUGGUGCACAAGUCCUUUAGCCAUUAAUUUUAAACCUUAAUCUUAACUGUACCUUCGGCACAUCUCUUGGUGUUGCUAAACUUGUAUUUUAUAUAUAAUUAAAAAUUGAAACUGAGUAAAAAAUUAGUGAGUUACUUUCUAGGCAUUCAUGGGAACACACACAAUUCUCAAAUGUGACUCUAAACAACUUCCAUGCACAUUAGCUGAGUGGAGGAAUGUCAACAUUUAAAGAAAGUUAUGAUUCUAUUUGGAUAGUCAUUUAUUUUGAUUUUGUGGUGCAUUUCGAAAGAAUGAAACAAAUCUGCAAGAUGUGCUUAGAUCUGCUGCAAGGUGGCUUAUCCUGGAUAUGUAUUUCAAAUAGAAGACAAUUGCUACAUGUCUAAUAAGAUUGUCGAUCAAUUUGUCACCUGAAUUUGCAUUGGAUAAGGGCUUAGUACCACCCAGAAUCCAGAUAGGUUGACAAAAAAUGAUCAAGUGGUCUGCUUUAGGCAUAUAGUUUCCUAUAUUUUAUUAACAUCUGAACUUGAUAUACAUAUGCUCCACUUUUACAUGAUCAUGCGUUUACUGUUAGCUUAAAAGUAAGGUGGUGUUACGACUUAAGACCCAGAAUUUUUUUUAGUAAAUUUGGAGAGAGAUCAAAAUUAGACAACACUAGCUUAAAAGUAUGGUGGUGUUACGACUUAAGGCCCAAAUUUUUUUUUUAGUAAAUUUGGAGAGAGAUCAAAAUUAGACAACCGUUCUUGUGCCUAUUUUGGUUGCACAAAUUCAUAUUUGAGUCUUAUCCCGAGUGGUUGAUGCUAUCCUCUACAGCUGUAUGUUAAAAAAUAAUUCUUAUUCAAGUAUUUGUGGGCACAAUACUUUGGUUCUUGUGUAAGUCAUUUUAUUAACUGUUCUUUAAAUGCCUUUUGUCAUGUCUCCUUUUUCUCUUUCUCCCAGACACAUGCUUCUGCUUGUAAUUCUUCCGACAUCUAUCUGCACCACUUCUUGUUGGAAUUUUCUUGGCAUAAUUUUUCAUUGUUAUUCCAUCCAUAAUAGUGCAUUUAAAUUAUUCCAUCUAUGCAGUUGUGGUGAUCACAAAUGUGACUUGUUAGUGAUUCUGUGGCAGGUGCUGUCAUCACUAAAUGAGCUGAAAAGUUUUGAGGCUAGAUUGCUUGCAAAAUUUGAGUAAGUUUUCAAUUAUUUUUUGCCCAAAAGUUUUCAGGUACCAAGUAUGAAUUUAUGACAUUAUACAUGUAUAGCAAGGAAGUUACUUUUCCUGAUAUAAGUACAUUGUAUUCUUUGGUUCAAACUGUAGGUACUAUAUCUGUAACCAUAAGAAGCUGUACUGGGAUGUUACUAUUCACAAAGCUAUCCUGAAUUUACCAUUGCAAAAUGAGGAGCAAAAAGUUCUCAAUAUGGUAAAUGCAUUUGUGAUCUAGACAUUAUCGUGAUUGUAGAUUUACUAUUUAUGUUAGACUAGUUUAAAUGCAACUAUUAUGUUAUCGCAGCUUUUGGAUUGUUUCAAUAGUGAACUUUGAUUGAUCAAGUUCUAUGUAUUGUGACAUUCUUCUGCAACACUUUCUAUACAAAAGCUCAAAUUAUCACAUUCAAUUUCAGACAUUAAUUUUGGUUUUUGUCUUGAGGUUUCAAAAGCUGUGUGUAUGAUAUAAGUUCAUGUGCAAGAGUCAUAAGAAGUUCUGUAUAUGCAGAACGUUUGUCAUCUAAAUGCAUGAAAUCUUACCUUAUUAGAUUAAUGGUAUCAUGUGAAAGGAGCACAAAAAUUGUCAAAAAUUUAUAUUUGAGCAAUCGUUUUGUAUGCUGAUUUACUCAUGCAACAUCCUGAAAAGUGAUGAUUCGGUUUCCCUAAAAAUUGUAGAUGUAAUUCUUUUAUACAUGUUUCAGUUUUCAUAGAAUUUUAAAGCAUGAGAUUUAUAGAAAAAAACUACUUUCUUCUGUUCCAUUCUAUAUUUUACAUGUUAUUGCUUUUAUGUCUUUUGAGUUCUUAUAGUGGUAGUACAUGUUCUUUAUAGCUGGAUGCUGUGGAUUUGGGUUGUGUAGCUUCAGCAGUUCUGGUGCAGAUCAAAAUGGAAGCUGAAAUCAUUCUUAUUUCAUAUUUGUAGUCAAGCUUAUUCUGGAUGAUUUUCUCUGGUACUUUUGCAUUGAGGUGUUGUACAUCUUUCUUGGUGACCUUCUUUGUGAAUGCCUAUCUAUAUCUGUGGAAACUGGAAACUGGAAAGUAUAUCUUUUGUUGCCACAUCUUUUUUGUGACGGGAAUAUUGCAAGUGCGGAUGUUGGUAUUGUGACAUAUCUACCAGUAGGAGGAAGAAUAGGAAGUAUCAAUGGAUUUUGAGUGAGAUAAAUGGAAGUGAAGAAUAAUAUGAAAGAAAAGGAAGAGAAGACCAGUACCAGCCCCUUAACACCUUCCAUAUUGUUCUUUCCCAGUCAGUAUCAGUGGGUAACCAAUCUGAUAUCCAAACUUAAAUACAUGAAUAGAAAUAGGUAGAAGCCACUCUGUUAUGAUCUUUCUAAGAUUACACGAGGCUUUCUCCUAGAUACUUGAUCUAAACACACUUUAUGGGAUAAGGUUUAUUUAUGCAUUCUGGCAUUUUGUAAUUAUUUUUGCUUAUGGUUAAUCUUUUUGCUAGUGUUGAUCUUCUACAUUAUGCUCUCUAUUAGUGUUUUAAUAAUUAUACAAAAAAUAAUGUGGCAGGUAUUGGAAUUUGAUAAAAUUUUCCUUCAAUCCAAGACUCAGCAGGAGAGUUCUCCGAUAUUGAAUAGCAGACUCUGCUUGGAAAACAUAUGCCCAACUUAUCUCAUAAAUGGCACCCAACUAAAAUUUCAAAUUCAAGAUGUCUAUAAUUGCUUUGGGAUUGAAUUGACAGGUUUUAAGGUAUAUUAUAUUAACUUGUUUUCUGUUAUUAGCUUUUAUUAUAUUAGAUAAGCUUUUAUUAGCUUGUUUUCUUUUUCUUUUUGUAUUUUAGUGUAUACUAUAGUAAUUGUAUUCCACUUUAACUCUUGCAGGUGAACUUAUUUGAGCCAAACGUACCAAGAGUAGUCCCGGUGAUAGAUGAUUUUAAUGCAUCUUUUGACACUAGGCUGUGCAUCUUCUUUGAUGAGGCAGACUUAAAAAUUUUGGAGGUACUUCUCAAUUUUUGUGAUCUUGUAUGCUUUCUUGUGCAUGGUUAUGGUGCAUUAUGAAGCAUAUGCAUAUUUAUGAUAAUUAUGUUCUUGCUUCCUUCUGUUCUUUACAUAUUGCUUUCUUGUGAUUGUUUCUUUUUUGAAAGUUGAAAGAACAAGUUUCUUCUGUGAAGUUUAAACCAAGGAAGGCAAUACCGAAUGAUACCGUCCGGUACGGAUGGUACGUAUCGGUCCGAUGGUAUACCGGUACGUGGAUCACCCGCUACUGGACGGAACGAAAAAAAUAAUAAAAUAAUAUAUAUUUAUAUUUAUAUAUAAAUAUUUUAGAAAAAGGCGACGUUCGGCGACGUGACAUCGCCUUUUUCGGAUUAUAUAUAUAUAUAUAUAUAUAUAUAUAUAUAUAUAUAUAUAUAUAUAUAUAUAUAUAUAUAUAUAUAUAUAUAUANNNNNNNNNNNNNNNNNNNNCCGAGCGGUAUAUCGCUCGGUAUACAGUUUCGUACCGUAUCGAGCGAUCGUUGAAACUCCGGUAUGGUACGAAAUUGCAGACCUUGGUUUAGACAAUAACAAUAAUGACAACAAAGCGGUAAAGAAAGUUUAGACAAAGUCUGAAAUUCCAUAGCACACACUUGUGUCAGCUGGUGCCUAGAUAUAUUAUGUGCAGAUCAGCACAUCACCAAUAUGAAGAUAGUGCCAACACAAGUGAUGUUGGAGGAUGUAAAAGAAGAAGAAAACAGAGGACUGGGAAAGAAGCUAGAGGAAAGGAAAAGUAAAAAAAAAAAGGAGGGGAGAACUGGCCUUAUCUCCAGUAAACUUCUCUUUCUAUUACCUUCUUUGUUUUCCUUUCAUGUCCUGAAUUCGUACCCUGUCAAUGCAAGAUCUACAAAAUGAUUCAUUUCACAACAUUUGCCAUAUUCCAAUCACAAAAAACAAACAAAUUGGCUGAUGCUUCAAGACAUUAGCACUCAACUUGGACCAAACCAGUAUCACUAAUGUCUCUAUUACAGUUAUAAGCAGUGAUUUAAAUAGGCGCCCGAGCGCUCACCUAGGCGCUCAAGCGAGGUGAGCCUUGAACGACUCAUGGGUGGACUAGGCAGCGCGCUUCAAUGAGGCGCUGCCUUGGUGCUCGCUAGAACCUAGGCGCCGAGCGCCUCGGGCGAGCACUCGGGUCAGAUAAGGCAAUCGAACCAGACUUUUAAGUUGGUUCGAUUGAACCAACUAACCACUUUCUUACCCUCAAAAGCCACUCUUCAUGCUCGCGCGACCUCGAGCAAACCCUAGCACUGCUUUUGCCUUCGUCGCUGUUGCUUUCUAUCGUUGCCUCCACCGCAGACACAAUAGACUGAGCCUUUGUCGCCGACGAAUGGGUCCAACAGCUUUGCAUGAGCUCGUAGCUUCCUUCUGCUGUCACUCCGUGUGCAAUUCCUUCUACUGUCGAAGGAGAGGACUGUAGGUUCCUUCGCCAUCGAAGGACGCCCUCUGGAGCUUCUGCCACUACCGCUGUAGUUCGCAGCGCUGCUGCGACUGUCUUAAACUAAUCCUUCGCCGCUGUUGCUGCCAGCUUCUCAUGACUGCCUUCUCACCGCUGCUAUUGCCACUUUCCACUGUCGGUGACCCUUUAUCCCCCUCUGUUAUUGUUAAUAGUUCUUUUCUCCCCCUCUAACUACUAUUAACAGUAGAUUUUUAAUUUAAUAUCAUAUUUUUAUUCAAAUAAUCAUAUUUAUCAAUUAUGUUAUAUAUUUUUAUAUUUUUAUAUUUCAAAGCGCUUCACUUUGUUCGGGCUUUUGCCUAGUGCCUCGGCCGUUUUGGGGCCUUGACACCUUUUGGCGCUUAGCGCUUUUUAAAUCACUAGUUAUAAGUCAUCUCUUAUUGAUACUUAGAGCUGCUUUGGUAGGCAGCUUUUGGUUGAUAAAUAAAAAAAAAGAUUGCCAUGUUGGAACAUACCUUUUGAAACGAUCUAAGCAAAAUACCAUGGCACCUUCAUUUUUAUUUUAGGUAAUGGGCACAAUGUGGCACCUGGUUAUGUAGGCUUGUUGAAAAAGAAAUGGCCAAUAUGUAAAAUCAUUUGUAUCUGAUAAUACACUAUUAUAAAUAGGUAAAAUGACAUAAAUUCUCAAGUAUUCCAAUUAAUGGGCAUCAAUUAAUAACAUGUCAGUCAAUCAUAGUUCACAUAUAAGCUUGUCAACUUUUGUCUCCAAAAGUAUGUCUUUGGACUUUGGAGCAAUGUUAUCAGCCAUCUGUUUCUUACUACGGUAUCCAACAAUUGCAUUGUUCUAUGGCAUACAAAUGAUCUAAGUAACCAGAAAUAUUGGAAUAUUUAGCAAUUGCAUCGUUGUGUGACGUAUAAUGAUCUAAUAGUUUGUAACUAGAAACAUUGGAACUUGCCGUUACAAGAAUUAUUUAUUAUGCAAACAAAUUAUGUGAACAUUGACCAAACUAACUUGAUCACAACCAUAAUAUAUAAAACCUAAACAGGACCUACCAAGUAUCAUCAAGAAACUAUCCUUCAUUUCUGAAUGAAGCAGGCUUGCAGUUGCUGAGAAAGGCAAGCUAGAGAUGAUAUCAGUGUUGCUGUUGGAGAGUUUCAUCUGACCUAUCUUGCCGCCCUUGGAGUGGAGCAAGAGAAGCUCCCAUAGGAACCUUUACAGCAGGAGAUUUUUUGAGCUCCUAUACAAAUCUUUGUUUCUUUCUUUCCUUUUCCUUUUUUUUCAUUCACAACUGUCUGUUGUACUUUUUUCAAUCUCUUAAUCGAAUGAUUUAGCAGUUGCUUUGCCCAUAAAGGAAUGUUAUGCUAUAUGUUGAUCCUUAUACAAGAUCUAAAACAAGGUUUUACCUUAUGUUCAAGUCGCAUGUUUAUGCCUUUCCACAGACUGGUAGUUGUGGCUUUCUGUCUGGGGAUUUUGACAUUUGUAUGAAUGAGUUAUUUUUGUAAUAUCAUUAACUUUCACCUAGUCUCACAUAUUACUGAAAAGUUUAUCUUCUUGUAUUUGUGCCUAUUUAUCAAUAUUAUAUUUUGUUGCAUAUAUAUCUAUACUAUAUUUUGUUGCUUCUUAUGCUUGGUAACAUCCAAAUGUCAUACCUCUUUGUUGUCUAGGUUGAUCUUGUUGUACCAUUUCUUGCAAUGCAUUUCUCACCGAAAAUAUUCAGUGCUCUACUUAGAGCACAGGAUGUGUUGUCAGAACAAAAAUCUCAAGUAUUUACAGAGGGCAUUUCGUAUGUAAAUGAUAUCAGUGUACACAAUUGGCCUUCCCUCCAAUUUUCUGUGUCUGCCAUGUUGGACAAUUGGAAAUUCAAUGUCGACCUUGAAGAUGAUGCAGAAAACAGUGCAAUUAUUUCCUUUACUUUCGAGAACCUAUUCUCUAGGUUGGUCAUUUAAUAUUUGUGUAUUUCUAUUUUUUUUUGUCCAAUCUACAGAAUUUCCUUCUCAAUUGCAGGUGUGCUCUGGAGGACUCUAUGAAGUUUUGGUUCCUCACAAAGAUGUUGACAAUAGAUUACUGUUGUUUCAAGGAUGGCCCAAAUUGUAGUACAUUAUGCUCAACAAGAAAUGAAAUAGGUGGCACAAUCAACACGAGUGCUGACCAUGUUGAUCUCAGCAUAUCAGAACUGCCUUCCUGUGAAAGUCCGAGGCAUGGUUGCUUCGAGUUGCAUUACCAAGCUCAAGCAUCUCAGCAGGAAUGCAGUCUCUGCUUAUGCGAUGUCGAUCUCCAUAUCUAUCCUAGAAUUUUUGGUUUGUUGCAGAAGUUUUUCAGCAAACUUAAAGCGCAAUUUUCUUCAUCUGACACUUCUGUCAAGUCCUUCAGAUUGAUUGAUAGUAACAUGGAAAUGAUUGACAAUGGGACUUCUAAGUUUGGUUUCUCCAACUAUCACAAUAUUGAGCAUAAUAUAUUUGGCAAAAUUGAUAUAGACCGAUUUGUUCCCGUUAUGAAAUCAGGUUGCUUAAACAGUCUUGAAGGCUCUAUGAUCUUUGAUGCUCCAGAAUUAAACAAUCUGUGUGCUAAGAAAAAUGAAUGUCCUAAAGGUGUGAAUUUAAAUUUCAGGCAAGGGCAAACAGUGAAGGAUUCUGUUAUGACUUCACCCACAUCUAGCAGAAUGGCUGAACCAUUCAUGAAUUCUGAUAAUAAUUGUUUUAGUAUGAAAUUCUCUCUGAAUAGGGUUAGAGUAUAUUUUCAUGAUUCUUCUUGCAUUUUGGCAACACUUACAGUGCCUACAUCUAUAUCUUGCUUCAGAUUUUGUCAAAAUGAUUGUUGGGAUUUAGUAUCAUCUAUUGAGGGGUUAAUGCUUUCAUCAUCAUGGUCUUGUCCCAACAUCCAUGAGCUUCUAUGGGGACCAUCAUCACCAAGCAAUCUCUCUGUAGUGAAUCUUAGUCUAAGGAAAGGGAAAAUAAAGAUGAUGCUUCCCAUCACAGAAAUAAAUAUCAGCAUUCAGCAUGUUUGUUGCAUCAUUUCAUCUGAGUUUCUAGCAUUGUUGAUAGGUUAUUUUUCUUUGCCUGAUUGGAUACUUGAUGGAAAUGAACAUUUGAGCCAUGAAAUUCUUGAGUUUGAGAAUUCUCGGAAUGAACAAAAUGAUUUGUUAUACAAGUUUGAACUGGUUGACUCCACUGUGCUUUUACCUCUUGAGAACCGUGAGUAUUGUAUACAGGUUGGAUUUCCCCAACUAGUUUGUAGCUUCAUCCCAAUGAGUAGUUCAGCAGAUUCUUUUACGGAGAUUCCUUUUGAGUGCAUGAUAUCAGGAUGUAUGGAUUCUGAGAAAGUUGACAUUGUUAAUGUGUUUGGAAGAAGUGCAUCACUGUCUCUUUUGUUUAUCAGGAAUGACAAAAACUUCCUGUUGAAGCUUGAUGAAUGUAUGUCUAACACAAGUGUCCCUCUCAUUACACAACUGGAUGCUGAUUUAUGGAUCCGAAUACCUUCUACCACAACAGAUGUUUCCCCACAAUCUGUUGUGCCUUUAUUGAUUAUGAUGAGUGUCAGUGUUUGUAACUUAAUUGCUCGGGGUAUGUCUAUGCUUUAGAUGCUUCAUAUAUAGACCAUUGUUUACCAUAAUUAAUUCUCUUAUGUAUUUGCUUGUUCCUAUGUUGUUCAGAUGACCACCUUAUACAUGGACUUGAAGCUGUUAUUGAUGCUGUUGAUCAGUUUUCACUGGUUCUCAAAAGAUCUGAAAUGUACAAGUCUGAUAUCAUGCAGUUUUUGCAAUGCAAGAGAAACAUCAAGGAGGAAGAUGUUGUUUCACUUAACAUCUCAAGCCAAUUUUUUGUUAGUGUAAGAUGUUGCAUAAAGACUCUAUCACUAACAUUCUGUCGCUUCAGGGCAGAAGAUUCUUCAUCUGAGAUGGUUGCAAAUGCAGAAAUGCAAGUUAAUCUAUCUGCCAUAAUGAGAAAUGAGGUGCUACAAUCUCUUGAUGUGAAUAUUCCAUGUGUAGUUGUACGCUCUUCUAGUAGAAAUAUUCUGUUAAUAUCUUUCACACCUGAAGGUGCUAGUUCUUCCCAUCUUUGUUUCAAUUUCUCCAGUUGCAGUGCUGAAUCUGAACUUCUGGUCACUGUAGCUUCUCUUGAUCUUUGGUUACACUUGUCAGACUGGAACAAUAUUUUUGAACUUCUUCAGUUCUACAUAACACACUUGGUCAGUACUCCAAUUUCUUCCAGUGCAGAUCCGCAGUCCGGGUGUCAUUUUGUCUUAGAUCCUGCCACGCCCACUUGUUUUGCAUCUGAAUAUGUUGUGCAGGAAAAUAUUAGUUGGAAACUUAAAUCAGAGAAUAUAACAAUUUCAUUACAUAUACCUAGCUCAAGUGAUGGAGAGCUGAUAGAUUCUGAAAUGAUUGAAAUAGCUAACAAAAAUUCUCAGGAACAUACCUGCAAUAAUUUAGUGGAAAAUAUGCCACCCUUCAAGGUAAAGAAUUGCAAUUUUGUGAAGAUCACUGUCCAUAGUAAAAGUUGUGAGAUGAUCAUAUGUGAAGGUUGUGUGGAACUGAAAUGUAAUUUGGAAAAGAUGAGGGUUACACUAGAGAUGGUUCAAAAUUAUGAUAUCACUUCCAUUCCAUUUAUGCAUGUAUCUCAGGUGAAGGCAGGAGCUAGUCUAUGCAGAAAGCAAGGGGAGUUGGUUUAUAUAUCUUCUGAGAUUAUUAUCGAAUCUUUAGACAUUGGAGUUUCGUAUCAAGUUUUAUAUUUCUGGAGUUGCUAUAAGUUAAGGGUUCCUGAAACAGCAUCAUCCCCAAUAUUUCGCCAUUGUUUGGCUUUUAAAGUCCAUUUCAAGAAGGGCUCUCUUCUUUUGAGUGAUGGAAGGGUAUGCCAUUGAACUUCGGCUUUCUAUCUUAUUUGUUGCUUGGCCAUGUUUGUUUAAGUUUCUGAAUUCUGAUGUGACUGAAGAUAUGUAUAAUGUGUACCUUAAAUAUUUCUGAUAUGGUUUACAAUAACAAGAGACAACUUCUGGAUAUGACUGCAUAGCUUGAUGACUGCUAUGAACACUUAUCUUGGCCAUAAAUGCUGUCAUAAGUUGGAAUGUUUUGUGUUGUCUUUUUUCAUUUGGGAGUGAAUAUCUUGUUUGCCGAUAAAUUCUCUUUUAAAAAAUUUCAUCUUCUUUUGUUCUUCACUAUAUUCUUAGCUUUCAAAAAUUAAUGUAUAAGCAUGCAUGAAUUCAUGACAACAAUUUUUCUAGCCGCAAGCAUGUUUUCUGUAAUAAUCAUGUAGGCCACCACUUUUUUUCUUAUUUGAAACUUGUUUCUAAUGGUUGCCAUCUAUAGGGUGAGUUGGUUUCAGCACUGAUGUUGAGAAAGUAUUUUAGUAUGCUGCUGCAUAGUCAAGUAAAUUCAUUGCGUUUUUUUUUUUCAAAUUUAACAGAAAAACGUUACAUGUUUAUAUGGUCUUUCUUUAUCUGGAGGCUGAUGUAAGUUUUACCCAAAGAAUAUGGUUUCUUUCCUACAGAAAUAAUAAAUGAUGUGGCUUUCAUUUCAAUGAUGCAGGAAGUAGGAACUUGUUAAAAUCCUUUCAUUUUCUGAGCUUUUGAAUAAUGUUUAUUGAGUCUGUUUAAUUCAGUUAGAAUCGGAUAGAGGUUUAUUUAAUAUUUUAUUUAUUAUUAAGAGUCCAAGUCCUGGUAGACUCUAGGUAGAACUCUAUAAAUAGUGAUAUAAUCGUUUCUUUUCGGCAGACAAUGAAAUAUUAUUAAGUCUUUUGACUAACCCUAGGAGGUCGAUCCCCUCGAAGUGAUCAUCCCAUUUUCUCCCCUUUCUUCCAUGAUAAAACCCUAGGGUCUUAUCAGAACUUCCCACUCUUACAAUGAAUUCUUUCAUAACAGCCAAUCACCUAAAAAUAUUUGGUUUUAGGUGGACAUAUCAAUUUCCAGUCAUGUUUUUUAAUUUGUCACCAUUUAGGAAAUGUUAAGAAGCUUUGCAUAUUAUCUCAAUUGGUUCGUCAUAUAUAAUGGUAUUUUCUAGGUGAAAUGGCAAAUUUAGAAUCACAGAGAAUUGAAAAGAUGAAAUAGGCCAAGGUUUAUAAAGAAAGGAUGUCAUGUUGAAGAUCCUUGCCAACAAUCGUAUUAGACUUUUCCAACAAAGUUGCAUAAGGCUUAUUUUAUCCAGAUGUUUUUUCAAGAUCGAAUUGAAGUAGAGUUUCCAGUUCUUAAAGAAUAGGCAAUAUGAAAAAGGUCCUAGUAUGCCAGAUAAGGGUGUUCAACUUCCAAGUUAGCCAGAUAUUCUUUUUGCAGUAUACGGAACGAAAGAUUGUCAUCAGCAAAUUGUAAGAAAGGAACACCAGAAUAAUUGGGGAAGGUUCACAAUUCUCUUAUUAAGCCGGUCUCCUUAUCAAAAGUGGGAAACCUGAGUGCAGACCUCAAGAACAAAAAGAAGAGAGGAUAGUAUCUCCUUUUACCCAAGGUUGCUUUUAGGGCAAACUGUUUUCUGAUUAUUAGGAUACAAUGUUACAUUGAGGAUUUUAAGCAAGUUAAAAGCUCAAUCUCAAUCAUCUAAUUCAGUUAGGUCCAAAACCUUUAGUUUUGAUGAGAUACUGAAAUACCAACCUUUUAUAUUAAAAUUUUCUUAGAGUGUAGCAUCAUCACUAGGCUUUUGAAGUCAUACCUGGCACAAAAGUAAACAAUUUCAUGGGCCAUAAUGAAAUAAUCAGCUAGGCAUCUUCCUCUAUCAAAUGUCACUGCAAUAGACGAAAAAUAUCAGAGAGAAUUUUGAAAAGUUCAGAAUCACCGUCCUGGUAAAAACUUCAAAAGAUCAAUUUUCAGAAUUUUUGUCUUGAAUUUUAGCUCACUUGACCCCUUGAACUCUUGGAAUGAUAGAAUUCAAUGCAUAAUUAAGAGUUUAAGACUACUUUGUUCUUAGGAUUAGUAUUCGAAUUGCACAUUCUAUGUUAGCCUGACAAUGAAAUGUUACGUUUUAUCAACAUGGUAUUACGGCAUGGCCGCAUUCUGAUACAAUUUUGCCAUGAGGGCAAAAAAGGUAAAUGAUUCUGAUACAACAUUCUGAUACAACUUUGCUGUGAAGAAAGACUAGGAAAAUAAAUAUAUAACGUGUCAAGACCAAGUUCUAUGGGAUUUCUCUCCUUGUGUGUACAGGCUCCUAUUACAUGCAAAUGCGCAAACAAGUCUCAAACUAAACCUCUUUUCUUCUGUCCAGUAGUAAAACCUCAGCCUGAAUAACUAACUUAUUCUAAUAAAAUAUAGCAAGUGCUAACCUAUUUCAUGUGAUUAUACUCUGUCAAUUGGUUCAAUUUUUUGGACUUACUCAACCUUUUAUCUUAUAUAAAAAGGGAAUAUAAGCUAUUUAAUCUAUCCCUGUUUUUUUUAAUAUAGACCUAUGUAAAUGACAUGACCAUUUUUGCUUGCAUAUUCUCCUUUAGUCCUUUGAUGUCUUUUGAUGUACCUAAUUAUCAGCACUUGUGGUAUUUACUGGGAUCAACUGGUGGUAAGACCAAUGGCAAGGUUUUUAGUCUUGGAAUUGGUGCUUGUACUAGUCCCUUGGCAGAUUAUAUGGUACACAAUAUGCUGGUGUAUUAUAGUACCAUCUGGUACUGAUCAAAUAAAAUAAGAAAUAAGAAAACCAAAAGGGUGGAAAAUCUGGCAAUAAAUUAGGAAAAUUAGAGAAAGAAUUCCUGUAGCCUCGGCCUAUUUACCUAAGUAGCACCUAUCACUGAGCUGUAUCGUCUACCUUCACUGUCUCUUCCUCUCCUCACUUCUCCAUUUGUCUGUGAUCCUACCACAAUUUUGAGGUCCCUAAGUCCUGAGUUUUGACUUCUUUAAGCAUACAAGGGGUUCAUGAACCAGUUCAACUCUACUCAUUUAGCGCUAAAAUGGGACUAGUCUCCUGUAUGUCAGCCUGGUUCGAAUUAGUCAAUGUCCUAUUCCAUACUUGGACCAAUGCAAACCCAUGCAAACCAAGCUCCCAUGCAAACCAAGCUGGAUGCCAUGAGUUUCAAUUUUUGGACUGAGACCUGUAUUGGUCCUUGACAGGAUUGGUAUGGUCUGGUACAUAACAGCAUACUGGCACAUGGUCAGUGUACUGAUCAACAUGAACCAAAGAGAAAGAGGCAGAGAAGAGGGGGUGGAGGAGGAGGAGGAGAAUGAAGAGGAGGAAGGAGAGGAAAGCUGCUGUUGACAGGCUGAGCGGUUUAAGAAAGAAGAAAACUUAAAAAGGCCAGUUUCAAACUGGUCCAGGCGAAAUUGGCUGAGUUCUAGUUCCUGGUUGGACUGAUAAAUACGUGUUAAUUUGUGCCGGUCUGGCCAGUUUUUUGAACCUUCCGUUUACCUAUGGGUACCUCGCAGGUGUAUGGUCUAUUGAAGCAUUGUUGAUUGUGAGUAUCUGGUUGAUUGCCAAUCGCAUGUUUCCAAUGUGUGAACUGUGAACUAUUCCUUAUAUGUAACUUAAUUGGCCUUUAAUGAAGCAGGCAAUCCGGCACAGCACAUAUCAUUGGACUCUUGAACUUCUCAUGGUUGCUGGGAGGCUCGUAUGAACGAGAAUUUAGAUCCUAGUUCUCUCUCCUGCCAUUCAUAUCUAUUAUAUUAAAGUAUGAUGAUUUAAAUUGUAAUGGCUACAUUAGGAACUAUUAACACACAAGUUCUUCUCGCACGCACCUUGUCUAACACCCACAAACUUAACAAAUGUUAAGUGACAAUUCUUGCAUCAUUUUGGCAAUCAUUGAUGGGAUGGUGCUGGGAAAGGGAUGUGACCAUAUCAAUGGGCUUAUAUGCGUUUGGGAUGGGAAUUGACCAUAUCACAUGGGUAGGUGUUCAACUAUGUGAUUGAUCAAGUAGGUGCCAAAAGUAUGUUUCCACAUUAGAUUGUUUGCAUAUAUCAUACUAUGGAGUUGGUUGAUCAUUUUGACAUUAGUUCUAUGGUCAUUACUUUGUUGUUGUAAAAGCCUUGUCCAGUUCUUGCAGUAGAAAUCAAUUAAUAAUUAUGAACUUAAAUCUUGUUAGAACUAUGUUUGAUACGGCUUCAGUUUCUCAUAUAAGUUCAUGUAUCUUUGACGUAGUGGAGCUAUCAUGGACCUAUUCUGGAGACCUUAAUGAAGAACAUGCUUAUACAGUUCAAUCGAACAGAAGAUGUCACAGAGGGUUCAGCUGUUGCUGAUCUGUUGAUUAACUACAAUAACAUUGAUAAGGUAUAUUAAAGAGACUUGUUUUACCAUCUUAUGUUGUCUUCAUAAUAUUUUGGUAUACUUUAUGAGUAAAUUCUUUGUAGGUUAUGUGGGAACCUUUUCUAGAGCCAUGGAGUUUUGAGUUGAAUAUGACAAGAAAAUAUGAAGGGUAUAUCUUGAAUGGAUAUGCAGUUACUGAUGUAUAUUUGAAGUCGACAAAGCUACUUAAUUUUAAUAUUACAGAACCACUGGUUGAGGUACAAAUUUACUGUUCUAGUAAUUUAUCUUUUUGUUUCUACAUCAUUACUACAUGAGGCACCUAGGAUGUGCGAGGGAGUUAGCUAUUUGGCAAUAUUUUUAAAUUUUAGUGCAAUUCUUGCUGAAUUUGAGUUUUUGCAUGUAUUUUUUAUUUAUGUUCAGAACAAUGCAAAAUCUUCCUCAUUGCUUUGUGUCUUAGAGUGGAAGUUGUUCAUCAGUCGUGUCUUUCAUUACCUUCUGGCUGGAUACUUUGGCUAGGGAAUCACAGUUCAACUUCGUGUGCUGCAACAUUCAUAUUAUUGUUUCUUUUUUCCUCCUAAUCUUGAAGUUCUGUGCAGGCUAUCUUCAGGCUAAAUCAUGUGGUUAAUGAUGCUACUAAUCUUGCUGAUGCAUAUGGUUUCCAAGAAACUCAUGGAAUCUUGGGAUUACAGACUACUGAAGACAUACGUAAAAGAAGAUAUGCCCCAUACAUUCUCCAUAAUGACACAUCUUUGCCUCUGGCAUAUCAUGUGUACCAUGGCCCAGUUGACAUGGAUAAUAUCCACAGCUUUCCUACAGAUGAUGGAAAUAUUGUUCAACCAGGUUUUUCUGUUCCCAUUUAUGUCGAGGAAAAUCUUAAUGAACAAUAUUUUGAACGCAGAGCUUCAUAUUCUUCUGAAAGGCUUAUAGAGAAAAAGAUGAGUGCGAUAGCACAUCAUAUGAUGUCUAUCCACUUUGAAGGAACUUCUGGGCCUUCAAGACCUAUGUCAAUGGACCUUGUGGGCUGUAGUUAUUUUGAGGUAAAUUUUUCUAAAAGUAAGCAUUCUAUUCUUGUUGAAGCAGAAAAAGAUGGCAAGAUAUUAGGAUGUAGUUGGCAGACUGAGGAGCAGUGCAAAAACGAACAUUGCAAGGGAUUAGUUGUUCCUGUCGUAUUUGAGGUUUCUAUGCAGCAUUACAGCAAGAUUAUAAGACUAUACUCAACGGUAGUAACUGCAAUUUGUUUGAUAUUAUUUUAUUGUUUCAUGCAAGAAAUAAAUUUGCUUUCUGCUCCAGGUUAUAGUUUUCAAUGCAACUUCAGUGCCCUUGGAGCUACGUUUUGACAUUCCAUUUGGUGUGUCUUCUAAGGUAAUGAUUUCUUUAUGAGUUAUCAAGUCACUAGCAAAAUAUAUUGAUUAAUUGGGUCUGCUGCUCACAGUACAUCAAUGCUAUUGUUUUCAGGGUAAUUUGCAUGAUUUUGGUUAAUUUCUAAUUUUUUUUUUCUUGAAAUCACUUAAUUCCAUUCAGAAAUUUUGCAUUAUAGCUAUGUACUGGUCCAAUUUAAAAUUUUCAUCUUUUAAUUCUGAUGUUCCUGCUUUCAUUCUCAUUGGAAGUCAGUUUAGUAGGAAUUUGCUCCAACUUCAAACUAUACUUGUAAAUGGAAAAGUCUGGAUAUUUUUUCUAACUUUUCUCUGUUUUAGGUCUUAGGACCAAUACUUCCAGGGCAAGAGAUUCCAUUGCCACUGCACUUGGCUGAGUCUGGCCAAAUUAGGUGGCAUCCAGGUGGCACACAUUACUUGUGGAGUGAAGCACAUUCACUAUCAAAUAUACUAUCUCAAGAAAAUAGGCUUGGAUAUUUGAGAUCAUUCGUGUGCUAUCCCUCUCAUCCUAGUAGUGAUCCAUUCCGUUGUUGUAUAUCUAUUCAAGAUCAUGGUCUGUGUUCAGCAGGUGCUGCAGAAAAACAUUCAUCAAUUAAUAUUCAUGAGACUGAACAACUUAUCUUCAAAAGUAACAAGUCAAAGUUUCCAAAGAAACAUGUUAUACGCCAUGUGAGGCUGAGUACUCCUUUGUUGGUGAAAAAUUAUCUUCCUACAUGUUUAUCCUUCAUUGUAGAAACCGGUGGAGUCACACAUUCUGUUUCUCUUUCAGAGGUUUGGUUAUAAGCCGCUUUAAUUAAUUUUAUCUGGAUACUGUGCUGUUUUCUAUAGUUUUGAACAUAUUACUUUUAUUUUCUAUAAUUAUAUUCUUACAGUACUUUAGUUUCAGGUCGGUACUGCUUCUGUUUAUCAUGUUGAUUCUGCACAUGACCUAGUACUAACUUUUGAAAUGAAAGGAUUCAGGCAAGUGACAUCAAAGUUUCCUCGAGCAGAAUCAUUCUCUUCUAUGGGCAGGUUAAAUGGUUCCUUCUACUUUUCAUCUGAAAAAUUGGCGUUCUAUCCUGAAAACUCAAGUGGUAGUAUAUUGUUUAAAAUGUUUGCCUUAAUACUGUUGAUAGAUCACAUAUGUUUUAUAUAUAGGCUGACCUAAUUUUUAAUUAUGUUAGGUUCUGUAUGUGUCACACUUGAUAAAACAAUGGAUGCAUCUUGUGGGGCAAGAGAGAUAUGCCUGUCAGUUCCCUUUUUGCUUUACAAUUGUACCAGUCUGUUUCUCACCAUCUUAGAUGUCAACCAUGAGGGAAAGGGAAAUGCUGUUGUUAUUCCUUCAAGUUAUUAUGAGAUUGAGCAUAAACAGCUUCUUGAUGGAAAGGAUGGUCUUGCCCUUAUAUCUUCCGAGUCAAUAUCAUCUUCUGAUCCCUUUCUUUUAGAUAAUAAUUUGGAGGCCAGAAAACAGGACAAUGUGUCUACAAAAAUGGAUUGCGAUCAAUCUUCAGUGUCUUAUGAAGUUUCUCAUUAUAGUGAAAUAGGUCAUAAAGUUGGAAGCAGUCCAUCUUAUUUGCCAAGGAAAGCUGGAAAGGAUGCUGGCUAUAUGCAUGAUGGAGGCAGCAGAAAAGCUAAGCCAUAUAUCUAUGGUCCUACUGUCCGUAUUCCAGCUAAUGAACUUCUGGUUAAGCUGAGCGCUGCAUUGUCAAAAUCCAGAUCUAGCACCAGUCACAACCAAACGUGGUCAAAACCAUUUUCUCUUGUUCCAGAAAGUGGGUCAACAAAUAUCAUUGUCCCUCAGCCAUUUGCUUCUGGUGCAUUUUUAAUAUCUGCUGCAUCAGUCCCUGUUGCUGGAGAGCUGUCCGGGAGGACAAGGGCUAUUACUUUUCAGCCUAGGUAAUUUGCAAAGUAAAAUAGGACAUAAUAUAGGGUGCACAGUAAAAUGCUAUCCAAAUUUUACCUCUUUGUUUUAUGUCAUUUAUAUUUUAAGUUUAAUGUUGCUUCCAUAUUCUUAUUCUGGUUGCUAUCUAUAAAACAUUUGCUGUAGCAAGAUGGAAGAAGGCAAUGAGCCUUAGUUUCAUUAAAUGAAUGACAUAAAUUUAACAAAGGAUCAUCAGAUGGGAAUCAAAAGCAGCUAACUGGUUCUUAUUCUGCAUGUGCUUUGGAUUGGUAACUUCUUCACACAGACAUUAAAUCCAUUAUAAGCAGCAACCAUGUUGCAAGCGCUUACUAGUGGAGUUGAAAAGACAAAAAAAGGUUUGCUUUUUCUCUAUACUAGAUUUGUAUGUUUAGGAACAUAGUUAAUUCAUAUUUCUGUGAAUAGGUACUUUUUGAUGAUCAUGAAAAUGUAAACAAUCUCCUGCUAUCCUCUAAUAUAUUUUAUUGUGAUUAAAGGCCUUCUGUAGGUGAUAGACCAUUCCUUUCUUUACAAUUGUUAAAUUUUAUAUGUUUUUCCUUGUUAAGUACUUUUAAUCAACAUGCAAGUACUGGUAAAUUACCAUACAGCUUUUUACCAAUAUAUUGGUUAAGAAAAUGUGAAAGUGCAUUUCUCAACCUCAAUUUUCAAUUAUUUCAGUAAUAAUGUGUAGUUGGUAUACUGCUCGAUAGAUCAUAUCAGUUAUCAUAAGUCAAAAUCAGUACUGGACUGGUAUAUAAAACCUUGUUUCUGAUAGCUUAAUGCACCCUGGUUAAUCUCUCUUUUUUUUUCCUUGCAGAUAUGUCAUUUGUAAUGCGUGCACUAAAGACUUGUUUUACAGACAAAAGGGAACUAACAUUUCUUACCAUUUGGGUAUUGGGCAACAUUCUCAUCUUCACUGGUCCGAUACAUCAAGGUUUCUGCUAUUGUAUUACAAUAUAACUUACUGUCUUUAGUGUAAUCACCCCAUUUACUGGUAUCCCAGUCUCUUAUGCUCUGAUUUGCAUGUAGAAUACUUCUCGAAAGUGAAAUAUAGUUAGUUUGGUAGUGUAUAUUCACAAUCUAAGCAUCAAUUUAAUGUCAUUUUCAGUUGAUUCAUAGACAUUGUAUAUUUUCAGUGUUAUUUUAGAUUAAUAAAUUUUUCAAUGCAAAUACUCAAUCAAGAUGUUGUUAAAAGGUAAUAUUAGUAAUCAGAGUUUGUGAAAUACCUCUUAAAUGGACAUUCGUUCCACUUCUUAGCCAUACUAGGAGUUAUAUAUUAUUUGGUAAAUUAAUAGGAAUUUAAGUCAUGGUAUGGGGGGAAAAAGUGUCUGAUGUACUGCUCCAUUGACUUGUAGAAUCCAAGAUGGCAUAAAAUUGUUUCAUAAGCAUGUUGAUUCCAGCAUGUUAUAUUCAUUAUAGAUGCAAAACUUGUCUAUUGAUGCAGCAUAAACUUCUGGAUCCUUACCACCUCAAGUUCCUAUAUGUUAAUUGGAAGUAUGUUUAGUGAUGUUCUGUUGACCUCCACUCUCCAAUGACUAUUUGAUAUUAAUUCUUUAUAGACAAGUAACUGUAGGUCUCACCACUUGACAGAAGUUAAAAUUAUUGUUGGAAGUUGCAGCUCAUAUUAUAUUUACACUUGUCAUGUUGGCACUUAUAUUAGGUAAAGAUUACUGUUAAACUUUUAAAAUCGAAGGCAAUUUUGUCGAGAAAGCAUAAAAAGAUUAUUGUCUUUGACCAAUGUCAAAGAUCCUGCAUGCUAUGGCCUCUAACAUCUAUAUAUAGCUAUAAUUCUUAUAACUGUUGUGUGCUCCUGCGGACUGAAUUUAGUUUGUUAGCUCUUUUUUUGGCAUUUUAGAUAUGGCUAUUUAAACUGCUCAUGGUUUUAUAGUCUCAUUCCAAGAUCUUAAUGUGGUUCGAGUUCUUCAACAAAAAAUAAUAAUAAUAACUUUUUUGUUAAAGUAUUUGUUAAAAUGUUGCUUUCACUUUCUUUCUUUCAGCACCUCAUGUAAAAUAUCUUGUUGAAUACUAAUUCAUGAGCAUUAAGCUGCUGCAGAGAACUACUCAUUGCCCUUCGAUUUGGUGAACCUGGUUCUCAGUGGUCAGGCAGCUUCCUUCCAGAUUGCCUUGGGGAUGCUCAAGUGAAAAUGAGAAAUUAUAUAACUGGUGUAUCGAACAUGGUUCGAGUUGAAGUACAAAAUGCUGAUGUGUCAAUAAGCAAAGAAAAUGUGAUCAAAAACCCCAGUGGACAUUCUAUGACACAUCUAAUUCUUCUAUCCGAUGACAAAACUGGGUUUAUGCCAUAUAGGAUAGACAAUUUCUCGAUGGAGGUAAUUGCUUCCUGAAGCAAGUUUAUUAUGAUUUUACUGGCCUCAUGGUACAAACGAUGUGUUAUUUUUAUUCUUGCUAACAUUUCUACUCAAACCAUUUUCCAUUCUUAUAAUUUGUUCAACUAAGCUUGUUCAUAUUUGCUAUUCCUUAAGGUUAAAGUUAUCUUUGUGAUAAGUGUAAGAUUAAAAGGACAAAAUAAAUGAUUUUGUGUGUUAUAAAGAGAUUUAUGUAGUUAUUGUGCAUCGAGCUAGUAUAGCAUGUGAUUUUGAUGUAAUGUAAAGAUGAGGAAGAUAUUGUUUGUGGAAUUAAAACAAGAUGGUUAAAAUGAUGACUGUCAAGAAUAUUGCUUGAUUAUGGUAAAUGUCAAUAUUUCAAAUACUGGUUGGAGUUCACAGAUGGAGACCUGAUUGAAACCAUGAAUUAAUAUUUAUAUGUUCUUAAUCAAGGAAUGCAUUUUCAUAUCAGACCUGUACCAGUACAUGGUCGGACCAGUAUAUACUGUCAGUAUUGGUGUAGCAACACUUGGUACACUGUUAUGUACCGGUUUGUGAGAAAAGGCUGAAAAAUUAGAAGAGGAGGCAGCAGAGCAGGGAAGGAGGAGAAGAGGGCCUAGAAGAAGAGGAGAGGCAGUGAUGCAGAAGGAUAGGAGGGAAGGAGGAGGAGAGGCGGCUGCACAGAAGGAGAGGAGUGAAGUAGGUGAUGGAAAAAAAUGAGGGGAGAAGGCUGCAACAGAGGAGGAAAGGAGGCUGUGGAGGAGCAGAAGAAUACCAAGUACCAACGCUAGGGCUGGUGGCAGCGGCACACAUAGGCAGUGAUGGAAAGCGAGAAACGAGGGAUGCAGGUGAUGGCUGACACAGACAUGGGGGAAGGGGAGAAUGCAGGAGAGGAUAACUCAGGGUUUUACUUUCUAUUUUCAAAAUUUAUUAAAAAACGGGUUGGGCUACUGCCUGGCCCAGGCCCAUUACCGGGUGUGAACCCGAUAGUAAGCCUGGUUCACAAGGCUUACCAAGUGGUAAGCCUGUAUUGCACCUGAACCGCCUGAAAUUGGGCUGGUCCUCAUGCAGGUCAGCAAUCAGACUGCUAAAUACUUGUCAUACCAUACCGAACCAGGCGGAAUUGCAUUCCUUGCUCUUAAUAAUUAAUAUGACUAAGUAUAUUGCCCUAAUGGCAGCAAAAGAUCCAACCAAUCGAUCCCAAAUAGUUGGGAUAUUACAGCUUGUUGUAGAGUGAAAAUCUCUGUGGCUGGACUUUAUGGAGAGAAUUCAUAUUGCUGACAUUCUUGUAAUUUGGGUUAUGCAGAAAUAUGUUCAGAGUCCGACUGCUGUGUCUCUCUUUAUCAUCCCCGCCUGUUUUUUUAUUCCUUUUAUGCCCAUUGUUUUCAUAAUAAACUGCAUUGGAUAGGCUUCAUCUAUUCUUUGCUCUACAAAGAAAGUACCAAUAUCAGAUAGUAAAAAUGUGACCAGGAUAGAAAAUUGAUCUUGUACCAUUAGGACUUCUAAUUUAUACUGCUGUAUUCCAUAUAUUUUGAAGCUUGGUAGAUUAGCCUUUUUGCAGAGACUCCUUUUUCAUCAAAUUCAAGUGCUGCCAUCAAUGAUUAGAAAACUUUUUGUCAACCAUUGCUUGUCCUAUACAAUUGAAAUAAUUCCCUAACAUAGGAACAUCUCUUUUAUAGAAGUAAAUUUUAGCUUCAUAUCAUAUUUCUCCCUCUGCAAGCUUCCUUAUAUAAAAAAAACUUGAUUGAAGUGUAUUAGUUAAUGUUGCUUUUGUUAUUCAGACAUUGCGGAUUUACCAACAUAAAUGUGAAUCAUGUGACACCACAGUACAUCGUUACACAUCUUACCAGUAUGCAUGGGAUGAACCUUGUUACCUUCAUCGUCUCAUUGUAGAGGUAUGAGCAAUGUCUUCUCCUUUUGGGCCUUGAGCUUCCAGUUUCAUCGUUAUAUAUGUCAAUGUGUUUUUUGUUAGGUUCCUGGUGAGCGAAUUUUAGGAGCAUACAGUCUAGAUGAUAUAAAGGAGCAUGCACCUGUGUACUUGCCUUCAACAACUGAGGUACAUGAAUAUCAUUUUUUGUUGAGAAUCAGAAUUAUUAUCCAUCUCAUCAGUUAUGCAAUUGAUAGCUCUCAUGUAUAAAUAACUGUAUUGCUGUUGUUAUGAUGUUCCUUUUCUUGGAUUGUAGGAAGUUGUGAUGUAAGUUGUUGGAAGAAACAUCCAAGUCAUCAUCUCUUUUGGCAUAAAUUUCCUUUGUAAUCAUUGUGAUUUUCUUCUUUCUUAGCUAAGAAAAACUUAGUCAUAUGGUCUGUUGGUUAUAUUCUUUGCAGAAACCUGAAAGAAGGCUCUAUAUCUCGGUACAUUCUGAAGGAGCAGUCAAGGUAUCUCUUGUUCUUCCAAGUUCUAUAGUCUGAUAUAGAAUUUUUAUAAGGUGCAUUACUGAAUCGCUGAAUAUUCUUCAUUCUCAUGCUACAGGUGCUCAGUAUCGUCGACUCAAAUUAUCAUAUUGUAAAUGAAAAAGAGGGGAACAAUUUCCUUGGAUCCAGGGAUAAAAAGGUUGUUGAUCAGAAGAUGGACUGUCAUGCUGGUUUCACUGAAGUGUUCACAUUACAUGUUCCGUUUCUUGGGAUUUCCUUGAUGAAUCCCACUCCUCAGGUAAAUGAAGUAUUUCUAUUCUUAACCAUGAUACUGUAUCGAUAGUUUCGAGUAUCUUGUCAUCAAGAGCUUAUUGUUUAUUUGAAGGAAUUGGUUUUCGCAUGUGCAAAGGACACAACAGUUGUUUUGAUGCAAAGUAUGGAUCGUCAAAAGAUAUCAUUCAGAACCUUAUCCCUUCAAAUUGAUAAUCAGCUGCCUGAUACUCCGUAUCCCAUAGUGCUCUCAUUUGACCAAGGACACAGAGGCCGAUCCACAAACAUCUUGAAAAGUGGGGAGAAUAAGUUAAAUUUUCAGAAAGAGACGAAUUUUGAAAAUACAAUUGAACCUGUCUUUUACCUUGCUGCAUCCAAGUGGAGGAAUAUGGACAAAUCAUUGGUGUCGUUUGAAUAUAUAGACUUAGGGUACUUUUCAGUUCUUAAUUUUACAUUUUUUUAAUAUGUGCAUUGAGGAUCUCAUGUAUUUAUGCUAUCUCUUUGUAGUUUGGCCCCUAUGUGUAUUGAGCUUGAAGAACAAAUACUAUUGAGCUUGUUCGAGUAUUUUAGAGCAGUAUCAUCAAGACUAGAGAACAUAAGCGUAGGAAAAAAUUUUGGAUUGUGUAACCGGAACUGCAGUUCAGAUGGGAACCUGGAUAAUGCUCAGGAUUAUAAUGGGAAAAAUGUGUUAACAGAGAGUGAAUUUAUUGGAACCGAAGAAAGGUGUGGAUUAUUGCCUUCUGUAUUUCCAGUUGGAGCCCCAUGGCAACAGAUUUAUCUUUUGGCAAGAAGGAAGAAGAAAAUAUAUGUUGAAGCUUUUGAACUGGCUCCUAUAACAUUAUCCUUAAGGUGAAUAUGUGAAGUUGCUAUUUACUGUUUUUCUAAGAUUUUUUUUAUACUAGAUAAUGAUGAAUAACAUGAGAAAAAUGCUAUAUCUUUUAACACAUUCAAUUUUUUCAAGGAAGAAUCUUCUUGUUAUCUUUAACUAAAAGUUCAUUGUUCUAAUGAUUAGCUUCUCAAGCACUCCUUGGAUGAUAAGGAAUGAAGUCCAUGCAGAUAUCGAAUCUUUAGUUCACAUCCCUAGUAACACACUUCAGGUAGCUAUGCUAUCUUUGUUAUGAGAAUUGAGUACUCCUGUAGACAUUUUCUGUAAGACAGAUUUGACAACUUUAUGGUUUAACGUUUUUAUUGGUAAAUCUAGAUGUGUAUUACUAGAUAGUCUAGAGCAUAAUAUGUAAAUAAUCACCUAGAUAUAUAGAUGUUACCUCAUUCUUAGAGGGAUUGGUAAAUUUAUAAGUAUGGUUACAAUAAAAAACAAAUAUAUGAUCCGGUCCCUAUUUUAUUUUCUUAUUUCUUCAUGUAUGCUUUCUCUCUGAUAUCCAAGCAUCAAUUUGUGAAUGAGAAAAGUUUGUUUUUCAUGUAGCUUUGUGUUUACUGACUGCAACUUGAUAACCGUUUUAAGCAAGGUUUGAUUUACCAGUCCGAGCCGGUGUGCCGGCUGUGCCGUGUCGCUCUGUACUGGUGUACCGACACAUGGUAUGUCGGUGCGUACCAAAGUUUCGACAAGGACGAAUAAGAGGUUGAAGAGGAAGGUCCGGUGGAGGAACAAAUGAGGAAAAAGGAGAAAGGAAGAAGAAGAAGAAAGAAAAGGAGAAGUGUAGCGAUACCUGGGAAGCAGCGGCAGCAGCAAAGGGAAGCAGUAGCAUCACAGCGGCAAAGAGGUGGUGCUGCUGCAGCAUCGCAACGACAAAGCGGCGAAGAGGCGGCGCCGCUGCAAGAUCGUAGCGGCGAAGUGACGAAGAGGCAGCGCGGCUUCCGCAUUACAGUGGCAAAUCAGUGAAGAGGUAGCGUUGCUGCAGCGCCGAAGAGGCAGUGCCGCUGCUUCGUACGCGAGAAGAGCCCUAUUAUGCUUCUUUUUUUUUAACGCUGAAAUGGACUGGUGCCCACCACUUUUUUAUUUUUUUAAUUAUUUGAAUGCAGACUGCCUGAAACAGGGUGGUCCGCGUAUCAGUCCACACCUGGACCGGUAUAUACCGCCCAAACCGUACCAUUUUGGGCGGUACAGCAAUCCCUGGUUUUAAGUAUAUUUGUGCUUUUGACCGUUGAAGAUUUCCUUUUGUUUAUAUGCUUGUCCUUAAAAGUGGUGAUUAUUCAAUAGAUUUUUUUUCUCUUCUGACAACAUAGUUCAGCACUGAUAGUUUGUUAAAAGGUGACUCCAGUAAAUAAAAAGAGUACUGUUAAUUGAACCUUAGAAGUAUUCAUACUGAGUUUGUUAUCAAGGGGAAAUUUUUGUACUGAGGAUAGUAACAUUAUGCAAUGUUUUGCUUAGAUGAAAACUUGAAACAUGAAGUGUUGAAUAUGCUUGAACAUAUACAAAAUGGAGACAAUAUUUUCUUAGUUGCUAGCACACUGGCCAUGUCUGACUUUCAAAGACUUCCAAUGAGUACCUAAGUCAUGUUUGUACCAUGCUGGCAGAUUGUUCAGAGUUCGACAUGAAGGUUCAAAUUAUACGCCUCCUUGCUUCAUCCUUAUUUCUUUGAAGUGUAAAUAGGCAUAUAUCUUUUUAAUAUAUGACAAGGGUCCUAAACAAAUGUUGUGUGCUAACUAACAUGAUUGUUCCUAGUAUUUAAGAAUCUACAAUCAGAUCAAUCUUUGUGUUUCAGGUUAAUCAGAGAAGCUAGGUAAUUCAUAUAAUUGGAAAUCUAGGAAGUGCAAAAAAGUUCAUCAUUCUCUAAACAACCAGCUAAACUAAGCUAUAAGAGUUUAACGAGAUAUGUAAGAUUAGGGCAGUAGGCUGCAUGAGGUUCCCUCUGCUGCAAAGUAUGGGGAUGAUCAAAUGUGCACAACCUCUCUCCAUCACAUUGAGAGGCAAUUUUUGCAAUUCAAACCCAUAAUGGCAGGUCAAAUAAAGAGAUGCCACUUAUGUGCCAGGGCUUUUGAACUGAUUACCGUGGAGAUCAAAACUGUCAACUUAAGAAAUUUUUGUAUGCAGAUUUUAUUUGUUCUCCAAUUCACUUGUUAGUUGGAUAAGAUGCUGUUGAAGUGGUUAACGGGAUAUAUCUAGUAUCAGUGAAAUUAUCAUUCUUGCAUCUGUGAUUCUCUAAGCAAGACAGAAGAUUUAUGAAUCCUGCAAAAUCCUGAUUUGUUCAGGCUUUGACCAGUAAAUAUGAUUCUACCUGUCUUAUUGCUUGAAAAUAUUCGGACAAUUGUUGCUUUGUUUUCCAGAUACUUGAAUUCGUGUAUACCUGUGGUGCCUGUUUAUAUUCCUUUGUAUUUUUUCAUAGAUAACUUUCAGUACCUUAUAUUCAUUUGGUUGCAGAGAGGUUUGAUGGCUCUUGUAGAUGUUGAAGGAGUGCCUGUUCAUUUUACACGACUUACACUAGCACAUCUUAUAGCUAGCCCAGAAUCAAUCCAAGAGAUUAUAACUAGACAUUACAUGAGACAGCUACUUCAUGAAAUGUAUAAGGUGAGUUAUGUAUAAUCUUUUACAGUUUCAGUUUACUUUCAUUUUCCAGUCCUGCUGGAGUGAAUUAUAAGGGGUUGAAUGUCUUGUCUAGUAAACUGGUACAAAUCUUGCAGCCUGAUAGCUCCGGACUUAUUUUCUUUUGAAUCCUGAACAUUUUUGCAAUAUACUUUUGUAUCAGAGGUUUCAGUCUGUUUAUCCUUCAUAGUAAUUAUAUACUAGGAAUUAAAAUAACUGAUAUAUCCACUAUAUAUCAUUAUGUCUCUUGUUGACUGAUUGUCAGAACGGGUAAAGUUGGGUUGUUAUGCUAAAAAUAAUAUAGGGAAUAUCAGACUUAUCUUUUUUGUUUUCUUUUUUUUUGGUAUGAUCAUUAGCUUCAUAGCUUAUCUUUCAUCAAAGAAAAUAGGCAACCUGGCAAAGCUAUCUUCCAUCCACCUAGAUAGCUCAGCAUGCACUAAAAAGGUGACCCAUUUCUUAUAUUUUUGCCAAACAGUGUCUAACUUCUUCAAGAUUUAAAUCGGCAUAAUCAAUGUUAGAUCAGUAUCUGUUGAUUGUAACCAUCGUUCGGAUUGUUAUUAAUAUUAGUUGAACUAUGGAAUAAGUUAUGUUAAUCCUUAGGGUGUACAAUAACACAUUUUGGAAUAAACUUUGGAAUUUAUUGUGAACCUAACAUGCUAGUUGAGUUUUGGGAAGUUGUCUUUGCAGUUUAAGGUCUUGUAGUUGACUUAUCAAAGAGGAUAAUUAUAUCCAAAUAUGUUAUUUUUCAAUUGAUUAUUGAAGAAUGGUAUUAUCAUUUUCAAAAUUCACACCUUAACUAAAACCUUUUAAUUUUGUGGUCUUUCCUCAACUACAGGUGCUUGGUUCUGCUGGUGUUAUUGGAAAUCCAAUGGGUUUUGCAAGGAAUGUUGGGCUUGGUAUCAAGGAUUUUUUAUCUUUUUCUGGCAAGGGAGUCUUACAGGUGAGCAACAUUCACAGUGUUCAAGCUUGUUAGAUGGAUGAUUCAUCUCUGUUUCUGAAAAUAUAAUUGACAAUUGUGGCAGAGCCCCAGUGGAUUAUUAACCAGUGUAGCUGAAGGUUCAAGAGGUCUUCUAAGUAGUACAGUAUAUGCCAUAAGUAGCGCUACUAGUCAGUUCAGUAAAGCUGCUCAUAAGGUAAUUUCUGUUACAUGAAUUAAUCAUUUAUACUAUAUCAUCAGGUUGUUUCAGAUUUUGACAUUUGGUUUUUCAGGGAAUAGUUGCAUUUACAUUUGAUCAACAGGCUGCUGCUUAUCUGGAGGAACAGCAGAAUCACCUAGAUUCACAUGGCAAAGGUGUACUGAAUGAAUUCUUGGAGGUAUAAGUUCAUACAAUUACUUCUAACCAAAAGCGCACAAAAGGAUUCCAACUCAGUAUCUUAGGUUACUUGUCUAACAUUUGAGCAGUACCUAUAGACAUGAUAAUUGGUAAAGUAUCUAAUACUAAUCUGUGACCCUACAAAUCUGAAUUCAAUCCUGCUUGUUAAUGAAAUGCUAUUUUUUCUAUGGAUGAACUUCUCUUUUACAUAAAAGGUUUCUUAAAAAGUAAACCAAUUUCUUACCUAAGUGAUGCAUAGUAUGCAUACUCUGUUGCUCUUCAAAGUGAUCUUUUGCGAUAAGGAAAAAUGUGUAGGAAUAUUAUUGUAUUUAUUGCACUAGGAUGAUGAAAUAAAGAUUAGUACUCUCCCCUUGAGGAGAAAGAAAAUUGAAAUGAUGAGAAAACGAAGAAAAGCGAGACAAAAUUACCUCUUUUCUUACUGGUAGAUUUAUCCUUGAAGACUUUAUCAAAGUGAUCUUUUGCGAUAAGGAAAAAUGUGUAGGAAUAUUAUUGUAUUUAUUACACUAGGAUGAUGAAAUAAAGAUUAAAACUCUCCCCUUGGGGAGAAAGAAAAUUGAAACAAUGAGAAAAAGAAGAAACAAGAGACAAAAUUCCCUCUUUUCUUAUUGGUAGAUUUAUCCUUAAAGACUUUAUCAAUAUAAAAGAACUCUGUAUGGUGUUAAUUAAACAACAGUGUAAUGUUUAUUUCGUAUCAGCACAUUUGUUUCUAAUAAGAAGGAUGAUAAAAUGAAACUUAUUUCAACCAAUGUUUGUCUAUUUUCAUACAGGGGCUCACGGGACUUCUUCAAUUCCCAAUUAGAGGUGCUGAAAAGCAUGGCCUACCUGGGGUUGUGUCAGGUAACUUGAUCUUCAAAUAUUGAGUGUGUUUGUGUGGCUUUGUAAGCUCAUUUUUCAUUUACCAUCAUACAGGAAUUGCAUUGGGAACCGCCGGUCUUAUUGCAAGACCAGUGGCUAGCAUCCUUGAAGCCACUGGGAAAACAGCACAAAGUAUCAGAAACAGGAGUCGACCACACCAAUCCUGUCACUUCCGUACACGGUUAUCAAGGCCUUUAGCCAAAGAACUUCCUUUGUCACCAUACUCUUGGGAUGAAGCUAUUGGAGUGUCAUUGCUUCUUCAAGCAGAUAGCUCGAGACUGAAGGAUGAGAUAUUUGUGAUGUGCAAACCACUCACGCAGGCAGGGAGGUUUAUAACUAUCAGCAAGAGGCUGGUUUUGGUUGCAUCGUGCUCUUGCCUUCUGGGUUUGGGCUCACCGGAGUUUGUUGGUGUCCCUCCUGAUCCAGAUUGGGUUAUAGAAACUGAAAUGACUCUGGAGAGUGUCGUUCAUAUUGAUAGGACAGAAGAGACUGUGAAUAUUGUUGGAAGCUGUGCUGAAUCGAUAUACAAGCAGAAAAAGAGUAGUUCUAGGAAUAGACCAUGGAAUUCUUCGACUUCUGCACCUGUUUUUCACUUGAGUGUUGAACUUGCAAACAAGGAAGAAGCAGAAGAUACUUUACAGGUUCUGUUAUCGACAAUUGAAGAAGGGAAAUCCCAGAGGUGGGGGAUGCGCAUUCUACAACGGAACAAUCUCAAGUAAAAGCAUGUACGUUAUUUAAUGAUCUAGCGUCGCAAGAACCACUUCAAUAUACCUAUGUUACCAUAUGGACUGAUUACCUAUUCUCUAACUCUUGCAGGAGUCAUUGGAUCUGAGGGUUUGGGAGAUCCUGGUGGAGCCUAUCUUGGGAGUGUAUAUAUGCACAAAGAGUAAUUUGAGAGAACAUGGUAGUUUCUUUUAUACAGAUUAGACAAUCCAGCGGCCUUAUCUAUUGUACAUUGUGUAAAUCAUCACGGCAUUUUGUGCCCCCUUUUGCGGGUUUGGACUAAAAGGUAAAUAAGAUAAUUUGAAAUGGAAAGCUAAUAUGAUACCUUUGUUUUUCCAUGCCAUAUUUGCAUACUAGGAAAUUUCUAGGAAUUUGUUUUUUGUCAGAAUUAGGUAAGGUGCAGUGUCCAAAAUGAAUAAAUGCCAAUUGUUUUGACUGUGAAUAACUUUAUUCAGGGACAAAUAUAUACCAAUUAUUACACAGCUAAUGCUUCACAUUAGGAUGGUGAAUGGUACUUUGAUCUGAUGGCCACCUAUUUUAAGAUCAAACUUUCUGUUGAUACUGGUUUUUGUAAUUGUGGCAUUUAGUUUAUGUUGAUGCAAGUAGAGGACCAAAUGUUUCAGACAGUGACUUCUAAAUUUGUUUCAGAUACUUGUUGGUAUGUCAGAUGAUUGUCUGUUGACACUCCCCCAGAAAGAACCUGUGUUAUUGUUCGAAUAAAAUUUUAGGAUAAUUCAUUUGGCUAUUCAAUCCAACAUCAUGGCUCGAUGGAGCAACAAUGAUAUUUUAUUAGAUAUGCCAUCACAUCUCCUUGAAGUUAUCCCAACUAAUUUUGGAUUUUCAAAGUUCUUCUCCAUUGACUAGUGGAACUUCUCUUCUGGAAGCAUUUGACUUUAGACCCAUCUAGAUAAUUUAUUAUAUUGCACUUUAGCCUACUAGCAUGUGAUUCAAGAAAGCCAGCUCAUAGAUAAAUCUCAUUGAAAUUUCCAACAAAUCAACUAAAGUGAGAAGAGAAAAGUCUGGAGCUACUAAAUUCCCCUUUUGUCUACAUGUGGAUCAAAAGUCUCGGAUGCAAUGGCCACAAUCUUGGACUUGGUGUAUGGGUAGAUGUUGAAUGAUGAUUAUUAAUAUGUGAAAUCAUCAUUUAGUAUUCGCUUCAAUAUUUUAUUAUCUUGGAUGAGGUUGGCUUGUUCUAAUUUCUGGAUUCCAAUUAAACAUCUACCUACUUGAUGCAAAUUCUGCAAUUCAUUUGAUUGAUCGAACAUAAAGCAUUAAUGAUGAUGCAACUGGAAAGUUACGUAGAGCAACGGUAAGAUUGUUCCUUUACGAUACGCAAGAUGACUACCACUAGGUUUAUUCUCUUGGUAUUUCGUCGUCGAAUCGUAUUACUGCUAUGGUGGAUGUAACACCAGAUUUGUCGUCUUUGCUUCAGUCCAAAGUCCUGAAUGAUGUUGAGAAGCCAAUAAAAUUAUUGGAGUCAUGAAAGUGGCCGUAUGAAUGCAAACUGAUGAGAGCUUAUUCUGGUGGACUGUUGCAUUGGUCAAGUGGCUGAUGCAAAUGCUGUAUCAGCUGAGAAGACGACCAAUUCACUCAUCACCUCAGGCUGAGGCUUUUUCCAAUCCCAUGAGGUGUUGGCUGAUUUCUUCUGACUGCUAUUCUAACUUGUUAUCACAGGUUCAAUGUUCAUGUAGAAGCCCCAAAUCGCCCGGCACUUCUCCCUCACCGACCGCACCAUCUCUCUCUCUCUCUCUCUCUCUCUCUCUAUAUAUAUAUAUAUAUAUAUAUACGUAGCCUUCCCUUUCCCUGCACUCAGCCAUCUGCUUGCAGAGCUUUCCUUCCCUUCAUUAAGGUACUACGACUCACCACAACAUGGUCGCCGGCUGCUGCACCAACGAGGUGACGGUCAACGUCAGCGUCCACAGGAUGUGGAAGGCGGCCGCCUGCGAGGAUCACAUCCUGCUGCCAAAGAUCAUUCCUCAGUACUUCGCUGGCGCAGAGCUCGUCGGCGAUGGCGAAGCUGGCAGCACAAAGACCUUCCACUUCACUCCAGGUUUAGAUUUUGAUGCUGCUUUCCGACAUUCGUGUGCGUGCGAGAAGAGAUCGCAAAACAAGGAUAAAAAAUAAUCUCACAUCGAUAAAAAGAAUCGGAUGAUACAUAUCGAAACCUUUUUGGUUGAAUUGAUGUAUGAUCUGUUAAUUGGAACUAAUUUGGCUAUUGUUGCGAUCCAUCGAACUGCAGCCGCAGAGCCACUGACCUUCGUGAAGGACCAUGUUGAGGUGUUGGACCACGGAAGCCACACGAUGAGGUACAAGGCGAUCGAAGGAGGUCACCUCGGCCGCACGCUCAAGUCGCACGCGUUCGAGGUCAAGUUCGAAGCGGCGGGCGCCGACAGCUGUGUCGUGAAGACCAAGACAGAAUACGAUACGAUCGACGACGCGCCGCUGCCGGAGGACGAGGUGCAGAAGAUGACGGACGUGCCAGUACGGAUGAUGAAGUCGGUGGAAGCCUAUCUGAUAGCCAACCCCGGUGUUUGUGCCUGAGCCCCUGAGCCUCUGAGCCGGUGGGCUUUCGUGUACCGACGUUGGUGCUUCCAGUGUCGUAGUGCUUGUCAUUGGGCGUGGAUCAAUCAAUAAUGAGGUGAUGCAGCAGUGCUGGAAUCAUCACCUUUAGAGUGAGAGAGUGAGAGAGUGAGAGAGAGAUAGGACAUGACAUGUUGAUGCCAUCUCUCUCUUUGUCUGUUCUUUCCAUCUUCUGCAAUGUGGUGUUUUGUGUGGUCGUUGAAGGACAUAUAUCUACAAAUAAGAUGUGAUUUCUUUGGUAUCAUGUAAUCCUUCUUUUUUGGUAUCAUUCUUAGUAGUCUCUUUUAAAGAUUCAAAGACUAGCGUAAUCCAAAUUAAACAUGGAUUUAAUUGAUUUUACUUAAACUAUAUGAUACGUUUAUAAUGUUUGUUCGUAACGAGUCAACCUUCUCGUAAUUUUAUUUACUCUCAUCCAUAAAUAAAUCAGUUACCGAUAAAUGAAUGCAUGAACAAACAAAUCGAUGUCACCUUAGUAAAAUAUACCUUGGGAUUAUAUAACUAAAAUUGAACAAAAUACCUUCUUAGACGACUAAAAUGGAUGCAUUUUGCUGAAAGAUUUUACGAUAAAAAAUUGAAGGUUAAUUCGUCGUCCAUAAAGUUUAAGUACAUAAGUGAUAGGUUCAUCCAUCGUCCAUAAAGUUUAAGUACAUAAGUGAUAAAACUUCAUCCAAUCUUAUGUUUGUUCAAAAUUUAUAUAAUUAAAUUUGAACAAAAUAUCUUACUAAAAUGGAUGCAUUUUGCUUGCUCUGAAAAAAUUUUACGAUAAAAAAUUGAAGGCUAAUCCAUCGUCAAUAAAAUUUAAGUACAUAAGUGAUAACGUAUCUUAGAACUUUCAUCCAAUCUUGUGUCGGUUCAAAAUUAAAUGUUAACAUGACAUGAGAUUUGACGUAAUAGUGAUGUGACCUUAUCUACAAACUCGAUAGAAACAAAUUAAUUCUUCUAUUUUUUAAGAUAAAUACUGGUAAUACGGCAACAUCAAAAAUAUUAUAUCGUACAAUUUGGUUCUUCCUCUUAGUUUCAAACAUGAAGCUCCACAAAGACGGCAAUAAAAUAAAAUUAACGAAGAAAAAUGCAACACGACAUCAACUCAUCGUGAUCUCACUCACCCUAACAAAGAAUAUAAUAAUAAACUACACCGUUGAAUGAACUGUUAAUUCUUUCAUUAAAUGCAUGAAAUACAUUUAUGGUGAAACUUUGUUUCUAACAUACAUACAUACAUACAUACAUACAUACAUACAUAUUUUAAUCUGACUAGCAUAUGCUUGAAGAAUCCGAUCAUUCUCGACUACGGCUGAUGAUGAUAUGGGGCUGCUCAACAAUGAAGACCGCAAAGUCUGCAUGCUUGUGAGCUUUGAAGUCUUCGCUUCAGUCAACAAAUACUAGCUAGUUUGAAUGCUUCCAAGUUUACCAUGACACCCACUUCUUAGAACAUUGAAUUGGGAUGAGGAUGCCAACAAGAGAAGAUGAACCGAUUCAUUGGCAUGGAGCGAUCUUCGCGUCAUCUCAGACCCCCCCCUUUUUCCAAUCUAAUCGAUGAGGUUACCUAAAGUUCAAACUUCAUCUGGAAGCCCGAGAUGACCCGGCACUCCAUCGCCGUCUAUAAAUGGACUCUUCCCCUUCCCUUCACCACCAACCCAUCACAGCCUGCAGAGCUCUCAUCCGGCAAAACACCUUCAUCGACGCCAUGGUUGCCGGGUGCUGCACCGAAGAGCUGACGCUCAAUGUCAGCGUCCACAGAGUAUGGAAGGCGGCCGCCUGCGAGGAUCACAUCCUGCUGCCAAAGAUCAUGCCGCAGUACUUCUCCGGCGCCGAGCUCAUCGGGGAUGGUGAAGCUGGCAGCACCAAGAUCUUCCACUUCGAUCCAGGUUUGGAUUCACAUCACCAAUGCUUCUUUCAGGUAACAGGAAGAUCCGUAAACUAUGCUGAUUUCAACUGGCAAUUCUGUGGAUGAGACUGCAGGUAUGAAGCCACUGAUCUUCGUGAAGAACCAUGUCGAAGUGCUGGAUCAUGGGAGCCACACCUUGAAGUACAAGACCGUCGAGGGAGGCCACCUCGGCCACACGCUCAAGUCGCACACCAUCGAGCACAAGUACGACGCCUUGAGCGCCGACACCUGCUCUCUGAAGAUCAAGGUGGAGUAUGAUACCAUCGACGACAAGGGGCUCCCCGAGGAGGAGGUGAACAAGAUCAAGGAGGGGUCGGUAUGGGUCGCCAAGGCUGUGGAAGGUUACCUGACCACCAACCCCGCUGCUUAUGCCUAAGCCUCUGGAAACUAUCCGUAUUGUCUGUCAUGUGUGGCUUAAUAAUGGUGGCGAUGCAGCAAUACUACUCAUCGUCACCACGAGAGAGAGAGAGAGAGAGUGUGUCUGUGUGUG
rnacentral:lncRNA from 1 species